rnacentral:lncRNA from 1 species
UUUUUUCCUUUUCUUUUCCAUUUUGUUUCUUCUGUUUUCCUUUCCUUUUCCUUUUUUUUCGAGAGCCAGAACGAAGGGAAGGUGGUACAAUGUAUAUAACUAAGGCGAUAUAUAUUGCAUCAUUUGACCCAUAACGGUUAAGUGUGCAUACAAAAUAGGAACAUAUAUAUAUUACAUCAUUUGACCGAUAACGGUUUCUCAGCGUCGACGUUUCCGUUUUUGAGUGAGCUUAUUUCCCUUCUUGAUACGGGAUGCCUCGGAAACGAUCUUUCCUGGUGCCAAAGAACUCGCAAGGAGCAGCAACAAACUCACUCGAAACUUGUUUCAACAAACUUUGUUUCUCUCAAGUGGCAAGAACAAGAGGAAACACUCUCAGAUAAAUUGCAGCGGAUAACUAGCUUGGUUUACAAGGAUGCAACCCAAACCAUGAAGCUUGUGAACCUAUGAAGAAUCACAAGAGGGAACCACAAGGAUCCUACAUGAAUUGAGGACAGGCCCUCCAAUCGACACACACGAGCUAGCACUCAACGAUACUAGUGCUCACAGCACAACACAACCUCACCGGCUGUCUACAAAUAUAAACUCAGAAAUCUCAUCCCCCUUCACAUGGAACAGCUGGGGAGUAUUUAUACUAGAAGCACCCACUAGUUAGGUGUGAAAACAACUCAAAAUGAAGGGUAAAUUCGUGAGCCCCAAGCUAUAGCAGGAGCAAACUUGUUGAGCCUCGCGCUGUAAUAAAUUCCUGGAUAGCUUGCAUGGAAACUUGCACAACUUUUGACUCAAGACCUCAAAUGAUGCACCGUUUUUUUGAAUGAAAGCUGACUUCAAAGACAUCUUUUCCAGCCUCUAUAAAGUGCUAGAGACUUCCAGAAUUAAUUAGGUUUAGGUGGGAAGUUGCAGCUGGAAAUCUGAUGUGUCAUUUCUCCCAAAUUAGGCACCGGAAGCUUCCCAACUAAGAUAAUGGUUUUGCCCUUGUCUUCCUUUGGAUGCUCUAAUGGUUCAGCAUUUGUGCUAGCAUUAACCUUACUCUUGGAUGCCUUGGUCAUGAUCUGGUCCACAUCAUCCUCCCUUCCUUCAAACAAAACUGUCCUCGGUUUUGAGGUAUUCUUUUUGGGCUUCUUCACUUGUGGGAAUUGCUCAACCUUGAGUACUUGAUCCACCAUAGGUUCCAAGACAUGGUUCACUCCUUGAUGCAUGAAAGAAUACUUGUUAGACCUUCCAUGGUGAGUAGCAUCAUGAUCAAACUGCCACGGUCUUCCCAAAAGAAGAUGACAAGCUUGCAUUGGCACCACAUCACAUACCACUUUGUCCACAUAACUUCCCACUGAAAAUUGCACCCUAGCACGAUGCGUAAUCUUCAGCUUACCAACACCAUUCAGCCACUUCACAUAAUAUGGAUGGGGCUGCCUCCAUGUGUAUAUCCCAAGAGCAUGCACAAGAUCACUACUAAUGAUGUUGUUGUAGCUGCCUCCAUCGAUGACCACCUUGUAGUUUUUGUCCUUGAUCUUGCAAAUGGAUUGGAACACAUUUUGUCGCUAGCCCUUCUCAACAAUAGGAGCAUCAUCCUGAGACACUUUGCAAACCAUGAGAUUAACACCAUCUCCUCCAUCUGAACUCAAAGGUGCUCCGGUCUCAAAAGUACAAUAAUUUGCAUCUUUCUUCUCAGAUUCAGAUUUGUCACUUGAGUCAUCGGUGACAUAUCCAUCAUUUGUGAGUAAAACCUUCUUCAGAUUAGGACAAUCCUUCUUGAAGUGACCUCUACCCUUAAAUGUAUGGCACUGAAUAUUACUAAUGCGAGUGGCAGGAGUAUUGGAAGAUUCAACCUUUGAUGCAUUAGCUUCUUUUGUAGUCAUCUUGUUGUGUGAGCGAAAAUCUGCAGCAACACUUCCGUCUACUUCUCGCUGAACUGAACCUCUCAAAGUGCUUGAUGUAUAGGUUUGGCUGCGAUUUUGGCGACGCUUCAGCUGCUGCUCUACACGAAUAGCUUGAUGCACAAGUUCUUGCAAAUCUUGAUAUGUAACCAUCUCUAUCCUUUCUUGCACAUCUUCAUUCAGUCCAUGGAAGGAUCUUGACAUUGUGGCCUCCUCUGGCUCAUUCACCACUGUCCUAAUCAUCAAAAUCUCCAUCUCUUUAUAGUACUCAUCAACACUAGAAUUACCUUGGCACAACCGUUGGAGUCGACUGUACAAGGUUCUUGUGAAAUGUUCAGGAACAAACCGUCUCCGCAACAGAUUUUUCAUUUACACCCAUGUCUCCGGACGACCUCCAGCACGACACAAUUGGUUCCACCAAAUUAAAGCAUAUCCAGUAAACUAAAUGGAUGCAUAUCGUACCUUCUUCUCCUCCGUAUAGCGGUGGCUGUCAAAAAUCUGAUUCACACGCAUCUCCCACUCCAAAUAAUCAUCGGGCUCGGUUUUCCCAUUGAACGAUCGUAUGGUAAGUUUGAAUUUACCAAUCCCAUCAUCUUCAUGGUCACGAUGAGCACGCCCAUGACCUCUUCCUCCCAUGGAAAAGCCUUCUUGGCCUUCCCCGCGAUGAUCAUGAUGAACACGUCGUGGUCGAGGCUCGUAGUAGUUUCGAGCAUCAUCGGAGUGGUCGCUCCAAUGCUCACCAUGGUGGUCCUGCUAUAUGGGGAGUUGUCGAUGUCGACCCCGUGCAGCAAGCCCAUCUCGUGGUGGCGACGGUGGCGCCCAAGUAGCACCUCGCUGGUCGUAGCGAGCACGCCGAGGUGGUGCUGCGUAGUAGCUAUGAGCAUCACCCGAGUAGACGUGGUUGUGCUCUCCAUGCCCCUCCUCAAGGUGGCGUUGGCCCUGCUGUUCGGGGAUUUGUCGAUGUCGACCCCGUGCAGCAAGCCUAUCUUGACGGAGUUCCUCGGUGAGGGAGUCGAUUCUCCGGCCAAGGUUGGUCUCCACGGCCGAUAUGCGCCUCUCCACCUUGUUCAACACAUACUCUUGUGUAUCCUCCAAUGCCAACACAUAGGCGGGCUGCAAGCUUGGAUCGUACACGGGAAGUGGCAGCUCCUCCUCCACGAGGUGCCUACCUCCAUGCGCACCAUCAACACUACUAGAUCUCCUCGAACCCAUGGAAGCUUCUCAACACUACAAAAAAAUACACUUCCGUGAUGAUACGUAUUUGUCACAGUAGGUCGCGUUUUCUGUCAUGCAUGUACAUCCAUGACAAAUUUAUGACAGAAUCAAGAUAGUCAUACCUGUGUUGUCGUAGAAGUGUUCCAUGACAUUGCCAAAAUUAUCAUCACGGAAGUGUCCACUUCCAUGACGAUAAAUCAUGCGUCAUAGAAGUGCUUUCGUCAAGGGUGACCGACACGUGGCAUCCACCGUAACGGAACGUCGUUAAGCUAUCGGGUCGGAUUUUGGAUCCGAUAACCCGUUAACAGCCACGACCAAUGCCGAUUUUCCACGUGUAAAAUUCUCAUGUGCUGACGGAUCCACGCGUCAGCUCCGCGUUGGCACAGGUGUCACUCAUCCAACGGUCAAGAUGGGCCUAUGAUAUGUUGACACGUGGACCGGCCCAAAAGUGGCCCACAAAAUUUAAAUGGGCCGGCCCAACCGAAGGCCCAUAAGAUUUAGCGGACCAUAAUGGGCCGGCCCAGCUAAAGGCCCACAAAAUUUAGCGGACCAUAAUGGGCCGGCCCAGCUAAAGGCCCACACAAUUUUGCAGACCAUAAUGGGCCGGCCCAGCUAAAGGCCCACAAGAUUUUGCUGACCACAAUGGGUCGGCCCAGCUAAAGGCCCACAAGAUUCUGCAGACCAUAAUGGGCCGGCCCAGCUAAAGGCCCAACAUUCUCUGUCAAAUCGGCCCAUCAACGGCCUGUCCUAAACUUGUCAUCAACGCGGCCCAUGGUCACUUCUGGCCCGUUAACAGUCCGCUAAGUAAUUGGGCCGAAUUACGGCCCGGUGUAUUUCCAGCCUGUUAAAGGUCCGGCUUCAUUUGGGCCCAUUUACAGGCCAUCAAAACUUUUGGCCCAUAAACGACCGUGAAGGAUUUGGGUCAUAUUCGGCCAUGUCUGACAUUCGGCCUGUUAGAGGCCCACUAUAGCUUUGGGCCACUUUCGGCCUGUUAUCAUUUUCGGCCUGUUAACGCCGGACGUAAACCAUGGGCCAUAUGUGGCCCAACGUCAUAUCGGGCCCAUUAACGGCCCAUAUAAAAAUGACGAUAAUCUAGCCCGACUGAAGUUCCGGCUGUUAAAGGCCCGUGUAUUAGGUCGGCGCAUUUAUGGCCCGUCCGAAUUUCGGCCUGUCAAAGAUCCGCAUCGUAAAUGGGCCACCAUUUCGGCCUGCUAAGUCCGGUGGGUUAUUUGGCACAAUCGGGGCCCAAUCUCACUUUCAGUCUAUUAAAGGCCCAUGUUUUUUUAUGGGCUCGAGAUAUUUACACCUGUAAACGGCCUAUUUUUACUGAGGGCCCAAAUUAAGUUUAGGCCUGUUAAAGGCCCACUAUGGGCACAUGCCUACCAGAAAAAUACGAAAGCUUAUGCUGAUUUAGGCCUAGAUAUUUUUAGUGGGCUACAUGCCAAUUUUGGCCCGUUUAGCCCAAUUGGAAUGGGCCCGACGAAUGUUGGCAUGUUGGGCUCCUACGAAGCUUUCGGCCGAAUACAUUACUAAGAUAAACCUACACUAUACAAAAAUAGCGUCGUAAUUACUGCAGCCUGAGGCAGCAUCAUAAAUGUUGUAGCACAACAAAAUAAAUUCCAACCAUACAACAAAAGGCCUGUUGGCAUAAAGUUUAUAGUCCUUCCAGAUAAAAGCACCAUCAGAUGUAUAGAAUCACAGAUCAUUUGACCUGAGUGCUAAUGUUUCAGGCUGUAGAAUCUGAUGGAGCAGCACGAUCUCCACCUUUUUUCCGCCAUUGCUCUUGAACAACGAAGUGAAUGUCUGAUAGUCUGGUUUCAAACCCAUUCAUAUCUUGACGACAUUUCUCAACCACUAUUCUUGUUUCCGAAACAACGUCCAUUAGGGAUUGGACUUGUGUCUGGAGCACAGAUAUAUCACUCUGUCAAGCAGGAAGAUUUUGUUCAGUAGGCGAUUUGGACGAGGUUACCUUGACAACCAACCCAGAAUUACGCAGGAAGGUGCUUUUUGCACUGUUAGUGGAGAGAUACUGACACACUGCAACAAGAGGUGACAUUGUGCCUGUAGUAGCCUCGUCACCUUCAGGUGGUUGUGGCUGUUCAAUCAUUUGUUCCAUAGCUUCCUGAAAGUUUGAACUUGUAGAUUAGUGUACCAGAUAAGUUACUAAUGAGACAAAAACAAACAAAGUAGGUUAAACGUUCAUGCAUAACUUAUUUUGGUGAACUACUGUAAUACAUUAGCAUGUAUUGUAGUGCCAACUACAUAAUAAAAUCACUUUCGGAACAUAUGUCCAUGUAGCAUGCCUACUGUAUUGUCUAUUUCCUCACAUUCAUUGACAUCUAAGGAUAAAGAGACAUGGUUUAAAGUAGGAUGAACAUAGUAUGACAUUAUUCAUAUCAUGGGCAAACAGAUAUAAAACAAACAGGCUAUUUUAUCAUUGUGUGCGCAUGUGAACAUAACAACUAGAUUACAGAUCAAGACCAAAAGAAUAUCCUUCAUCUCUUUUAAACCAUGUAAGGUGAAAUGAUACGUUAAGACAACUGUGAAUAAAAGUGAACAGAGUAACUGACAUUGGCUGCAAACCAAGUAGUUAAAUGAACACAUCACUGUACCAAUUAGUUCAAGGCAGGGGGAGUAAGGACUUACAACAGCGGCUUGAACUGGUGUGCUCAUGCCCUUCAUCUUGCUGGUGUGGCAAUCCUUGAAGAUUUGCACUGCAUUCGCUUCAGGUUCUUUUUGGUCCGCACGGGCUUUCCUCUGUAUUUGGAACAAGUCAAUAUAGAUACGAUAAUAUGGCACAAAAAUAAGAAGGAAGUAGCAGCUAUUUACAAGAGCCUCGCAGUGUGCAAUAUAGCUACGAGAUCCUGUUGUCUGUUGGAAUUUCACUUUAGAACGGUUGGUUUUAUUCUUCACACAGUUAGCCUAGAAGAAGAUACACUUGUAAGGCACAUACAUAAAUACAAGUUCAAUAUGUGGUCUGAUCAAAUACAUAUAGCCUACCUAAUACUUUGGAUCAGACCAGUGUUUAACGAGGGCUGUCCAGUCUUCAUCUGUAAUAUAUUCCACUAGAGAUGUUUGGGCGAUUUCAUUGUUAGCCUUGCCUUCAAAGUGAGAUUUUCUAAGAUGGUACCGAUACUGUCGCAGAGCAGACUGAAAAACAUGAGUGCAUGCUUGUUUAGUUGCAUCAUCUUUCGGAUCCAACUUGAACCUGAUCUGUUGAAAAAAGAAUGUGAGUCUUAUUAGGAGGAAGCUAGAAAGUAUGGGACAGAGCAAGACAAUAUUACUAAUUGCGAUGAAUAACAUUACUUACGGAUAAAUGGUCAAGGAAGGUGUUAAACUGGGUAUUGUCUUUCUCAUUCCUGUACUGGAUCCACGUUGGGAGGAUACGUGCAUGACACCUAACGGCAACGGCUGCCUCUGAUACUAACUUGGCUGACUGUGUAGCAUUACGUGGCCUUUUUAAACCUGCCUCAAAAUGGAUCUCCAUUCUUCCUCCUUUAGAUUUUGUUAAUCUGUCAAGCAUUAUUCCUGAUGUCUGUUUCCGCUUGCACCGUGGUGCUAGUUCAAUAACGAAUAUGGAAAGUGUUAGUGUACAUCAAACUGUGAGAGUACAUAUAAAGGAGCAUGCAACUGCAACUUGACUCGGUCAGGUACUGUCUUGGUGUUGAUGCUCAUGAGGUUCAUCUGAUCUUGCCAAGUCCUGUUGUGUCAGCAGUGCUUUGGAAGUAGUGUUAGGUGUGAAGGCAGCUUGGGAACUGGCCAGUUCCGGUGCAAACGAACGAGUAACUGGUUGAGAUGCUGGUACAGUUGAAGCGGAUGCUGCAGCUGGUGGAGCAGGUGAUACUGUGUUUGUAGAUUUAGCCGGUGGACUUGGACCUUCUACUGCACUAUAAGUACCAGCAGAAUCUCGACGGCAGAACCUUUUCCGUUUUACCCGACGAGUAACAGCACUCCCUACUAUAUUAUUUUCCUUGGUCUUUUUUGACUUUGCCAUGUCAAGCUGUACCCACAACACAAAAGAAUAAAAUCACUCUUCAGAACUCAUUGAUGCAUGAUACAAACAAGCAAUACUUUGAUGUAAGACAACCGUAUGAGGAUGGAAUAUGUAAGAAAAACAGGACGGCAUGACAUAUUCACAGCUAUGAUGUGCAAACUAAGCAGAAGGAUUUUCAAGAAAAUAUAAGUAAUGCAAGCUAGACACCAUAUGAAAGAUGCAACCAAUAUUACUCUGCCAAGUUAAAAGUGUCUUGUCAUAAGUGGCAAUUCGAAAAAUUAGAAGCAGUACAACAUAGAAAUCAAUGCAAGAUGCAACCACUAUCAAACUGCCAUGUUAAAAGCGUCCAAUCAUGAGUGACUGAUGCGGGAUACACAACAGCAGUACUUUGAUGUAAGAACAUGGUAUGAUAGAUAGAUGUAGUGUAUUCUAGACACUGAAAGCCAUGUCAUAUGCACAUGUAUAACGUAUGAACUCAGCACGUGCAACUUAAUCAAAAUAGAAGAAAUACAGGCUAGAUAACAUAUGCAACAUGAAACCAAUUAUCACACUGUCAACUUAGAGCAAGCACCUGCGAUGGUGGAGUAUGGGAGAUGAACUCAUCAUGUAGACUUGGGACUUCAACUUCAUUAGCAGUAGUAGUGGCAAAUCUAGAGAGUCUCUGUUUGUGUCGGUCCGGAGGACCACCAACAUCCCCUAACUUACUCUUUUCCUUCCUAUUUUCUGAUAUUGCCUUAUGAAGUCAAAACCACAAGAAGAUGAAUAAAAUUAGCUCUGCAUAACUGGUUGAUGCAUGAUACAGACGAACACUACUUUGAUGUAAGGCAAGCGCAAGAUAGGAGGAUGGAAUAUAUACAAAAAAAGACAACGUUUCAUAUUCACAUGUACGAUAGGAGGAUGGAAUAUGUAUGAAAAAACAGUAAGCGAAAGGCAUUUCAACAAAAUUAGAAGAAAUGAAAGCUAGGCACCAUAUGAACAUGCAACCAAUAUCACUCUAUCAGGUAAAAUGUGUCUUGUCGUAAGUGCCAUUUCAAGAAAUUAGAAGCAGUACAAGCUAGAAGACAAUGCAAGAUGCAACCUACAUCACAGUCCCAAGUUAAAUGUGUCUUAUGGGUAAGUGAUCGUUGUAGGUAUAAGUUGUAAGCUACGCAGAUGCAAUUCAACAUAAUCAGAAGCAAUACAAACUAGACAUCAUACGGAAAACACAACCAUGUAUAAUAGUUCCAAGUAAGAGCAAGCACCUGUGAUGGUGGAGUAGGGGAGAUGUGCUCAUCAUGUACACGUAUGUUCUAGAAACAGGAACACGUGUCAUAUUCACAGGCAUUACGUGUAAAGUAAGCAGAUGCAAUUCAAGUUAGAAGCAAUACAAGAUAGACAUCAUACGCAACAUGCAACCACAUAUAAUAGUGUCAAGUUAGAGCAAGCACCUGUGAUGGUGGAGUAGGGGAGAUAUGCUCAUCAUCUACAUAGCUACGUUGACUGUCCAGCCUUGUGUUGUCUUGCGAAUCUUGUUGGGAGGAUGGCGGAGUAGAAUCUAUAGAGACCCCCUAUUUGAGUUGCUCCGAAGGACCACCAUCAUCCACUGUCGCACUAAUUUCCUUCAGCUGUAAUGAUUUUGCAUUGUGAAGUCAAACCGAUAAGAAAAAAGAAUAAAAUUCGCUCUUCAGAACUCAUUCAUGCAUGAUACUGACGAACACUACUCGGAUGAAAGGCAAACACAUGAUGUGAGGAUGGAAUAUGUAUGAAAAAUAGGAUGGUGUGACAUAUUCACACCUAUGAUGUGGUAACUAAGCAGAAGGCAUUUCAACAAAUUAGAAGCACUGCAAGCUAGACACCAUAUGAAAGAUGCAACCAAUAUCACUCUGCCAAGUUCAAACUGUAUGGCGUUUCAACAAAUUAGAAGCAGUACAUGCUAGAAAUCAUAUGCAAGACACAACCAAUAUCACAGUGGCGACUUAAAGGUGCCUUAUCAUAAGUGACUGAUGCGGGAUAUGCAAGAAUAGUAGUCUGAUGUAGAAACAGGAACACAUGUCAUAUUCACAAGCAUUAUGUGUAAAGUAAGCAGAUGCAAUUCAACAAAGUUAGAAGCAAUACAAGCUAGACAUCAUACGCAACAUGCAACCACAUAUAAUAGUGCCCAGUUAGAGCAAGCACCUGUGAUGGUGGAGUAGGGGAGAUGUGCUCAUCAUCUACACAGCUACGUUGACUGUCUAGCCUUGCGUUGUCUUGCGAAUCUUGUUGGGAGGAUGGCGGAGUAGAAUCUGUAGAGAACCUCCGUUUCAGUUGCUCGGAAGGACCACCAUCAUCCAAUGCCUUGCCAAUUUCCUUCAGCUUUAUUGAUUUUGCAUUGUGAGGUCAUACCGACAAGAAAAAGGAAUAUCAUUCUCUCUUCAGAACUCAUUCAUGCAUGAUACUGACGAACACUACUCUGAUGAAAGGCAAAGUCAUGAUACGAGGAUGGAAUAUGUACAAAAAAUGGACGGCUUGACAUAUUCACACCUAUGAUGUGGUAACUAAGCAGAAGGCACUUCAACAAAUUAGAAACACUGCAAGACACCAUAUGGAAGGUGCAAUCAAUAUCACUCUGCCAAGUUAAAACUGUCUCGUCAUAGGUGGCGUUCAUCAAACUAGAAGCAAUACAUGCUAGAAAUCAUAUUCAAGACGCAAACCAAUAUCACACUGCCAACUUAAAGGUGUCCCAUCAUAAGUGACUGAUGCAGGAUACACAAGAAGAGUAGUUUCAUGUAAGAACAUGGUGUGAUAGACAGAUAUAGUAUGUACCAAAAACAGGAAAGCGUGUCAUAUUCACAUGUAUCAUGUGUAAGCUAAGCAGAUGCAGUUUACACUAAUUAGGAGCAAUACGAGCUAGACACCAUAUGCAACAUGCAACCAGAUAUCACACUGCCAAGUUAGAGCAAGCACCUUGGAUGGUGGAGUAGGGGAGCGGAGACUUGGACCUUGUAAUGCACUAUGAGUACAAGGAGAAUCGGUACAGAUGAUCCGUUUACGUUGCUGCAGAGGACCACCAUCAUCGCCUUCCUUACUCUUUUCCUUCCUCUUUCUUGAUUUUGCCUUGUCAAGUCAAACCCACAAGAAAAAGGAAUAAAAUUUGCUCUUCAGAACUCAUUGAUGCAUGAUACUGACGAACACUACUUUCAUGUAAGGCAGCCGCAUGAUAGGAGGAUGGAAUAUGUAUGAAAAACAGGAUGACGUGACAUAUUGACAUGUAUGAUGUAUAAAGUGUAAACUAAGCACAAGGUGCUUGAACUUGUUAGAAUCGAUGCAAGCUAGAAACCAUAUGAAAGAUGAAACCAAUAUCACUCUGCCAAAUUAAAAGGGCGCCCUCAGAAAUGUAUUUGACCAAAUUAGAAGCAAUACAUGGCAACAGGCUAGAAAUAAUAUGCAAUAUGCAACGAAUAAAGGUGACUCAUCGUAAGUGAUUGAUGCAUGAUACAGAAGAGAGGUAGUUUCAUGUAAGAACAAGGUUAACGCAUAGAUGUAGUGUGUACCAAAAAUAGGAAGGCAUGUCAUAUUCACAGGUAUAGUGUGUAAACUAAGUAGAUGCAAUUUACCCUAAUUAGAAGCAUUACAAGCUAGACACCGUAUGCAACAUGCAACCACAUAUCACACUGUGAAGUUAGAGCAAGCACUUGUGAUGGUGGUGUAGGGGAAGUGCGGUCUUCAGGUACAGAGCUACAUUCAAUAUCUUCAUUUAGGCUUGCUGUUUCUUGAGAAUCAUGUGGAGAGGAUGAAAUUGCAUUCUUUAUAAGAGUAUUGCGUCUCAUAUUAACCCACGCGCGUGAUUGUCUCAUCAUAAGCGAUAGACGCAGGAUACACAAGAACAGUAGUUUGAUGUAAGAACAUGGUGUGAUAGGCAGAUGUAGUAUGUACCAAAAACAGGAAGGCGUGUCAUAUUCACAUGUAUAAUGUGUAAGCUAAGGAGAUGCAAUUUAACAAAUUAGGAGCAUUGAUGAGGGAUACACAAGAAAAGUAGUUUGAUGUAAGAACAUGGUUAAUAGAAAGACGUAGUAUGUACCAACAACAGGAAGGCAUGUCAUAUUCACAGGUAUAAUGUGUUAACUAAGCAGAUGCAAUUUACCCUAAUUAGAAGCAUUACAAGGUAGACACCAUAUGCAACAUGCAACCACAUAUCACACUGCCAAGUAAGAGCAAGCACCUGCGAUGGUGGUGUGGGGGAAUUGCGGUGAUCAACUAGAGAGCUACGUUGACUAUCUUCAUUUAGCCUUGCUGUUUCUUGAGAAUCAUGUGGGGAGGAUGACACCGCACUCUUUAAAUGAGUAGGGCAUCUCACAGUAACCCACUCGGGUGACUGUCUCAUCAUAAGUGAUUGACGAGGGAUACAAAAGAGCAUUAGUUUGAUGUACGAACAUGGUUAAUAGACAUAUGUAGUAUGUAUCAAAAACAGGAAGGCAUGUCAUUAUCAAAGGUAUAAUGUGUAAAGUAAGCAGAUGCAAUUUAACCAAAUUGGAAGCAAUACAAGCUAGACACCAUAUGCAACAUGCAACCACAUUUGACAGCGCGAAGUUAAAGCAAGCAUCUGGGAUGGUUGUGUGUGGCAAUUGAGAUCAUCAACUGCAGAGCUACGUUUACUGUCUUCAACUGCUGACACUGCACCCAUUAGAGCGCUGAAACGCUUAGUGCUUAUCUUCGAAUUACACUGGAGCGACUUCUGUCUUUUCUUUUCUGCAUUCAUCAACACUGCGUCAGAGUCUGAAAUACCCAUGCAUAAAAAAACAAUAGUGUGAGUAUGGGUGAAGUGUGUGCACAAUUAGUAUAGUGUAAAGGUAGCAGAUAGAAGGUCGGUGAGAAAUAAAUGACGGGAGACAUAUGAUAGCUCUACAACAUGCAUGGCACACUAAAUUACUACAGGAUUCUAUGAAAAUAACAGUCGACUGAAAGCAAAUAGGUCAGUCCAUUUUUUCUGCACCGUCCGAUGUACAAAGAACGGGCAGAUCGCCUUCAUCUACCUCCAGCCAGUCAGUGUUGACGAUCUUCCUCGAAACGCCAGCGACCACCGGCCUAGUAUUCCUCCCUGCCUGCGCCCUCCCCUCGACCUCACCGCACCGCCGUGCUUGGCACCGCCCCCCGGCCAUCCAUUCAAGCCCCGCCGACCUCCAGAUCGGGCGCAAGCAGCUCCUGCGCCCCACACCCCUAUGAUAGACACCGAUGUGCCGCUUCCUCGGGGAACGGGCAGACUAGGUGCUCCACGCGCCUAAGCGGGUGCUGCUUCUUUUAAUUGCGGUUCGACUGACCCUGAAUUGAAAUCCAGGCGGGCUACUGACCUCUAGCAAAGGUGAAAUAGUAAAAAGGAGGAAACCUUGUGCAUUUAGUAUCACGAAGAAGAUGCAGUAAGAAGCGCUCAACUAGUUUCUUUCGUGGGAUGAAUACGGUGUGAGCGGAGACGUAAGAUUUGCACGAAUAAGGGAAGAGGAGUACCUCUUUCUGCUGGCAGUGUUGUGUCCUCCUUCUGUUUUUCCGACGAUCUUCUUGUUGUUCGCCGGAAACCAGAAGUUGUGGAGGACGAUGCAGCCUUGGAUGAACCCAUGGCCAAGUUAUUGAGUGUGGUGCGGUGGCCAUCUGUCGGCGGCGGGGAAGCAGAUCCGAGGCGGCGAACGACGGCGUAGCGGGAAUAGCUCCGGUGCGGUGGACGGUUGCGACAGUGGAGCCGCAGCAGUGAGGCACAGGACGGCGUGGUCGGAGUGGUUCUGGUACGACGCACAUCGGCGUCGGCGUCGUGGAGGCAGCUCUGCCUCGGCUUCAGCUGCUAAUUCCUUGAGGGCGUUGUGGUUGCGGUUGCAUUGGACGACGACGUCGGGGUACCGGCUCCGGCGUGAUGGAGGAGGGCGGCAGUGGAUUGGCCGCUAUGGGGUGGAGGACGGAGGAGGCUGGGGUUUCACGGCUGGUGGAGAGGGCGUUUUCGCGCCCACGGAGUAUGAAUGGGGAAACGGAGGGAGGCGGGGAACUAAGGGGGAACAAUGUUUCGGUUUGAGACGCGCUUGUUUGAUAUUUGGGGAAAGUUACAAACUUUGCCCCCAUCUAAAAUUUCGGACAUAUUGCGGGUUGGGGGUAGGACAGUCAUGUCAGGUGUCCCAAAUGUGGGCGGGAUAGAUUUCGGCCGAGCGCAUGGGUAGGCGCCCACGGCGUAUGAAUGCUUCUCGGAGGCGGUUGAGACUGGCGUCUUGGUGAAGUUACAAACCUACCCCGGUUUAGACCUUUGGACAUCGGGCCGAUAGGCUACACGGGCCAGAGUCAGGACAGUAAUUUCCUGCCACCAAAACAUUAGUCUCGCGCGGUUUCGGGUGACCAGAGGCCUAUUUGGCGCUUCGUUCAAUAUUUGGGAGCAGAAGCAUUAACGUUUUCGGUUCUCUUGAAUUGAACUUUCAGGAUUUGUCAAACUUCACAAAUCUUUAUUCUUGAAAAUCCUAAAGCUACAAUUAUUUUGGAAUGGAGGGGGUACAUUUGAAUAUACAUUGUACACGAGUAUAUAUUAAAAAAAUAUGCAACUUACCUCAGUUCAUGCAUGGUUCCAGAUAUAAUCUCCUUGGUUGCAAAAAAAAGUUAGAUAUGCGUAUGAAUAUAUAUAGCAUGUUCAAACUCACAACAAAGAUUGAUGCCCCCUUUUACAUCUGAUUUACAAAUGCCAUUAUCCCGGGUUCAAAUAGAUGAAUGCACUUCCUAUGAAUUCGAAUCUUCGAAACCCCCUUUAUGUUGAAUUCGACAUGUAUUCUAUUUCGUAGCUAGAAAUUUGGAAUGUAUCCAUGCAAGUGACAAAUGUAUAAAGUGCUUCACACUAACAACAUGGAGUGCACUAAUUAAUGUUUAUAUAUGAAUUGCAAAAGCAUCCAUUGCCUGUAUUUCAAACCGCUCUCACUCUAUGGAUCGAUAAUAUGAAAUAAACACAUGCACAUGCUAGAAUUCAAUAGAGUAUGGGUGUCUGAUAGACCGAUUUUCGUCCAUAUGCAAUUUGCAAAAUUCAUGAUCUCAUCCAAAAAUAAUAAUGCCAUUUAUAUUUUAAUUUAAUGCGUAGAACCGCCUUUUACACGUAGAUGCACUAUGCCUCGCCCCGUUCUCACAAACGCGUUAUAUAUCUCUCUAUCUAACGCAUAAGUGCACACACUUUAUGUGCAUCGGCAUUUCUCUUUCACACAUGCUCACAAUCUCUCUCAGGGUGUCGGGGUGUCUCACGCACAUGCUCUCUCUGUUUCUCUCUCUCUCUCUCUCUCUCUCUCUCUUUCUGACUACUAUGUACCACUCUUUUCACUAAUCUCAGUUGGAAAACACUAUUUCUCUCACAUGCAUAUAUACACAUGCACGGUUUCUACUAGCCCUCUAUACGCACAUAUAUGUGCGUACGUGUGUCCCGCACACACAUUAUCUUUAGGCCUCUCUCACACACAUUGCCCCCCGACACACCUCUCUCUUAGUAGUUGGCAGAUAUGAUUUCAUCAUAUCAUUCGGUAGGAUACCCCUGGCUGUUAGGCUGGAUGGUAAUACGAGGCAAAGUUUUACCCUAGUUCGGAUCGGACCCUUGCAGUUGAAGAAAGAGCCUACUCCUGGUACUGUAUAUUAGUGAUAGGGGUGUGUACAAAGUACACGUGAAUACCAGGCAUUGUGCGUGUGUGUAUACUAUCGACGAACUAGCCCCCAAGCUUGUAUAACAUACUAAGGGCCUAGGGUUACAAAUCAUAUAUAGUCGGCUUAUCACCAGUGGGGAUAGAGUCCUCCACGAGUCUGGUAGCUUCGUGUUGUACGCCGAGUCCUCCACAUGGGUCUUCGUAUAACACGUCUCGGUCCAACCUAUAUGUGGCGCAGGAUGGAACCGACCCAUGAGUCUUCAUGUUGACCCACCACAACUAGAAAUGAUGUGCCCACCACACCACACACGCAAUCGGCCACUAAGAAAAUAAGCAUAUACAAUAGUACAACGGUAUCUAGCUCACGAUACGUCUCCAUAUUUUGUUGAUGACACUGACGGACUUUGCAUUUGAUGCGUGCUCCGUAUUUUGUUGACGACACUUACGGUCAUUGUAUUUGAAGCGAAAGCACGAUAUGGUCACUGGACUUCAGAAUAAGCUCAUCAUGGUCACCACAUACAUUUUGUCGUGCUAACCAACAUGUGGUUGGAUGGUUAGAGGACAGUGGUUUCUUGAGCCCACCAAGGUUAAAGUCCCGGUGCUCGCAUUUAUCUUGUGUUAAUUUCAGUAUUUUCCGGCGAUGUACGUUCAGUGGGAGGAGACGUUCCACUCGACUAUGAGGCACCUAUGGUGACUUCGUAAAAUCUCAAGAUCAUAUAUGCUGGCCCACUCUCUCGAAGGUGCUCAUAGGGGUAGGGUUCGCGUGUGUGCGCUUAUAGCGGUGAGUGCUUGCACGUAUAUAUGAGCCCUUGCGUCUGUACCGUGUUAAACAAAUACAUAUCAUGAUUAUACGGUCACUGGCUCACCCGUACAACUUCGUAUUUUGUUGAUGACACAAUCAAUUGACUAGUCAAACGUUCCACGCGGCGCAACUAGUGUUGCACCAUCGGGGCGCGUCACUGUGGGGCCCACCUGUCAGCCCGUAUAUGAAAGAAAGAAAUGGUAGUUUGAGUCUAUACUGUGUUAAUAAAAUAGGAGUACAUUUUAGGGUGAUCAUACGGUCACUGACUCACCAUACAGCUCCAUAAUUUGUUGAUAACACGAUCAAUUGACCAGUCAAACGGUAAUGAAGGACAGAAAUGGUAAUAAAUUAGUGGUCGGUGGGUAUUCGAAGUCGUGAGACCUCUGGUUGGCAGUCACCGGUGGUUGGGGGCGUUCAUUGGGCGGUGGGGUGGGGAUCCCCGGAGAAAAAGCUCGNNNNNNNNNNNNNNNNNNNNNNNNNNNNNNNNNNNNNNNNNNNNNNNNNNNNNNNNNNNNNNNNNNNNNNNNNNNNNNNNNNNNNNNNNNNNNNNNNNNNNNNNNNNNNNNNNNNNNNNNNNNNNNNNNNNNNNNNNNNNNNNNNNNNNNNNNNNNNNNNNNNNNNNNNNNNNNNNNNNNNNNNNNNNNNNNNNNNNNNNNNNNNNNNNNNNNNNNNNNNNNNNNNNNNNNNNNNNNNNNNNNNNNNNNNNNNNNNNNNNNNNNNNNNNNNNNNNNNNNNNNNNNNNNNNNNNNNNNNNNNNNNNNNNNNNNGCUAGAGGGAUGGCCGGUGCAGCGGCGGACCGGCGGUGGGGAGUGGUUUCAGGGAGGGCGGGCCGGCCGCGGGCGACGGGGGUUGGCGGUUCGGCCGGUGGUGGCUGGCGGCUCAGGGGGGGUGGAGUUUGAUGAUAAACUGGAGGCCCUUGAUUUCGUAUCCAAUGGCUGGAAAAUCUAAUGACCAGAGAUGAAAAAGUCAGUCGACUGACGUGUAUCCUCACCCCGCACGUACACAUACACGCACGCAAGACACGCACGCAUGUAGGCAUGCAACACUGACACGUACACACGCACGCAUGCUGGCGUGCAACACUGACACGUACACAUGCACUCACGAACACACGCACGUACGCACCCAUGCAUGCAACACCGAAACGUACCCUUGCACGCACGCAACACUCGCACACCUGCAUGCACACAGCACACGACGCAAGACACACGCUCAACCUAUACGUGCAUGCACCCUUUGUUAAGGACAUGGAUUGUUACGGGUAUUAAUCAAUCUUAUCUGUGAUAAGCAGAACAUUGAUGUUUGCAGCGGUCUUUAUGAAUCACAACGUAUCAAACGGGUUAUCAACAUAGUAGGCUUAUCUACCUGAAAAAGAUGACGUCACACUCAAUGAACAAUCAUCGGUUUAUGAAAUGCCCGCUUCUGACCGCCCUGGCCCACCAAAGGUUCCUCUGCUGUGCGCUGCCUGCAUUGGGUCACUGACAUGCAGGCCAUGCACCCAAAGAGCCCACACGUCAGUGGAAGAACGGCGCGGUGUCCUAGGUCAGAGUCGAGGGCGCCACUCGCGGCACGCCCGGCUGAACACGCCUCCGUGCCGCAUUCAAACGCCUCCAUGAAACCCGCCCGUGUGGAAGCCGAGAAACCCACUCUGGACACACGUCCGUGUUGGAAAUAUGCCCUAGAGGCAAUAAUAAAUUGGUUAUUAUUAUAUUUCCUUGUUCAUGUAAUCAUUUAUUAUCCAUGCUAGAAUUGUAUUGAUAGGAAACUCAGAUACAUGUGUGGAUGCAUAGACAACACCGUGUCCCUAGUAAGCCUCUAGUUGACUAGCUCGUUGAUCAAUAGAUGGUUACGGUUUCCUGACCAUGGACAUUGGAUGUCGUUGAUAACGGGAUCACAUCAUUAGGAGAAUGAUGUGAUGGACAAGACCCAAUCCUAAGCCUAGCACAAGAUCGUGUAGUUCGUUUGCUAAGAGCUUUUCUAAUGUCAAGUAUCAUUUCCUUAGACCAUGAGAUUGUGCAACUCCCGGAUACCGUAGGAAUGCUUUGGGUGUACCAAACGUCACAACGUAACUGGGUGGCUAUAAAGGUGCACUACAGGUAUCUCCGAAAGUGUCUGUUGGGUUGGCACGAAUCGAGACUGGGAUUUGUCACUCUGUGUAAACGGAGAGGUAACUCUGGGCCCACUUGGUAGGACAUCAUCAUAAUGUGCACAAUGUGACCAAGGGGUUGAUCACGGGAUGAUGUGUUACGGAACGAGUAAAGAGACUUGCCGGUAACGAGAUUGAACAAGGUAUCGGGAUACCGAUGAUCGAAUCUCGGGCAAGUACUAUACCGCUACACAAAGGGAAUUGUAUACGGGAUUGAUUGAAUCCCCGACAUCGUGGUUCAUCCGAUGAGAUCAUCGUGGAACAUGUGGGAGCCAACAUGGGUAUCCAGAUCCCGCUGUUGGUUAUUGGCCGGAGAACGUCUCGGUCAUGUCUGCAUGGUUCCCGAACCCGUAGGGUCUACACACUUAAGGUUCGAUGACGCUAGGGUUAUAGGGAAUAGAUAUACGUGGUUACUGAAUGUUGUUCGGAGUCCCGGACAUCACGAGGAGUUCCGGAAUGGUCCGGAGGUAAAGAUUUAUACAUGGGAAGUCCUGUUUUGGUCACCGGAAAAGUUUCGGGUGCUAUCGGUAACGUACCGGGACCACCGGGAGGGUCCCGGGGGUCCACCAGGUGGGGCCACCAGCCCCAGAGGCCUACAUGGGCCAAUAGUGGGAAGGGACCAGCCCCUAGGUGGGGUGGGGCGCCUCCCACAAAGGCCCAAGGCGCCCUCAAGAGGAGAGGGGGCAAACCCUAGGAGCAGAUGGGCCCUAGGGCCCACCCUAGGUGCGCCCCCCUCUCUCCCCCUUGGCCGCCACCCAGAUGGGAUAUGGGGGCUGGCGGCACCCCUGGGGAGGGAACCCUAGGUGGGGGCGCAGCCCCUCCUCUUCCCCUAUAUAUACUUGAGGUAUGGGGGCUGCCCAACACAUGAUUUGUUCUCCCUCUUGGCGCAGCCAUACCUCCCUCCCUCCUCGUCUCUUGCAGUGCUUGGCGAACCCUGCUAGAGUACCGCGCUCCUCCACCACCACCACGCCGUCGUGCUGCUGCUGGACGGAGUCUUCCCCAACCUCUCCCUCUCUCCUUGCUGGAUCAAGGCGUGGGAGACGUCACCGGGCUGCACGUGUGUUGAACGCGGAGGCGCCGUGGUUCGGCGCUUAGAUCGGAAUCAACCGCGAUCUGAAUCGCUACGAGUACAACUCCUUCAUCUGCGUUCUUGCAACGCUUCCGCAUCGCGAUCUACAAGGGUAUGUAGAUGCACUCCCCUUCCCCUCGUUGCUAGAUUACUCCAUAGAUUGAUCUUGGUGGUGCGUAGAAAAUUUUGAAUUUUCGCUACGUUCCCCAACAGUGGCAUCGUGAGCUAGGUCUAUGCAUAGUUUCUAUGCACGAGUAGAACACAAAGUAGUUGUGGGCGUCGAUUUUGUCAAUUUACUUGCCGUUACUAGUCUUAUCUUGAUUUGACGGCAUCGUGGGAUGAAGCGGCCCGGACCGACCUUACACGUACACUUACGUGAGACAGGUUCCACCGACUGACAUGCACUAGUUGCAUAAGGUGGCUAGCGGGUGUCUGUCUCUCCCACUUUAGUCGGAUCGGAUUCGAUGAAAAGGGUCCUUAUGAAGGGUAAAUAGAAAUUGGCAUAUCACGUUGUGGUUUUUGCGUAGGUAAGAAACGUUCUUGCUAGAAACCCAUAGCAGCCACGUAAAACAUGCAACAACAAUUAGAGGACGUCUAACUUGUUUUUGCAGGGUAUGCUAUGUGAUGUGCUAUGGCCAAAAGGAUGUGAUGAAUGAUAUAUGUGAUGUAUGAGAUUGAUCAUGUUCUUGUAAUAGGAAUCACGACUUGCAUGUCGAUGAGUAUGACAACCGGCAGGAGCCAUAGGAGUUGUCUUAAUUUAUUGUAUGACCUGCGUGUCAAAGAAAACGCCAUGUAAUUACUUUACUUUAUUGCUAACCGUUAGCCAUAGUAGUAGAAGUAAUAGUUGGCGAGACAACUUCAUGAAGACACAAUGAUGGAGAUCAUGAUGAUGGAGAUCAUGGUGUCAUGCCAGUGACGAAGGUGAUCAUGCCGCGCCUCGAAGAUGGAGAUCAAAGGCGCAGGCCAUAUCACGUCACUUUAUGAUUUGCAUGUGAUGUUUGUCAUGUUUACAUCUUAUUUGCUUAGAACGACGGUAGCAUAAAUAAGACGAUCCCUCACUAAAAUUUCAAGAGACGUGUUCCCCCUAACUGUGCACCGUUGCUAAGGUUCGUUGUUUCGAAGCACCACGUGAUGAUCGGGUGUGAUAGAUUCUAACGUUCGAAUACAACGGGUGUUGACGAGCCUAGCAUGUACAGACAUGGCCUCGGAACACAUGCGAAACACUUAGGUUGACUUGACGAGCCGAGCAUGUACAGACAUGGCCUCGGAACACAAGAGACCGAAAGGUCGAACAUGAGUCGUAUAGUAGAUACGAUCAACAUGGAGAUGUUCACCGAUGAUGACUAGUCCGUCUCACGUGAUGAUCGGACACGGCCUAGUUUGACUCGGAUCAUGUAUCACUUAGAUGACUAGAGGGAUGUCCAUCUGAGUGGGAGUUCAUUAAAUAAUCAGAUGAACUUAAUUAUCAUGAACAUAGUCAAAAGGUCUUUGCAAAUUAUGUCAUAGCUUACGCUUUAGUUCUACUAUUUAAGAUAUGUUCCUAGAGAAAAUUUAGUUGAAAGUUGGUAGUAGCAAUUAUGCGGACUGGGUCUGUAAACUGAGGAUUGUCCUCAUUGCUGCACAGAAGUCUUAUGUCCUUAAUGCACCGCUCGGUGUGCUAAACCUUAGCGUCGUCUGUAGAUGUUGCGAAACAUCUGACAUACACGUUUUGAUGACUACGUGAUAGUUCAGUGCGUAAUGCUAACGGUUUAGAAUUGUGGCACCAAAGACGGUUUUGAAACGUCGCAGAACAUAUGAGAUGUUCCGAAGACUGAAAUUGGGAUUUCAGACUAGUGCCCACGUCAAGAGGUAUGAGACCUCUGACAAGUUUCUUAAGCCUGCAGACUAAGGGGGAGAAGCUCAAUCGUUGAGCAUGUGCUCAGAUUGUCUGAGUGCCACAAUCGCUUGAAUCGAGUGGGAGUUAAUCUUCCAAAUGAGAUAGUGAUGGUUCUCCAUAGUCACUGCCACCAAGCUAUUAGAGCUUCGUGAUGAACUAUAACAUAUCAGAGAUAGAUAUGAUGAUCCUUGAGCUAUUCGCGAUGUUUGACACCGCGAAAGUAGAAAUCAAAUAGGAGCAUCAAUUGUUGAUGGUUAAUAAAACCACUAGUUUCAAGAAGGGCAAGGGCAAAAAGGGAUACUUCAUGAAACAACAAAUCAUUUGCUGCUCUAGUGAAGAAUCCCAAGAUUAAACCCAAACUCGAGACUAAGUGCUCCUGUAAUGAGGGGAACGGUCACUGAAGUAGAACUACCCUAGAUACUUGGUAGAUGAGAAGGCAGGCAAGGUCGACAGAAGUAUAUUGGAUAUACAUUAUAUGAAUGUGUACUUUACUAGUACUCCUAGCAGCACCAGGGUAUUAGAUACCGGUUCGGUUGCUAAGUGUAAGUAACUCGAAAUAAAAGCUGCGGAAUAAACGGAGACUAGCUAAAGGUGAGGUGACGAUAUGUGUUGGAAGUAUUUCCAAGGUUGAUGUGAUCAAGCGUCGCAUGCUCCCUCUACAAUCGAGAUUGGUGUUAAACCUAAAUAAUUGUUAUUUGGUGUUUGCGUUGAGCAUAAACAUGAUUGGAUUAUGUUUAUCGCAAUACGGUUAUUCAUUUAAGGAGAAUAAUGGUUACUCUGUUUAUUUGAAUAAUACCUUCAAUGGUCUUGCACCUAAAAUGAAUCUCGAUCGCAGUGAUACACAUGUUCGUGCCAAAAGAUAUAAAAUAGUAAUGAUAGUACCACAUACUUGUGGCACUGCCAUUUGAGUCAUAUUGGUAUAGAACGCAUGAAGAAGCUCCAUGUAAAUGGAUCUUUGGACUCACUCAUUUUUGAAAAGAUUGAGACAUGCGAACCAUGUCUAUUGGUAUGAAGAAACUCCAUGCAGAUGGAUCGUUUGGAAUCACUUGAUUUUCAAUCACUUGAGACAUGCAAAUCAUACCACAUGGGCAAGAUGACUGAAAGGCCUCAUUUUCAGUAAGAUGGAACAAGAGAGCAACUUGUUGGAAGUAAUACAUUUUGAUGUAUGCAGUCCAAUGAGUGCUGAGGCAUGCAGUGGAUAUCGUUAUGUUCUUACUUCACAGAUGAUUUGAGUAGAUGCUGAGUGUAUUUACUUGAUGAAACACAAGUCUGAAUUAUUGAAAGGUUCAAGUAAUUUCAGAGUGAAGUUGAAGAUCGUCGUGACAAGAGGAUAAAAUGUCUGUGAUAUGAUCAUAGAGAUGAGUAUCUGAGUUACGAGUUUGGCACACAAUUAAGACAUUGUGGAAAGUGUUUCACAAUUAAUACCGCCUGGAACACCACAGUGUGAUGGUGUGUCCGAACAUCAUAACUGCACCCUAUUGGAUAUGGUGCAUACCAUGAUGUCUCUUAUCAAAUUAUCACUAUCGUUUAUGGGUUAGGCAUUAGAGAUAACCGCAUUCACUUUAAAAGGGGCACCACGCAAUUCCGUUGAGACGACACCGUUUAGAAAAACCUAAGUUGUCGUUUCUUAAAAGUUUGGGGCUGCGAUGCUUAUGUGAAAAAGUUUCAGGCUAAUAAGCUCGAACCCAAAGCGGAUAAAUGCAUCUUCAUAGAAUACCCAAAACAGUUGGGUAUACCUCCUAUUUUCAGAUCUGGAAGCAAAAGUAAUUGCUUCUAGAAACGGUUCCUUUCUCGAGGAAAAGUUUCUCUCGAUAGAAUUGAGUGGGAGGAUGGUGGAGACUUGAUAAGGUUAUUGAACCGUCACUUCAACUAGUGUGUAGCAGGGCACAAGAAAUUGUUCCUGUGGCACCUACACCAAUUGAAGUGGAAGCUUAUGAUAGUGAUCAUGAAACUUCGGAUCAAGUCACUACCAAACCUCAUAGGACGACGAGGAUGCGUACUACUUCAGAGUAGUACGUGAUCCUGUCUUGGAAGUCAUGUUGCUAGACAACAAUGAACCUACGAGCUAUGGAGAAGCGAUGGUGGGCCCGGACUCCGACGAAUGGCUCGAGGCCAUGAAAUCCGAGAGAGGAUCCAUAGACUUUGGAAGAAAUACUUGAUAGUCGCAAGGCUGUUGGGUGCAGAUGGAUUUUAAAAGGAAGACAGACAAUGAUGGUAAGUGUCACCAUUAAGAAAGCUCGGCUUGUUGUUAAGAUGUUUUCCGACAAGUUCAAGGAGUUGACUACGAUGAGACUUUCUCACUCGUAGCGAUGCUAAGAGUCUGUUGGAAUUAUAUUAGCAGUUGCUGCAUUAUUUAUGAAAUCUUGCAGAUAGGAUGUCAAAACAUUGUUUCCUCGACGAUUUUCUUGAGGAAAGGUUGUAUGUGAUACAACCAGAAGGUUUUUGUCAAUCCUGAAAGAUGCUAACAAGUAUGCAAAGCUCCAGCAAUCCUUCUAAGGACUGGAGUAAGCAUCUCGGAGUUAGAAUGUACGCUUUGAUGAGAUGAUCAAAGAUUUUGGAUUUAUACAAAGUUUAUGAGAAACUUGUAUUUCCAAAGAAGUGAGUGGGAGCACUAUAGAAUUUCUGAUGAGUAUAUGUUGUUGACAUAUUGUUGAUCAGAGAUGAUGUAGAAUUUCUGGAAAGCAUACAGGGUUAUUUGAAAAGUGUUUUUAAUAAAAAACCUGGAUUAAGCUACUUGAACAUUGAGCAUCAAGAUCUAUAAGGAUAGAUAAAAAACUCUUAAUAGUACUUUCAAAUGAAUACAUACCGUUACAAGUUUUUGAAGGAGUUCAAAAUAGAUCAGCAAAGAAGGAGUUCUUGGCUGCGUUACAAGGUGUGAGUAUUGAGUAAGACUCAAGACCUGACCACAACAGAAGAGAGAGGAAGGACGAAGGUCGUCCCCUAUGCUUUAGACAUAGGCUCUACAAUAUGCUAUGCUGUGUACCGCACAUGAAGUGUGCCUUGCCAUGAGUUGGUCAAGGGGUACAAUAGUGAUCCGGGAAUUGAUCACAUGACAGCUGUCGAACUUAUCCUCAGUAUCUAGUGGACUAAGGAAUUUUCUCGAUUAUGGAGGUGAAAAGGAGUUCGUCGUAAAGGGUUACGUCGAUGCGAACUUUGACACUAAUCCGGAUGGCUCUGAGCAGUAAACCGGAUUCGUAUAGUAGAGUAGUUAUUUGAAAUGGCUCCAAGUAGCGCGUGGUAGCAUCCACAAGAUGACAUAGAUAUUCGUAAAGCACACACGGAUCUGAAAGGUUCAGACCCAUUGACUAAUAACCUCUCUCACAAGCAUAACAUGAUCAAACCAGAACUCAUUGAGUGUUAAUCACAUAGUGAUGUGAACUAGAUUGUUGACUCUAGUAAACUCUUUGGAUGUUGGUCACAUGGUGAUGUGACCUGUGAGUGUUAAUCACAUGGUGAUGUGAACUAGAUUAUUGACUCUAGUGCAAGUGGGAGACUGUGGAAAUAUGCCCUAGAGGCAAUAAUAAAUUGGUUAUUAUUAUAUUUCCUUGUUCAUGAUAAUCGUUUAUUAUCCAUGCUAGAAUUGUAUUGAUAGGAAACUCAGAUACAUGUGUGGAUACAUAGACAACACCAUGUCCCUAGUAAGCCUCUAGUUGACUAGCUCGUUGAUCAAUAGAUGGUUACGGUUUCCUGACCAUGGACAUUGGAUGUCAUUGAUAACGGGAUCACAUCAUUAGGAGAAUGAUGUGAUGGACAAGACCCAAUCCUAAGCCUAGCACAAGAUCGUGUAGUUCGUUUGCUAAGAGCUUUUCUAAUGUCAAGUAUCAUUUCCUUAGACCAUGAGAUUGUGCAACUCCCGGAUACCGUAGGAAUGCUUUGGGUGUACCAAACGCCACAACGUAACUGGGUGGCUAUAAAGGUGCACUACAGGUAUCUCCGAAAGUGUCUGUUGGGUUGGCAUGAAUCGAGACUGGGAUUUGUCACUCCGUGUAAACGGAGAGGUAUCUCUGGGCCCACUUGGUAGGACAUCAUCAUAAUGUGCACAAUGUGACCAAGGGGUUGAUCACGGGAUGAUGUGUUACGGAACGAGUAAAGAGACUUGCCGGUAACGAGAUUGAACAAGGUAUCGGGAUAUCGACGAUCGAAUCUCGGGCAAGUACUAUACCGCUAGACAAAGGGAAUUGUAUACGGGAUUGAUUGAAUCCCUGACAUCGUGGUUCAUCCGAUGAGAUCAUCGUGGAACAUGUGGGAGCCAACAUGGGUAUCCAGAUCCCGCUGUUGGUUAUUGGCCGGAGAACGUCUCGGUCAUGUCUGCAUGGUUCCCGAACCCGUAGGGUCUACACACUUAAGGUUCGAUGACGCUAGGGUUAUAGGGAAUAGAUAUACAUGGCUACCGAAUGUUGUUCGGAGUCCCGGACAUCACGAGGAGUUCCGGAAUGGUCCGGAGGUAAAGAUUUAUAUAUGGGAAGUCCUGUUUUGGUCACCGGAAAAGUUUCGGGUGCUAUCGGUAACGUACCAGGACCACCGGGAGGGUCCCGGGGGUCCACCAGGUGGGGCCACCAGCCCCAGAGGCCUACAUGGGCCAAUAGUGGGAAGGGACCAGACCCUAGGUGGGGUGGGGCGCCUCCCACCAAGGCCCAAGGCGCCCUCAAGAGGAGAGGGGGCAAACCCUAGGAGCAGAUGGGCCCUAAGGCCCACCCUAGGUGCGCCCCCCCUCUCUCCCCCUUGGCCGCCACCCAGAUGGGAUCUGGGGGCUGCCGCCACCCCUGGGGAGGGAACCCUAGGUGGGGGCGCAGCCCCUCCUCUUCCCCUAUAUAUACUUGAGGUAUGGGGGCUGCCCAACACAUGAUUUGUUCUCCCUCUUGGCGCAGCCAUACCUCCCUCCCUCCUCGUCUCUCGCAGUGCUUGGCGAAGCCAUGCUGGAGUACCGCGCUCCUCCACCACCACCACGCCAUCGUGCUGCUACUGGACGGAGUCUUCCCCAACCUCUCCCUCUCUCCUUGCUGGAUCAAGGCGUGGGAGACAUCACCGGGCUGCACGUGUGUUGAACGCGGAGGCGCCGUGGUUCGGUGCUUAGAUCGGAAUCAACCGCGAUCUGAAUCGCUACGAGUAUGACUCCUUCAUCCGUGUUCUUGCAAUGCUUCUGCAUCGCGAUCUACAAGGGUAUGUAGACACACUCCCCUUCCCCUCGUUGCUAGAUUACUCCAUAGAUUGAUCUUGGUGAUGCGUAGAAAAUUUUGAAUUUCCGCUACGUUCCCCAACAGUCCGUUCAUGACCGGGCCGGCGUUAAACGCAACGCCGGCCGAGCUCCUCCCGUCCGCCAUCUAUUUAAUCUCCUAUUUAAACGAGGCCAAACGCCGGCCAAGAAUCGCACACCUCCGCCGCUCCCCUAUCUCCUCCACCAUUUUGUCCACUCUUACAAUGGCUUACGAAGAGUAGUUAUUCCGCAUCCAAGCCGGCUGGGUAGCCCACUGGAUACGAGCUAUGCAGCUCGCUGAUCCACCUCCCUCCCCUCGCCCGACGGAGCCAGUUGCCGCCCCAAGCCAACGCGCGGUUCAGCAACUCGCCGCUCCAGGCCAGCUCGACGAGGAGCGGCGCACGGGCGUCGUUGCUGCCGUCCACGCCACCGCCUCGUACCGCGUCUCCCGUUUCUGUGGCCGAGACUCCCAUGCCGGUGGCCGCGCCAUGCUAGCAGCGACAGAAGCCGGGUGCGCGGAGAGCGACGAGUCGGUGGCCAGCGCCUCCGAGUCCGCCGCCAUCAUCGAGGAGAAGUAGAACACGGGAGGCCGCCGCCGCUUGGGUCCCAUGAAGGCCACCGCGGAGGCGGCGCCGGCGUACACAGCAGGUGUCUUGCUGGAUCCUUUUGUUGCGAGGACCUUCGUCGACCCCGCAUGGGCUCCACGGAAGAGGGGAAUGUUAGGAUGAACUCGAGCCGGUGCCGGCCAUGGCGAAGUAGUGGCCGGUGAUGAACUCGAACCGGUGCCGGCCACCAUCAUCUUCGGCACCAGCCAAUGAUAUCAGUUGGGCAGUGGGGAAGCGAGCCGUCCUUUGUGCUGAAGCAUAUACCUCCAGGGCUCCCGGCAGUCCGGCGAUCGUGCUGCCGGACAUGAGGAACACAAAUCAAUCGGCGGGCGACCAUUUAGGCCAGGUAUUAUAUACCUGUGCUGUCCAGAACUAGCACCGCGUAGUUCAUUUGAAUGUAAUGAAAUCCUUCAUGUUUGUAUGAAAAUCCGGUAUUUUAUAUGAUUUCCGUCAUUGUUUAUAUGAAAUAUCAGUUUGUCUACGUGUUUGCGUGAAUUUCGUCCGGUUGGUUGAGUUGCUGUCAUAAUGUGUGCGGCUACGGUUGGAUGGUGUAAUUUGCGGGUCACCGGUCGAUCUGUGGGCGGCUCGGGCGGCGUUGUGGGACAAAAAAACACAGCUCGUGCGAGCUCGUCUCCAACGUGCGCGCUGGAGGAUGCAUGACAGCAUGAGCACCCGAGCCAUUCCUCGUUCAUCGGUGGCAAAGGCACCGGUGGACAAAAGGGUCGCCAAUAUUUUGGCUACCCCGGGCAAGAUCCAAACAGCACCUCCCAACAGAUUCAAAUCCCUCGUUCGCCGUGGAAUUUUGUCAUGUGUUGUUUUCAUGGACUAGCAAGAUGCCCGUGCAUUGCACGGAACAUCAAGAUGCAUUUUUUUACAAACUCCCGCAUGCAUGCAAGGGAUAAUUAAUGUCCUCGUUUGCUAGUACCACGAGGCAAACACCAUUAAUAUUGCAUCGAUUAGUGUUGGUGGCCUUGUAUAUCUGCAAAUUGUAAUUUUGAUAGUGGCCCCUUGUAUAUAAAAAUGGAGGGAGAAAGAUGAGAGAUAAGGUGAGGAGGAGUGGGGCGUGGUGGUGACUGGUGGUCGGACUGGGCGGAGGCAUGGGGAUGGACGGCGCAUUAUGUCUAGGUUUGUAUCUCUCUCACACACACCCACAUAGGUGGGGGACGUGCACAAAGAGAAGAGGUGCACGCACGGCGCACGUACUCCCGUCUCUUUCCCAACCACACCCGCGCGGGUACACGGUGGAGCUCAUUUAUGUACAAAAAGGCAGUCCACGUGGUAAUUUGGCACGUGUACUGGUUGUUCACUUGGUGGAGGGAGGAUCGUCUACCACAGGUGAACAAACAAAUUGCGACUUGACGCGUUAUGUUAAAUUAAAAAAAGAGGCAAACCAUGUGGGGCCUACCUUAGAGGCAAAGCUCUAUACACUGGAGUACUUUUGAUGUGUCCCGUCAACUCGCAGAACGAGGAGAAGCUUGCUUAGUACGCCGUCUCCCCCGCCCACGGGCGCGGUGGCUCGCAGGAUGAGGUGAAGCUUGCUUACAAGUAGUAGUAGUAGUACUACUACUGUACGCCUUCACGCCCGCUCCCUUGCCCACGCGCACGGUGGCUUGCAGCACGAGGAGAAAAUUUUACUACUCCCUCCGUUUACUCCUCGUCCCUACUACGUACUUUGGUUAGUACUCCCUCCAUUUACUUAUACAAGGCCACUAUAAAAAAUACAUUUUGCAUCUAUACAAGGCCACAAAUAGUAAUCGAGACAAAAGUUACUACUCCCUCCUUUCCAGUUUAUGGCUCAAUUUCAAAAUCUCUCCAACCAAGGUAGACGGUGAGUGGUCGAAUUAAUUUCGUAGUUUGCACAAGUAAUUAGUACGCUCAUUUUUCUCAAGAAGUUAUGUUUACCGAGGCAUUAGUUAGAACGAAUGCAUGAAUGACCACUAAAUUCCAUGAACUUGUACAUGCAUUGGUUAGUUUCCUCUUGACACUGCUUGCGUCGGGUGAUCUAACGCACCUCGAAAUCCAACAUGUAAUGGUACUACUACUAGUAUAGUAGAAUUGAGACUUAUCAAACGGAAAAACGAAUGUUUUUUAGAUGAGCCCUAUAAACCCUAGUGGGUACGUACUCCGUAAAAACAGAUUUUUCCAAAACUAAGUCGCUCCCUUUCAUGAAUACUGUAGUAUACUCCUACGUCGAUGCUCCCUUUCAUGAAUUAUGUAAUUCUUGUCACUGACAUGUGGGACAUAUAGCAACCGGGUCGACGUGUCAAGCACCAAAUAACAGUGCAGAACAGCAGGGGGACGCACCCCACUCGUACCGGCCCAGUAGUAGUAAUGAGCAAUGAGACGUCAAAUCACAAUGCCGCACCUUCCCAGACGGACGAAGCAACCAUUAUUUCACAUUUCGGUUCGCCAUCAUCUCAAACCAUGUAGUAUUGCUUCUGCCUCAAGAGGGACACGCGCAUCGCCUUGGUACAUCAUGACAUGUGGGACCGCAUGACAGGCCAUGCUCCCCUGCCGAUCACUCGCUAAAAUCACCUCAUUUUAAUAUACUUCCUCCGUAUCGGUUUACUACAUGGCAUGCACGUCGUUCUAGGUUGAUAAUUUAACUGGCUAUAUAUGUGAUGAACAGUACUCUAGCCUUUUAAAAAAGUAUACUUUUGUACAGUAGUACUAUCGAUGGAUUGCGCCAUGGAGCAAAAAUUGAAAUAAAAAAGGUGGUACAUAUAGAGAGCGCUCGUCGCCAAAUUAUGCAUAUAGUACUAUUAAAAAAGCUAGUACGUGCUUAAUUGGGGUGCUAAAUUCUAUUAAAGAAAUACUAGUAGUAUCUACAUACUGAAGAGUUAAAGUAACAAGAAGAAACAUAAUAUAGUUCUGCUGGGGGCUCAGCACAACACACCCCUCAAAUUAAACUAAGCACACCAGAAAUUAAACUAUGCAACUAAUCUGGUAGACACUGCAUUAGAAGUUUAGAACCACCAUGAGCAACGACACUGCCACCUUACUCGGAGUCCUCGUCCACGUCCUCGACUUCGUCCUUGUCCCUCUUCCUCUUGGCUGAUACUUCUUUGCUUGAACCGCACACUUGGCUGUUGCUCUUCAUCCAACCCUUGUAGAUAUUGAAAGAAAGGUAGCCAUCCAUUGCAGCGUAGUGGAUGUGGUCUAUAUCUAGUACAUUCCGCUGCCAUGCAUGACGAUGAAACGUGUAAUGAGGUUUCUCCAGUUUACGGAACGAAGGAUGAACCAUGGCUCCUGCCAGGGUCAGCAUUGAAGGCUGACGAGAGGGCACCAGCCGAUUCUUCUGGAGGUCGAAGGGGUUGCCUACAACGAGGCCUAUCCGACCCAGGACUUCUUUCUCAUUCUUAAAGUCUACAGUAAAAAAUUUCACUGUUUUGUCCUUCAGGAAGUUCUUAAAAUACUGGCACUCAACGUCGGCAUGGCAUAUGUGGUAGACCAAGCAAACGUUAUGUACGCAAACCUGGAUCACGGCGGGCUUCUUCCUCUCUUCGUCCUUUAGAUCGUUCUCUCGUCCCAGGACUAUGGUGUACUCAACCUCUAGCCCAAUGACCCACUCAUCAUCUGAGUUUUCGAACAUGCGUCUGAAGCGAGAAAGGCAUCCUUUCACCGUCGCGGAAGAACAGGUGUAGAUGACGUCGAACUCAUCGCCGGUGAUGGUUCUAACCUUGUACUCACCGCCGAUCGUGGAGAUUUGGGACGCCAUGGAUUUGGGAGGAGGGUUAGGAUUAGUGGAACUGCCGUAAUGUGAAUGGACGGGAUGACUAGGAGCGAACCGCCGUUGUAUUGAAGGACGUGCGGGGACUAGUAGGAGCGAACUGCCAGCGUGCGAACGGCAAGGUAGUGGCUUUCCAUUCUCCCAUGAUACGGGCUUCCGAGAGCCCUUGGAUCUGAGAUCGAACGGUUGCAUGGCGUGAUUCUAGACCUAUGGGUGAAUAUCCUAUCCUGGAGGGUUAUUCUGCAAAUUUUCAGCAACUUAGCAUGCGACCGUUUGAUCUCAGAUCCAAGGGCUGCCAGCAGCCCGUAUCAUGGUCGCGCCUACCACGACCGUCGCGUCGCUCGCGCGGUCGCACCCUUGGAGAUUUAACACGGUGCGUUAGGCUAUCUGAUGUUGGCAUGUCAUACAUAGUCAUCACUUAGUCACUCAUACUACAACAAGGUUGGCUAUAAGUGUAAUUUUUUUACUUCUCUCUAUCUCUUUCUUCGUACUCCCUCGGUCCCAUAAUAUAAGAACGUUUUUGACACUAGUGUAGUGCCAAAAACGUUCUUAUAUUAUGGGACACAGGGAGUACUAGUAUUUAUUGCAUUUGCCAAGGAGUGACCUCUUCCAAUGAAAUGGUGUUGCUAAGUUUGCUUCAUUUAAUUAGCUAUAGACUCAAAAUUGUCUUUUCACCUAGGUACACGCGCUUAGCACCGUUUCUUCCUUGGGUCACCAAACUAGUCUCUCUCUCUCUUCUUGAUUAACUUGCCACAUCAGACUUUAUGCCUAUGUGGCAAGCUUAAGCACCUGUAGGAGCAAGUAAAAGUAAGUACAAUAGUGCACUUUACAUGGCAUUUUUGCAUAUGUGGAGGAAAGAGAGGUAAGGAAAAAGUGGAGAAGUGGGCUCUCAUGCAAGAGCCAGCCUCUACUACAUGGUGGAGCAUUGGGAGAGGCACCUGUAUGGAGGUGGUCAGGAAUCGGGAGACUCACGCCGGUCGUAGUGCCGUAGUUAAAAUGAUAAUGGCAAGUCAAAUCACGGGGCCCCACCUGUCCAGCAGUAACUCGCUGUCAAAUCACACAUCCCUACAUUUGCAGCAGCCUACUCCCUCGUCUUCUCGCGUCUCUGUCGAACCGACUAGGCGGAACUGCCCCGCCUACUGCGCAGGAAAAGCCCCGCCCUCGACUUUUAAAUACAACUACAUCCGCUUAAGAAUCCAAUGAUAUACUUUUUGUGACAUAGUAACUCAUAUUUAGUUAGUCAAAUGGAUGACCUAGAAUUACGUGCAGGCCCUAUAAACCGAGACGCCUAAAAAUAAAAAAACUGAGACGGAGAGGGUAGUUCAGCACGUAUCUUUUUAGAUCAAUAUAGUCGGGAUUCACCAAGGAGCAAAACCAAUUGGUAGGCUGCUCCUGUCGUGUUGGCGUAGCAACUCAAGCAGGGUCAGUCCGCGCACGAAAUGGCGACACACUUAACAGGACCCCUUUGGCCGACAUGUGGCUCAUCCAUCGUCUUGUUCCACGUGCGAUGCACCAAAUUACAGUUCGGAGCAGCGGUUGGAAUUGGAGGCACCCCGGUCGUAGCGCCGCAGUAGUAGAAAAUGAGCGAUGAGGGGUCAAAUCACAAAGCCCCACCUUUCCCGCAUUAAGUUGCACGGACGAAGCAACCAUCAUUUCACUCUAGGGCGCAAGAGCAUAAACAAAAGAGAAAACAAUGAUGCGUGCGGCAGCUACCUAGGGCACCCUAGGGUAGGGGUCUCCACUACAGAUCCUAUUUUUUGAAAGCGCCUCCACUACAAAUCGGCUUCUCCCUCGUCCUCUUGAAGAAAACCGAUGAUGAGUGCGGCGGUAGGGUUUGUAGGAGUACUACGGCGUGCGGGGCCACGUCGUAGUAAAUGGGUUCGAGUCGACGCCUUAAAUAUGUGUGGGCCGCUUGGUUUUACGGGAACGAGGCAACAUUUUGGGUUCGGGGACCAGUGGAGAUAUAGUACGUACAAAAAAUUGUGGACGUAGGUUCGACCGAAAGGCAAUGAUGCAUGGGCCCUGCAUUUUGAUAUACCCGGGGCCGCGUGAAAUUUGCUACUCUACUCAAAACUAGUAAGGUACACAUGUAUUGAACGCAUGAGAUUUCGAAACCAAAUUACGAAUAAAUACACACUAUAGCAUGUAAAGCUUUGAGUCAUAUAUGCAUGAUGUAGAUGUUCGUUUAGUUCUUAUAGUUCAUCUCAUUCAAAAUCAAUUAGUUUUAUAAAAAUGUUAAGAUUCAUGGGGUUGUGCAUUGUAUAUCAUAAAGUAAAAAACAAAUAAUGGCAAUUCAUUUAGAAAAAAUAAUCAAUUAUGAUACAGAAGAUUCUAGAACAAAGGAGAAGUGCUUGUGUUUUGAGGUUUGUACAUAAUGCUUAAGUUCAACCAUGGAGUCUUCUAAAUUGUACAUGUGGCAGAUCUGGUGGAAUGUUGAUGAUAUCCAAUGGCCAGUAGUGCUCGGAUUUGCCUAUGUCUGCACUGUUGGGUUAGCUUCAUCCAGCGACCAUCUUUCAAAGUUAUUGGCACACUAUAUAGUUCUUGUGCCAUAGUUGCAUGUUUUGGAAAAAAGCUACUAGUGGGUUGUACUAUCUAUUUAGGAAUAGAAGAUGUAUACAUGGAAGUUGUAGGGAAAGAGAUGACAUGGAGCAUCUCAAUUCCUAUGAGUAGGGAUUGGAAAAGAGCUGUAAAUUGGUUCACAUCAUAGGAACUUUUGUAUUGAAUCUAGCGAUGGCAUGUAUCUCAAUUCCUAUGAGGAGGGAUUAGAAAAGAGAUGUAAUUUCGUUCAUAUCAUAGGAACUUUUCUAUUGAAUAUACGCUAAUGUUUAUUUUCCUUUGAAAUUAAGGGAGUAUAGGAAUCCAUUCAUAUGAACCAAGUGGCUCUAAAGCUAUAGAAAUGAUAUCAUGUUUAUUUCCUUUGAAAUGUGUAGUAUAUGAAUCUAUUCCUAUGAACCAAUUGGCUCUAAAGGAAAAAAUCCUAUAAAAAUCAUAUCAUAUAGAGUUCCUAUGAUAUUCCUCGACACUAAAGGAUGCUUGAAAUUGCUGCGGGUGAUACGAUGGUCUUUCUUUGUAGACUCCUCACCCAUCUUUAUAGUUACCUCUCGAAGAUGAAUGAAAUGAUAUAUACAUGGUAUUCUACAUGUGCAAUUUGGUACUCGAAAACUCGGUAAAAGUUUGCGAGGUUCGAAUUUUCAAUAAAGCUAUAUGCACUGCAUUUCGGAACGGAGGGAGCAUACGGCAGUUGCUAACACUCACGUGGAAGAUUUGUGUGUAGGAGGAGUGGCUGUUCUGUUAAAUGACAUGGCAAAACUGACACUGUCGGAUGCCGAUCUAACGGUUCUUACGGCGUUCGUCGGGAAAAGGCUUGUGGCGAACGUUUGUCGGAUAAUGAUUACGGACACAUGCAUUGCAUUGAUACGUGCCCCCUCUCUCUCACGCACACGCACCCUCACGAGUCACGACUCUCCCGAGUCCUCUCGUAGACUCGCACAUCGCACCCACCGUCUAUCUACAGGUAGACGUCACGCACAUAUGUGCUCUUCACACCCUACCCUUAGAACUUCUAAAAAACAAAAGACAGCGCGCACAUUUUAUUUUAGCUCACACAUCACACACUUAUACUAUUACUCUUGCGGCGAACGUUCUUUGGGCAUAGUAUAUUGUACUCUCACGAAGAGAAGCGGUGCACACACGCACUAGUUCUCUCACACCCACUCGCGGGUACACGUAGGAGCGCAUUUUUUUGAAGCUGGUACAACAAAAUCACUCCACUAUAUAUAAAAGCAGGAGCCUUAGCGCUUGCUUUACUAGGGUUCCUCUCGUUCACUCUCUCAUGCUCUCCAGAUCUAAGCAACACAUAGGCGGCCACACUCUCUCUCAGCUCACGGCUGGUCACAAAUCCGGCCGGACAACCUCGACCGGGGCAGGGGUGUAGGUGCAUCGUUCAUGCUGUCGGCGGCGGCGAGGGAGGAGACCAACGGCUGCCCGCGCAUCCCGAUCGGCGGCCGUGCCGUUCUCUCCGAGAGAGCGCCGGCUCGGGAGGGCCUCCGACCCCUUCUUCCUCCAUGCGGUAUUGUGGCCAAGAUGCGGCCUCCCGACGCCGUCUUUGCCACAUGCCGACGACCCUCAGGUAUAUAUUCCUUCGAAACCUGCCUUGCUCUACUGCCCCAGCUCCCUUCGUGUGGAUCCUUUUCUACUUCCGUCCGUUGUUCCAAAGCCACCUAGGCUUCUACUAUUAUUAGAAGUAAAGCUAGUUCAUACAGUAGACUCAAAGCGUUGGUUCAAACAGGGAAGAAAGUGGGAAAGCUGUAGCAUGAAUCUAGGACUUGGUUCUAAGAGGAAGCGGGGGAAAGUAGUAAUAUCUGUCACUGUUUAAAUAACCGCAUUUCGUAUUUGCGCAAACAGGGAUGUCUGUCUCCGUAUCGUUUCUAUCCGCGCAAUCAAAAGCACACACCUCAGUUUUAGUACAACUGCGCAAAAUGAGAUGGCUAUCCCUCGUUGCCGUCGUCUAACUUCCCGUCUUCAAGGUAUCCCUACAUUGGUACUAGUAACUAAGGUAGAAUGACCAACGCAAUCUAAAAGAAGCUGAUUCAUAUGUUUUACUUCCUGAUUGCAGUGCAGGGACGAGCGAAAACAACUGCAUCCUAGUCCGGAAUGCACUUUCUACCAGUUCAUCCAUGGACCGAGGACUAGCUGGCACGGCUGCACGACGGUUUUUUGGACAAGUGCGCGGACAAUAGGCAUUGUGGCCUGCUUAUUUCUGCAAAUAGCGGUGCUUAAAUUUAGUGGAAUGCACAAGCAUUUCAGCUGGCCAGUACACUGCAUGGUUCAGUUCAGCAUUCCAGCUGAGACCACAAUUAUAAUGGGUUAUUCUAGAAUGAGAGAACCUAACCCUGAAUGGUGGCAACAAGAAAAAACCAGAGUGAACUCCAGGAAAUUUAAGCCUGCCGGGAGGCCCUUUGCUCAGAGAAGCCUUGCUUGUUUUUUCCUGAUUUGUAAACCUUCUCACAACUUUGUCUUUUGUUGUGAACUAGUAUAUGUUUGUUAUGUUCUAUGAAUCAUUGAGAUGUAUAAAAUUGCUUAACUUAUGCUUUUCAAGUUUUUCAUGAAGACGAGUUUAAUGUGAGUGUUCCACAUGAGCGCUGGACUAGCGUGUGAACGUUUGGAAUUUAUUACAUUGUGGCCUCAAUUAAUUGCAUGAACCACUGUAACAAGAUACAUAGUUGAUUAUAUGUCAGACAGCAGAUUGUUGAUUGUUAGCUGGUCGAUAGCCUAGUGUUGAAGCGAGCUGAGCCAAUGUGCCGUGUUUUGCAUAACUGCUUACAAGUGGGGUAGCACCAACAGUGUUUACAAGUACUUAUGUAUAAGUCAGCGCACGGUUCUCGAACGAGUGCUCUAUUUCAUCAAAACACACACUGCUCGUAUGAUAAAUCGUGACAACUUAUGUCUUACCAUGCCAUAUUCAUGAAAAAACUAGUGAGGACGCAUCUGUUUCGGCAACAAUUAUGAUGGUUCUCACAUGAUUCACGGGCACACAAAAGUAGCAGCAGUUCCCAUAGACGGAUUCAAACUGAGUACUAGCCCCAGAGGGGUCGAUAACAGGCAAGGUUCAGAUAAUUAGACACAAUCCAAACUACUAUUAAACACUAGCUGGGGCAACUAUUUCAUGCCUCGAUCUAAUUUGGGCUGGACACAAGACGAACCUUGCCAUGAACAUCAUCGAGGACGUCCCGCAGCAGCUCAAUCCCGUGAACCUUCAUGAAGACAACCUUGUGGCCUUGCCACUGAUAAACUUGUUUGUGGAGGCAUGCCACGUCAUCUUCCUGCGUAAGCUUGACAAGAACAGUAUGCCUCACAAAUGAAGGAGUAGCUUUGAACUUCUUGUGCUUCAGUACACCCUGGACAACACGCCUGACAACAGUGAGGCUGGAAUACAACUCUUCAUUGGUAUAACCGCAAAUGGCUUCUAGGAUCCAACAGCCUAAGAACUCUGUUUUCCCAAUGCGUAUAUUCAGGUCGUCGGCCUCAUAGCGAGUGACAUGUACAACCACACAAUCCUUGUCUGCAUCAGGGCUCUAACUGAAACAGAAACAAAUUCUGAAUUAGUUUUCAGUAUAAGAAACACAAGUUAUUUAAACCACUAUGUAUAGCAUGGCAUCGAAGCUAAUAAAAUUUUGCAUUAUUAAUCACCACAUACUUCCUUUUCUAAAAAAAUCACCACAUACUUAGAUGAAAAACCACAAUCGAGAUCGGCAAAGAAGGNNNNNNNNNNNNNNNNNNNNNNNNNNNNNNNNNNNNNNNNNNNNNNNNNNNNNNNNNNNNNNNNNNNNNNNNNNNNNNNNNNNNNNNNNNNNNNNNNNNNNNNNNNNNNNNNNNNNNNNNNNNNNNNNNNNNNNNNNNNNNNNNNNNNNNNNNNNNNNNNNNNNNNNNNNNNNNNNNNNNNNNNNNNNNNNNNNNNNNNNNNNNNNNNNNNNNNNNNNNNNNNNNNNNNNNNNNNNNNNNNNNNNNNNNNNNNNNNNNNNNNNNNNNNNNNNNNNNNNNNNNNNNNNNNNNNNNNNNNNNNNNNNNNNNNNNNNNNNNNNNNNNNNNNNNNNUGGGGUCAGCUCGGUGGUUGCCGCCAUCUUCUUGGAGCUCUCUGUCUCGUGGGGAUCAGCCUCCCGCGUCUACUCCAAUAUCGGCAGAUCUUUGCCUGGUUCUCCUUGGUCCAUCAUGAAACUAAUGAAUACUAGGAGACCACUGAAAGGAAAACACAAUCGCAAUGACAAUGAAACAAAAAAGAGAGUGAGGAUCGGUUACUGCUUUGCAAAAGUUCUUUUUUUCUCUGAACGAAAAUAUACCAACAUCACGGAUCCGCUUACCUUCCCUUCGUUCGGAGAGAAGAAUAGUGGCAGAUGCGAGUGUUGCCUUUCUUGAAGACGGGGAGGGAGAAGGAUAGUCCGAGGGAGAAGGGGAUUUAGCGAAGAGUGAAAUGAUGGUUGCUUCGUUCGUCAAACUUAGACUGCGGGGAGGUGGGGUUUUGUGAUCCGAUGGCUCGUUACUGCCGCGCUACGACCGGGGUGACUCUCCGCCUGCAUACUGCCUUCUAAUUUGGUGGAUGGCAUUUGGGCCCGCGCGCUGCAUGGCCCGCAUGUCGGUGAACAAAAGUAUAACGGCAUUCGGUAGAGGGAGACGUUUCAAUGACCUAGGAGGAGCCAGAAGCGGUAGAGUGUCUCCACUAUAAUAGUAGUAAUUGUUUUUCUGGGUAGCUGUAGAGUGUCUCCACUGUACUAGUAGUAAUUGUUUCUCUGGGCCCAAGACAAAACAGCCCAUCCACACUAGUAAAUAGUAAAAUCAAUUCAAAAGGCAAUCCACACUGGGUGCUCUUCUUCCUCCUCGCUCCCACCCACCUCACGUCAGCUCGCUCCACUCGUACCCCCGAAUUCCUCACCUCACUCCUACAGAAAACCCCAGCUCCCCUUCUUCCUCACUCCUACAGAAAACCCCCAGCUCCCCUUCUUCUUCGCUCGCACUACAACUAGGCUCGUCAUUCGUUACUCUACUCAAAUCCGUGAGCGCGACACGAAGCCUCGAGGAAAAUGGAGUCGGCUGACCCCAGCGCCAAGAAGAUGAGGCUCCCGCCAGCGGCGACGCCUGUUGUAGAUCCCGCACUCGGCAGCGUGGGGAGAAGCGGCGACCCCGCCCCCAUCGGAUCCCAGGAACCCGUAGAAUCUCGGGUGGACCGCAUCAGCGAUCUCCCGGACGCCGUCCUUGGGGAGAUCAUCUCGCUUCUCCCCACCAAGGAUUGCUGCCGCACCCAAGUCCUCUCAAUUCGGUGGUGCCCUCUAUGGCGCGCCGUGCCCCUUAAUCUCGACUGUCGUCAGCUAUCUCUCUUCAAUGAUUUUGAAAUCCCCAGAGCCAUCAUCUCCUCCCACCAGGGCUCCGUUCAAAGCCUCUGCAUCCCGUCAUGCUACCUGAGCAAGCAUACCAUGCCCUGCACGGUGGACGCCUGGCUGAAAUCCCCUGAAUUCAUAGAACUACAGCUGCUUGAGUUCUACUAUUCCCCUGGAAAUCACAUACCACAUACCGAACGCCAUGAACUUGUGCCCUCAGCACUGAUGUCCAUCUCGCGGUUUUCCUCCUCUCUCCACACCGCCACCUUUGCGCUGUGCUACCUACCAGACAAUCUGGUACUAAACCUUCGACUCCCAUUUCUCAAGAAACUUUCACUUGUGCGGGUUCGUAUAUCGGAGGCCUCAUUGCACAGCAUCAUCCACUCCAGUUGCCCUGCGCUGGAGUGCUUGGUGCUUUUUUUCACAGUUAGAAUCGGUUGUCUCCAAAUAAAGUCGCCUAACCUUGUAAGAAUUGGAAUUUCUUUUGACGGAAGGCAGCUCAUCAUCCAAGAUGCCCCUUCACUUCAAAGGUUGAUCCUUGAUUCUAGUUAUUCACCGUUGCAAAUAACCAUCCUCUCUGCGCCUACACUGGAGACCUUGGGUGUAAUACAUGAUCUCUGUGCUCAUUUCAAUAUGGUGUUUGGCUCCACAGUUCUUCAGGUACUUUAUAUUAUCAUCUACACUUGUAACCAUAACCUGCAUUUUAAAUUUCUGCGCAUAAUUUAUAUAUCAUCUUGGAGUACACAUUUUGUACUAAUAUUAUGUUCUAUGCUCAAUGAAGAGUUUCUCCAUGGAUGGCCUAUCAAUGGUGCUGGAUUCUGUCAAGAUCUUAUAUAUCGAAAUGAAUAGUUUUGAUCUGAACAAGAUUAUUGGCUUGCUGCAAUGCUUUCCAUGUCUGGAGAAGUUGUAUAUAAAGGUGAUAAUUUCACGCACAUUGGAAGCCCGCAUAUAGUGUACUAGAAUUAACCGUUCAGCUGUUGCUCUUUCGACACUCUUCUUUUAGAGCUUAACUGUUUUCAAUCUUCAUGUCUAUUUAGGCAACAUGAUGGGGUAAGAAAGUUAUAACCAAUCGGUGGAUUCGUAAGCAUCGGGAUUUUCUCACUUCUCAUGAGAUUCGAUUGAAGACAAUAACGCUAGAACGAUAUGUAGCCAACCGUGCAAACACAAGAUUUGUCACAUUCUUCCGGCUGAAUGCGAGGUUACUAUUGUCCAUCAGGCUUAAGUUUAUCAGCAGCAUGGUUUUGACGGAUGGGUAUGUCAAAGAGCAAAAAAAGGAGUUUCAGGUGGACAAAAGAGCUUCUGAACGUGCCGGGCUUCUAUUUACAACAUACUGUGGUCAUAAUCCAGUAAAUUUUACGACCCAGGAUGUUCAUUCUAUGGAACUGACUAAUCCAUUUGACUGUGACUGCCGAAAACAUUGCUGGAGUUAGAUGUUGUUGCCCUUUUCAAUCUGGUUUUUUUGUAAACCUGAUGAACAAUUAACCCUCGUGCUUUUGUACAGUUUGUAAGCUGGAGUUAGAUGUUCCUGCCCUUUUCAACUCGGCUGUGACUGUCAUAUUUUCUUUGAAACAAGACAAAUGGCUUGCCAUUCGUUUAAUUUAGAGUGAAAUAUUGUAACAAAUCCCAACCAAGGGAAAUAACAUCACUCUCGCCGGCUGCUUGAUCUCACUGUGCAUUACAGAAGCCAAGUGAUUAGCCCCCACCAGCACCCACAAACUUAUUUCGAACUAGCACAUCAAAUGGGCUGUAAAUUUUCAUAGGAAAGGCUGCAUGACCGUGACAGAUUUGGAUUCUGACAUUUGGGACCCGCGAGGAAAUAGCCUAUCGAAGGUGGUGUCGACUUACUAGCCAGUCAACAAACGAUUCUGCCUACCAGCCGUUGGAUUGACAUCCAACAUCUGUCGUGUAUCUUCUAUCUCUUGUCUUCUUCUUCCUCCAGCCGCCCAAACCAAACCACCCCGUUGGCUCCGCCUGCUCCCGCCCCCCAUGGCUGGCUGCGCCUCCGCCGCCCUACCGUACGUACCCUCCAACGUUGGCCAGUCCCUCCCUCUAUUCCCCCACACGUCCUGUUAUUCUCCGGCGACGUCAGCCCCAACACGCACCCGCGCCCGAACCAGUCAACCCUCGUACUCCCCUCCGCCUGCGACUGGACCGGCGCAUCUUCAACGGCUCCUGUUCAUUCCGUCCGAGGCCUCGCCGUCGUCCUCCGCCUUGCGGCCUUGGCUCGCUCGCCGUGCGCGGUGCGCCGCCCUCUUGCGUUGUCAACGUCGUCAACAACCGAGAGGAACAAGGAGACGACUGUACGUGGAGAGGAUGACAGUAGGGACCCACCAGCGUCAAGGCAGUACACAAGCAAGUGCCUCUAUAGUACAAGCCCAAAAAUAUGGUUCCUCCUAAUGGUUGGACAUCUGGGGCUCACGCCAUUGUCAACGUAGUCAAUAAAUGAGAGAAUUGCACUAUGAGCGGCUGACACCAGGGACCCAGCAAGUCGCGCAGUUAAUUAUGACAUAUCUUCUCAAAAAGAUCAAUGUGCAAAUGAAAUAAUUGGUACUGAGAUAACAACCAAAUUCUGGAACAUCAGAAGCUAUAAUUAACUACUACAACGCUACAAGUUCUUACUCAUGUACAAUAAAUAACAAAUUGAACAUUUUAUGAGGAAGGUAAAUAUAACUGCAACAGCAUAGCGACAGUGUUUGGAUGACAGCAAAUUGAUACUAACAGGUGUGUACAUGCACAAAUUUAGUAACAUAGAACUAAUAGCACUAAGGCCGUCCACUAUGUAUGCCAAAACUGGUGUAAAGACAACUGUUGCUACAUCUCGCACCGGUGCCCUGAACUGGCGAGCCGAUGCAGCGGGAAAAAAAUCAGGGACCCGGACUCCGGAGCACGUAGUUGCUUCGAUGCCCAGUUCCUUUGUGCCAUAAAGAUUUAGUAUUUUACUGCUUGGCUGCUCGGAUGUGUGGACCAAAGUUGGCCGCACAAACUGCUGAAGCGGUGGCAAAUAAUUUUCUAAUGGCACCACUGAUGAGAUGGCAACAAUUUAAGAUACUAGGUACAAAAUGUGACACUGUCUUAGGAUGCGUUUGGUUGAAGGUGUGGUAUGAAUGGGUUGGGACCGUGACAGUGUCUGAAUCACAUCUAACAAAUGAUUUGUAACAACAGAAGAGGGUCUAACCUUCUCUACACAUGCCAGAAACUUCCUCCCAGUGUCCACAGAAUCAAACGCAAGUAGCUUCACGCAUGGAGAUUGAUGGUGACAAUGAGCAGAUAGAUCUUCAGCCAGCCCGCUCCAUUCGUUGCCACUGAGGGUCUUAGGGAGCUACAAGAGGAAGAAACGACUCAAAUCGACCUCCGGGUAAAAAUCCUUCAUUCCAAGUCAUAGCCCGAGAGAGAGAGAGAGAAGAGAGGCAUACCCGGGUGGUGAAGGAGUAGUCGCCGGAGGAGGAACCGCUGGAGAUGUCUUUGAAGAAGACCAUGGCGACCCCGGCGGUAGGAUGCGAGACGUCGAGAGCGAGGAAGUGGCUAUAGCCUAGCAAGGAAGGAAGGAGGAAACAAGGGAAAUGUGACUNNNNNNNNNNNNNNNNNNNNNNNNNNNNNNNNNNNNNNNNNNNNNNNNNNNNNNNNNNNNNNNNNNNNNNNNNNNNNNNNNNNNNNNNNNNNNNNNNNNNNNNNNNNNNNNNNNNNNNNNNNNNNNNNNNNNNNNNNNNNNNNNNNNNNNNNNNNNNNNNNNNNNNNNNNNNNNNNNNNNNNNNNNNNNNNNNNNNNNNNNNNNNNNNNNNNNNNNNNNNNNNNNNNNNNNNNNNNNNNNNNNNNNNNNNNNNNNNNNNNNNNNNUGACUUGUGGUCGGGUAGAAAAUGGGGUGGGGAAGGGGGGAUGGGGGGCGGGGGUAGAUAUUUUGGCGGUAGGCAAAAAAAUUGGAAAUAUGGAGGGAAACUUUGCGCGCGGUGCCUCCAGAUCAUUCACUUUGAACGAUUGUGUGCAUCGCAAAUGAUUCUUCUGCUUUACGCGCAUGGGAUGAGUUUGAUAAUUCAAAUUUUGGUCUCAAGGCAUGGGCACAUUCACUUUGAACUCGCGCGGUGCCGCCGGACCAUUCACUUUGAACGAUUGUGUGCAUCGCAAAUGAUUCUUCUGCUUUACGCGCAUGGGAUGAGUUUGAUAAUUCAAAUUUUGGUGGAAAUUUCCCCGAGUACGUCAUUGCAUAAUUUAGCAUCACUUGCUAAUUUGGGCACACAAAAGAGCGUACAGCAGACAGACCACACUUACUGAAUCGAGCAAUUUUAGUAAUUACACAGAGCCAGUUGACCUAAACAUUGCUCUAACAAAAGACCAGCAUUAAAAAAAGCCUAAGUACGCAUAACUAAAAAUCUGCCGCCGCGCCGGCCUCUGCAUCGCCGGUGUGAGAUGAGACGUCGAUGACUUGUCCUGGCGACAUGCCGCCAUUGGUGGACUCCGCGUCCCCCCUACUGAAGUCGACCGCGUCCUCGUCCUCGGCGCCGCCCUCAAGGUUGUAGUACUCGUAGUAGUGGCUGCGCCAGAGCUCGCGUUGGUACUCCACCGCCGAUUCCUCGACGGACAGACUCUUCUCUACCUCGACCUCGGCCAUGCGCAACUCCUUCUCCCGGCGCUCCUCGAUCUCCGCCGCCUCCUGCAUCUCCAGCUCCCGCUCGGCGACCUCAUGAGGAAGCAGAUGCUCCAUGGCCACCGCCGCCUUUUCAGACGUGGGUUGCAUGCUGGAGUCCGAGGUGGCCUAGAAUAUCUUGGCAUGUGCAUCCUCGAUCUUGGCGUGCAUGGCCUCGACCCGGGCCAGGGCAACAUCAGCGACACGGACGGCAGCUCGAGCGCUCUCGGCGUUUGCAGCCGCCGUUGCAGCAGCAGCUGUAGCCGUCUCGGCUGCUGCAGCUGCCCUGUCGGCUGCCGCAGACGCCCUCUCGGCGGAAGCAGCCGUGAUCAAUGCGGAUGCAGCGGCACUCUCUACGUAGGCGGCCNNNNNNNNNNNNNNNNNNNNNNNNNNNNNNNNNNNNNNNNNNNNNNNNNNNNNNNNNNNNNNNNNNNNNNNNNNNNNNNNNNNNNNNNNNNNNNNNNNNNNNNNNNNNNNNNNNNNNNNNNNNNNNNNNNNNNNNNNNNNNNNNNNNNNNNNNNNNNNNNNNNNNNNNNNNNNNNNNNNNNNNNNNNNACGCGGCCAUCGUACGGGCCUUCACGUAGCGUUUCCACGGUGUCAUCUUUGCAAGAAGGGGGUGCGGGAAUGGGGAUCGAGAUUCAUGGAUUCGGGGGUUGCCGGCACUAGAGCAAACGAGCCGGCUAAGCUUAAGGAGGGAGACUUAAAUAGACCCAGAUAUUUUCAUCGCAAACGAUUACUAGAAAACAAUUAUGUGUGAUGUUGUAGAUAUUUUUUAUUAGCCGUGAAAGACGAAUUCGGAAUAAAGUGCCAACGGAUGGUGUUUUAAAUGAACGAGAAAUUUUGUAGUAUUAAUAUAACUGUCAUGUCCAAUUUUGGAAAAUUUCAGGGGUCAUUUGACCUUCUAAGACAUUUAAGUGAUUUUCUAGCCAUUUAAUGACCGUAAUUGAAAUUUGAACUACAUGUACAUGCAACAACUAACCAUAACGGUUUGAAAACUCAUAUUUCGUGUACUUGUGUGCGAUUUAAUUCCAAGUGCAGUAAAUUGGAAGGAAUUUUCAAACAUAUUGGUCUAACGGCUAUGACACAAUUAAGCAUGGAGUGACAUGGCAUUUUAAUUCCAAAAAAUUAAAAAUAAUCAGAACAUGAAACCUUGGUUGAUGUAAUGUCAUGCCACCAAGAUGAUGUGAUAAAAAAAUUGGCAUGUUCGACCAAAGUUUGGACACACACCCCUCACAAAUCGGAGCAACUCACUAGAAGGCUCGUGGUUCCGAGAGGGAACAAUGCAUGUUUGAUGACGAACGGGAGAUAGCUUGCUCUUACAGCCUUCAAUUUUUUUUCUACGUCUAACAUGCACUACUACAAACUGUAAUGUGAAAUUUUUGAAAAUUCUAGGGGUCAUUUGACCUUUUAAAGACAUUUAAGUGAUUUUCUAGCCAUUUAAUGACCGUAAUUCAAAUUUGAACUGCAUCUACAUGCAACGCGUAACCAAAACGGUUUGAAAAAUCAUAUUUGUGUACUUGUGUGUGAGUUAUUUCCAUGUGCAGUAAACUAGAAGAAAUUUUCAAACAUAUUUGUAUCACGACAUGGACACAUAUGCAUGAAUACGUAUGCAUGGAGUGGCAUGGCAUUUUAAUUCCAAAAAAUUCAGAAACACAUGAAACCUUGGUUGGUGUAAUGUCAUGCCACCAAGAUGAUGUGGUAAAGAAAUUGGCAUGUUUGACGAAAGUUUGGACACACACCCCUCACAAACCAGAGCAACUCGCUAGAAGGUCCGUGGUUCCGAGAGGGAACAAUGCAUGUUUGAUGACGAACGGGAGAUAGCUUCCUCUUACGGCCUUGAAAUUUUUUCUACGUCUAACGUGCACUACUACAACUGUAAUGUGAAAUUUUGGAAAAUUCUAGGGGUCAUUUGACCUUUUAAAGACAUUUAAGUGAUUUUCUAACCAUUUAAUGACCAUAAUUCAAAUUUGAACUACAUCUACAUGCAAUGCCUAACCAAAACGGUUUGAAAAAUCAUAUAUGUGUACUUGUGUGCGAGUUAAUUCCAUGUGCAGUAAAUUAGAAGGAAUUUUCAAACAUAUUGGUCUCACGACAUGGACACAUGCAUACGUAUGCAUCGAGUGACAUGGCAUUUUAAUUCAAAAAAAUAGAAAAAUGAUCAGAAACACAUGAAACCUUGGUUGAUGUAAUGUCAUGCCACCAAGAUGAUGUGGUAAAGAAAUUGGCAUGUUUGACGAACGUUUGGACACACGCCCCUCACAAACCGGAGCAACUCGCUAAAAGGUUCAUGGUUUCGAGAGGGAACAAUGCAUGUUUGAUGACGAACGGGAGAUAGCUUCCUCUUACGGCCUUCAAAUUUUUCCUACGUUUAACGUGCAACUAUCAUGUGAAAUUUUGGUAAAUUUCAGGGGUCAUUUGACCUUCUAAAGACAUUUAAGUGAUUUUCUAACCAUUUAAUGACCGUAAUUCAAGUUUGAACUACAUCUACAUGCAACGCCUAACCAAAACGGUUUGAAAAAUCAUAUUUUUGUGUACUUGGGUGUGAGUUAAUUCCAUGUGCAGUAAAUUCGAAGGAAUUUUCAAACAUAUUGGUGUCAAGGCAUGUGCAUAUGCAUGGAGUGCAUGCCAUGGCAUUUUAAUUUCAAAAAAUUAAAAAGUUAUCAGAAAAACAUGAAACCUUGCUUGAUUUAAUGUCAUGCCACCAAGAUGAUGUGGUAAAAAAAUUGGCCUGUUUGACGAAAGUUUGGACACACACCCCUCACAAACCGGAGCAACUCACUAGAAGGUUCGUGGUUCCGAGGGAACAAUGCAUGUUUGCUGACGGACGGGAGAUAGCUUCCUCUUACGGCCUUCAAAUUUUUUCCUAUGUUUAACGUGCACUUAUACAACUGUCAUGUGAAAAUUAGGAAAUUUUCAGGGGUCAUUUGACCUUUUAAAGAUAUUUAAGUGAUUUUCUAACCAUUUAAUGACCGUAAUUCAAAUUUGAACUACAUCUACAUGCAACGCCUAACUAAAACGGUUUGAAAAAUCAUAUUUUUGUGUACUUGUGUGCGAGUUAAAAAAUCAUCAGACGAUGUAAAUAUCUGGUGUUCAAAAAAGAAAAUCUAAAGAUCUGGCAAGACAACCGGCCCCCACACGAUUGGCACUCUAUCUCGCCGCUCGAGGUUUGGUAGGUGAUUGGCGGGGAUCAUUAAUCAGACACGGUUCUGUAUUGGAAACUGUUGGCUAUUAUGUUCACACACGGAUUUGUUGCGAGAAUUGUGUGUAAUUCAAACUACAGUACUCAUUAAUUCCGGCGACCGACGUGUGUACUGUCCCUGUCGAUCUAGAUUCCGGCCGCCAAUAAAUACUACCUUUCUCAUGUCGUCCCGCCUGCAUUCUCAUCUACAUCCUCCCCUCGCUCGCCCUCUCUCUCUCUCUCUCAAAUCUCUGCCAUGGCGCCGCCGGUCUGCCCACGCGUCGACGAGCAGUCGCCGCCCCCGAGGACGCUCACUCGAUUAGCAGCGACAAGGACCCCUACGCGUCGCCUGACGAGGUUGCGCCGGACCCCCCAAUUUUGGAUUGGUUUUGGGGCCAGUACAAUCUUUGUCUGUGGAAGUCGCUGUCGCCGGCUGAGAAAGCCAGGUAAGUGGCGUUCAAGAAGGAGAUGGCGGAGGAGGAAGCCAGGCACCAGGCGGCUUGUGAAGCCCGUGAUGCCGCCUAGAAAAAGGAGGCGGAGGAGUUUUGGGGGCGGGCGCGUCAUCGUGCCGAGGAGGUGUACGAAGACGGGUACUUCGCGAGGAAGGUCAUAGGUGUUGGGCGCCUCGCCGCUGCGUGGAGGUGGGCCGAUAAGCUCCAUCGUGCCACCGACGAGGAGCUCCAAUGGGCGCGCAACGAAAUGGCAAGGUCGGCCGCGCGCGUCCGCCAGCAAGAGGUAGAUCAUUACGUCAAGCACUGCAAGGCGGAGGAGUCGGAGUACUGCCUCCGCACUGGGAAGGCGCCGCGCACCAGGGAGCUGCUGGCGAGGGGCUGCCGGAAUACUGGCCCCAGGAGGGAUUAUUAGUUUUAGUAUUGUUCGUUUUCAAUUUUAUGCAUUGUACCUAGUAGUUAAGUAUCAUCACGUAUAUGUGAUGAUAUUAUAUAUUCUGUGAUGAUCUAAUGAACAAUUAAUAUAUAUAUAUAUUAUGAAUUCCAUUUUCUAUCUGUUUUUGUAUACUAAUUUGAAUCUAGCUAUUAUCAUCCACAUAUACAGAAUGGAAAGCGUAUAUACACACAUUGAAACAGAACAUAUAAGAAUGGAAAAUAGAGUACACACAUUGAAACAGAGCAAUAAACAGAGCAAUACUAUGAUUGCUGUGAAUACAUAGCUAUCCACGUCCAAAUGACUUUCCAAAAUAAAACGAGUCCAUGAGACCAUGACCAGCAGCCCUUGUUUAGGGUAGCUCUUGGCUCUGCCUGAACUCGUGAAUGCGUUCGUCCAAGCGGUCGACACGCUCGCAGUACAUCUGGAGCACAAUCUCUAGCUCCAAGUUGGCUAUUUCAUCGAAGAUCACCAGCUCGAGGAUGCGACGGCCAAGUUCCUCUGCUGCGCCCAGGUGGACACUGAUACGUCUCCAACGUAUCUAUAAUUUUUAUUGUUCCAUGUUAUUAUAUUAUCUGUUUUGGAUGUUUAAUGGGCUUUAUCAUACACUUUUAUAUUAUUUUUUGGACUAACCUAUUAACCGGAGGCCCAGCCCAAAUUGCUGUUUUUUCCCUAUUUCAGUGUUUCGCAGAAAAGGAAUAUCAAACGGAGUCCAAACGGAAUGAAACCUUCGGGAACGUGAUUUUUGGAACAAACGUGAUCCGGAGGACUUGGAGUGGACCUCAAGCAAUCAACGAGGAGGCCACGAGGCAGGGAGGCGUGCCUGCCCCCUGGGCACGCCCCCACCCUCAUGGGCCCCUCGUAGCUCCACCGACCUACUUCUUCCUCCUAUAUAUACCUACGUAGCCAGAAAACAUCCAGGAGCACCACAAAACCCUAUUUCCACCGCCGCAACCUUCUGUACCCGUGAGAUCCCAUCUUGGGGCUUCUACAUCAACACCAUAGCCUCUCCGAUGAUGUGUGAGUAGUUUACCUUAGACCUUCGGGUCCAUAGUUAUUAGCUAGAUGGCUUCUUCUCUCUCUUUGGAUCUCAAUACAAAGUUCUCCUUGAUUCUCUUGGAGAUCUAUUCGAUGUAAUCUUCUUUUGCGGUGUGUUUGUCGAGAUCCGAUGAAUUGUGGGUUUAUGAUCAAGAUUAUCUAUGAACAAUAUUUUAAUCUUCUCUGAAUUCUUUUAUGUAUGAUUGGUUAUCUUUGCAAGUCUCUUCGAAUUAUCAGUUUGGUUUGGCCUACUAGAUUGAUCUUUCUUGCAAUGGGAGAAGUGCUUAGCUUUGGGUUCAAUCUUGCGUUGCUCGAUCCCAGUGACAGUAGGGGAAACGACACGUAUUGUAUUGUUGCCAUCGAGGAUAAAAAGAUGGGGUUUAUAUCAUAUUGCUUGAGUUUAUCCCUCUACAUCAUGUCAUCUUGCUUAAUGCGUUACUCUGUUCUUAUGAACUUAAUACUCUAGAUGCAUGCUGGAUAGCGGUCGAUGUGUGGAGUAAUAGUAGUAGAUGCAGAAUCGUUUCGGUCUACUUGUCACGGACGUGAUGCCUAUAUACAUGAUCAUGCCUAGAUAUUCUCAUACCUAUGCUCAAUUCUAUCAAUUGCUCUACAGUAAUUUGUUCACCCACCGUAAUACUUAUGCUAUCUUGAGAGAAGCCACUAGUGAAACCUAUGGCCCCAGGGUCUAUUUUCCAUCAUAUUAAUCUUCCGUCAACUAGCUAUUUCUAUCACCGUUUAUUUUGCUUUCUUUACUUUUAGUUUUUAUCAUUAAAAUACCAAAAAUAUUAUCUUAUCAUCUCUAUCAGAUCUCACUUUUGCAAGUGUCCAUGAAGGGCUUGACAACCCCUUUAUCGCGUUGGUGCAAGGUUCUUAUUUGUUUGUGUAGGUACGAGGGACUUGAGCGUGGCCUCCUACUGGAUUGAUACCUUGGUUCUAAAAAACUGAGGGAAAUACUUACGCUACUUUGCUGCAUCACCCUUUCCUCUUCAAGGGAAAACCAACGCUGUGCUCAAGAGGUAGCAAGAAGGAUUUCUGGCGCCGUUGCCGGGCAGUCUACGCACAAGUCAAGACAUACCAAGUACCCAUCACAAACUCUUAUCCCUCGCAUUACAUUAUUUGCCAUUCUCCUCUCGUUUUCCUCUCCCCCACUUCACCCUUGCCGUUUUAUUCGCCCUCUAUUCCUUUCACCUCUUUUUCGCUUUCUUCUCGUGUGCUUGUGUGUUGGAUUGCUUGUUUGUCACGAUGACUCAAGAUAAUACUAAAUUGUGUGACUUCUCCAAUACCAACAACAAUGAUUUUCUUAGCACUCCAAUUGCUCCUGUUACCGAUGCUGAAUCUUGUGAAAUUAAUGCUGCUUUGUUGAAUCUUGUCAUGAAAGAGCAAUUCGCCGGCCUUCCUAGUGAAGAUGCCGCUACCCAUCUAAAUAGCUUUGUUGAUUUGUGUGAUAUGCAAAAGAAGAAAGAUGUGGACAAUGAUAUUGUUAAAUUGAAUCUAUUUCCGUUUUCGCUUAGAGAUCGUGCUAAAACUUGGUUUUCGUCUUUGCCUAAAAAUAGUAUUGAUUCUUGGAAUAAGUGCAAAGAUGCUUUUAUCUCUAAGUAUUUUCCUCCCGCUAAGAUCAUCUCUCUUAGAAACGAUAUUAUGAAUUUUAAGCAACUUGAUCAUGAACAUGUUACACAAGCUUGGGAGAGGAUGAAAUUAAUGAUACGCAAUUGCCCUACUCAUGGUUUGAAUUUGUGGAUGAUUAUACAGAAAAUUUAUGCCGGAUUGAAUUUUGCUUCUAGAAAUCUUUUAGAUUCGGCCGCGGGAGGCAAUUUUACGGAAAUCACUUUAGGAGAAGCUACUAAACUCCUAGAUAAUAUUAUGGUUAAUUAUUCUCAAUGGCACACUGAAAGAUCUACUAGUAAAAAGGUUCAUGCGAUUGAAGAAAUUAAUGUUUUGAGUGGAAAGAUGGAUGAACUUAUGAUUUUUUUUGCUAAUAAGAGUGUUUCUUCAGAUCCUAAUGAUAUGCCUUUGUCUACUUUGAUUGAGAAUAAUAAUGAAUCUGUGGAUGUGAAUUUUGUUGGUAGGAAUAAUUUUGGUAACAACGCGUAUAGAGGAAACUUUAAUCCUAGGCCGUUCCCUAGUAAUUCCUCUAAUAAUUAUGGUAAUUCCUACAACAAUUCUAUGGAAAUUUUAAUAAUAUGCCCUUUGAAUUUGAGACUAGUGUUAAAGAGUUUAUGAUUUCUCAAAAUAAUUUCAAUACUUUGCUUGAAGAAAAAUUGCUUAAAGUUGAUGAAUUGGCUUGGAACGUGGAUAGAAUUUCUCUUGAUGUUGAUUCUUUAAAGCUUAGAUCUAUUCCACCUAAGCAUGAUAUCAAUGAGUCUCUCAAAGCAUGAGAAUUUCCAUUGAUGAAUGCAAAGAAAGAACCGCUAGGAUGCGUGCUAAGAAAGAUUGCUUUGUAAAGGCGUGUUCUUCUAGUUUUUAUGAGAAUAAAGAUGAAGAUAUAAAAGUUAUUGCUAUGUCCCCUAUUAAAUCUUUGUUUUGCAAUAUGAAUCUUGAUAAUGAUGGGACUGGAGAUGAGUCAACUUUAGUUAAAAGGUGUCCCAAUAAUUCGGAGUUUUUAGAUCUUGAUGCAAAAAUUGGGUAAAGUGGGAUUGAAGAGGUCAAAACUUUAGAUAGCAUCGAACCCACUAUUUUGGAUUUCAAGGAAUUUAAUUAUGAUAGUUGCUCUUUAAUAGAUUGUAUUUCCUUGUUGCAAUCCGUGCUAAAUUCUCCUCACUCUUAUAGUCAAAAUAAAGCCUUUACUAAACAUAUCGUUGAUGCUUUGAUGCAAUCUUAUGAAGAAAAACUUGAGUUGGAAGUUUCUAUCCCUAGAAAACUUUAUGAUGAGUGGGAACCUACAAUUAAAAUUAAAAUUAAAGAUCAUGAAUGCUAUGCUUUGUGUGAUUUGGGUGCUAGUGUUUCCACGAUUCCAAAAACUUUGUAUGAUUUUCUAGGUUUCCGUGAAUUUGAUGAUUGCUCUUUAAACUUGCACCUUGCAGAUUCCACUAUUAAGAAACCUAUGGGAAGAAUUAAUGAUGUUCUUAUUGUUGCAAAUAGGAAUUAUGUGCCCAUAGAUUUUAUCGUUCUUGAUAAAGAUUGCAAUCCUUCAUGUCCUAUUAUUCUUGGUAGACCUUUCCUUAGAACGAUUGGUGCAAUUAUUGAUAUGAAGGAAGGGAAUAUUAGAUUCCAAAUUCCGUUAAGGAAAGGCAUGGAACACUUCCCUAGAAAUAAGAUUAAAUUACCUUAUGAAUCCAUUAUGAGAGCAACUUAUGGUUUGCCUACCAAAGAUGGCAAUACCUAGAUCUAUCCUUGUUUUUAUGCCUAGCUAGGGGCGUUAAACGAUAGCGCUUGUUGGGAGGCAACCCAAUUUUAUUUUAGUUUUUUGCUUUUUGGUUCUGUUUAGUAAUAAUUUUUCAUCUAGCCUCUGGUUAGAUUCGUUUUUGUGUUUUAAUUAGUGUUUGUGCCAAGCAAAACUGUUAGGAUAACCUACGGUGAUAGUUAUUUGAUCUUGCUGUAAAAAAACAGAAACUUUGUGCGCACGAGAUUAGUUUUCAUAAAUCACAGGAAUGUGCUUUUCAGUUGAUUACUUUUGCAGUAGAUCAAUAGACAAAUUAUCUAGGACUUCCUAAUUUGGUAGAAGUUUUUAGGUUCCAUAAGUUUGCGUUAGAUACAGAUUACUACAGACUGUUCUGUCUUUGACAGAUUCUGUUUUUCGUGUGUUGUUUGCUUAUUUUGAUGAAUCUAUUGCUAGUAAAAGAGCUUAUAAACCAUAGAGAAGUUGGAAUACAGUAGGUUUAACACCAAUAUAAAUAAAUAAUGAGUUCAUUACAGUACCUUAAAGUGGUGGUUUGUUUUAUUUCGCUAACGGAGCUUAUGAGAUUUUCUGUUGAGUUUUGUGUUGUGAAGUUUUCAAGUUUUGGGUAAAGAUUUGAUGAAUUAUGGAACAAAGAGUGGCAAGAGCCUAAUCUUGGGUAUGCCCAUGGCACCCCAAGGUAAAAUUCAAGGACAACCAAAAGCCUAAGCUUGGGGAUGCCCCGGAAGGCAUCCUCUCUUUCGUCUUCGUUUAUUGGUAACUUUACUUGGAGCUAUAUUUUUAUUCACCACAUGAUAUGUGUUUUGCUUGGAGCGUCUUGUAUGAUUUGAGUCUUUGAUUUUUAGUUUGCCACAAUCAUCCUUGCUUUACACACCUUUUGAGAGAGACACACAUGAUUCGGAAUUUAUUAGAAUACUCUAUGUGCUUCACUUAUAUCUUUUGAGCUAUAUAGUUUUUGCUCUAGUGCUUCACUUAUAUCUUUUAGAGCACGGUGGUGGUUUUAUUUUAUAGAAAUUAUUGAUCUCUCAUGCUUCACUUAUAUUAUUUGGAGAGUCUUUUAGAACAGCAUGGUAAUUUGCUUUGGUUAAAAUUUUAGUCCUAAAGUGAUGAGCAUCCAAGAUAGGUAUAAUAAAAACUAUCAUAUAAAGUGCAUUGAAUACUAUGAGAAGUUUGAUGCUUGAUGAUUGUUUUGAGAUAUGAGGAUGGUAAUAUUAGAGUCAUGCUAGUUGAGUAAUUAUGAAUUUGAGAAAUACUUGUGUUGAAGUUUGUGAUUCCCGUAGCAUGCACGUAUGGUGAACCGUUAUGUGAUGAAGUUGGAGCAUGAUAUAUUUAUUGAUUGUCUUCCUUAUGUGUGGAGGCCGGGAUCGCGCGAUGGUUAACUCCUACCAACCCUUCCCCUAGGAGCAUGCGUGUAGUACUUUGUUUUGAUGACUUGUAGAUUUUUGCAAUAAGUAUGUGAGUUCUUUAUGACUAAUGUUGAGUCCAUGGAUUAUACGCACCCUCUCCCUUCCACCAUUGCUAGCCUCUCUAAUACCGCGCACCUUUCGCCGGUAUCAUACACCCACCAUUUACCUUCCUCAAAACAGCCACCAUACCUACCUAUUAUGGCAUUUCCAUAGCCUUUCCGAGAUAUAUUGCCAUGCAACUUUCCACCGUUUCGUUUAUUAUGGCACGCUCCAUCAUUGUCAUAUUGCUUUGCGUGACCAUGUAGUUGACAUCGUAUUUGUGGCAAAGCCACCAUUCAUAAUUUUUCAUACAUGUCAUUCUUGAUUCAUUGCAUAUCCCGGUACACCGCCGGAGUCAUUCACAUAGAGUCAUAUUUUGUUCUAAGUAUUGAGUUGUAAUUCUUGAGUUGUAAGUAAUAAAAGUGUGAUGAUCAUCAUUAUUAGAGCAUUGUCCCAUGUGAGGAAAGGAUGAUGGAGACUAUGAUUCCCCCACAAGUCGGGAUGAGAUUUCGGACUAAAAAAAGAGAAAAAAAAGGAAAAAAAAGAAAAAAAUGAGAGAAAAAGAGAGAAGGGACAAUGUUACUAUCCUUUUACCACACUUGUGCUUCAAAGUAGCACCAUGAUCUUCAUGAUAGAGAGUCUCCUAUGUUGUCACUUUCAUAUACUAGUGGGAAUUUUUCAUUAUAUAACUUGGCUUGUAUAUUCCAAUGAUGGGCUUCCUUAAAGUGCCUUAGGUCUUCGUGAGCAAGCAAGUUGGAUGCACACCCACUUAGUUUUCAGUUUGAGCUUUCAUACACUUAUAGCUCUAGUGCAUCCGUUGCAUGGCAAUCCCUACUCACUCACAUUGAUAUCUAUUAAUGGGCAUCUCCAUAGCCCAUUGAUAGGCCUAGUUGCUAUGAGACUAUCUUCUCCUUUUUGUCUUCUCCACAACCACCAUUCUAUUCCACAUAUAGUGCUAUGUCCAUGGCUCACGCUCAUGUAUUGCGUGAAGAUUGAAAAAGUUUGAGAAUACUAAAGUAUGAAACAAUUGCUUGGCUGAAACCGGGGUUGUGCAUGAUUUAAAUAUUUUGUGUGAUGAAGAUAGAGCAUAGCCAGACUAUAUGAUUUUGUAGGGAUAACUUUCUUUAGCCAUGUUAUUUUGAGAAGACAUGAUUGCUUUGUUAGUAUGCUUGAAGUAUUAUUAUUUUUAUGUCAAUAUUAAACUUUUAUCUUGAAUCUUUCAGAUCUGAAUAUUCAUGCCACAAUGAAGAAAAUUACAUUGAGAAAUAUCCUACGUAGCAUUCCACAUCAAAAAUUCUAUUUUUAUCAUUUACCUACUCGACGACGAGCAGGAAUUAAGCUUGGGGAUGCUUGAUACGUCUCCAACGUAUCUAUAAUUUUUUAUUGUUCCAUGCUAUUAUAUUAUCUGUUUUGGAUGUUUAAUGGGCUUUAUCAUACGCUUUUAUAUUAUUUUUGGGACUAACCUAUUAACCGGAGGCCCAGCCCAAAUUGCUGUUUUUUGCCUAUUUCAGUGUUUCGCAGAAAAGGAUCAAACGGAGUCCAAACGGAAUGAAACCUUCGGGAACGUGAUUUUUGGAACAAACGUGAUCCGGAGGACUUGGAGUGGACGUCAAGCAAUCAAUGAGGAGGCCACGAGGCAGGGAGGCGCGCCUGCCCCCUGGGCACGCCCCCACCCUCAUGGACCCCUCGUAGCUCCACCGACCUACUUCUUCCUCCUAUAUAUACCUACGUACCCCGAAAACAUCCAGGAGCACCACGAAACCCUAUUUCCACCACCGCAACCUUCUGUACCCGUGAGAUCCCAUCUUGGGGCCUUUUCCAGCACUUCGCCGGAGGGGGCAUUGAUCACGGAGGGCUUCUACAUCAACACCAUAGCCUCUCCGAUGAUGUGUGAGUAGUUUACCUCAGACCUUCGGGUCCAUAGUUAUUAGCUAGAUGGCUUCUUCUCUCUCUUUGGAUCUCAAUACAAAGUUCUCCUUGAUUCUCUUGGAGAUCUAUUCGAUGUAAUCUUCUUUUGCGGUGUGUUUGUCGAGAUCCGAUGAAUUGUGCGUUUAUGAUCAAGAUUAUCUAUGAACAAUAUUUGAAUCUUCUCUGAAUUCUUUUAUGUAUGAUUGGUUAUCUUUGCAAGUCUCUUUGAAUUAUCAGUUUGGUUUGGCCUACUAGAUUGAUCUUUCUUGCAAUGGGAGAAGUGCUUAGCUUUUGGUUCAAUCUUGCGUUGCUCGAUCCCAGUGACAGUAGAGGAAACGACACGUAUUGUAUUGUUGCCAUCGAGGAUAAAAAGAUGGGGUUUAUAUCAUAUUGCUUGAGUUUAUCCCUCUAUGAUGUCUACUACACAACCUUCUUCUUGUAAACGUUGUUGGGCCUCCAAGUGCAGAGGUUUGUAGGACAGUAGAAAAUUUCCCUCAAGUGGAUGACCUAAGGUUUAUCAAUCCGUGGGAGGCGUAGGAUGAAGAUGGUCUCUCUGAAACAACCCUGCAACCAAAUAAAAAAGAGUCUCUUGUGUCCCCAACACACCCAAUACAAUGGUAAAUUGUAUAGGUGCACUAGUUCGGCGAAGAGAUGGUGAUACAAGUGCAAUAUGGAUGGUAGAUAUAGGUUUUUGUAAUCUGAAAAUAUAAAAACAGCAAGGUAACUAAUGAUAAAAGUGAGCGUAAACGGCAUUGCAAUGCUUCGAAACAAGGCCUAGGGUUCAUACUUUCACUAGUGCAAGUUCUCUCAACAAUAAUAACAUAACUGGAUCAUAUACCAUCCCUCAACAUGCAACAAAGAGUCACUCCAAAGUUACUAAUAGCGGAGAACAAAUGAAGAGAUUAUGGUAGGGUACAAAACCACCUCAAAGUUAUCCUUUCUGAUCGAUCUAUUCAAGAGUCCGUAGUAAAAUAGCACGAAGCUAUUCUUUCCGUUUGAUCCAUCAUAGAGUUCGUACUAGAAUAACACCUUAAGACACAAAUCAACCAAAACCCUAAUGUCACCUAGAUACUCCAAUGUCACCUCAAGUAUCCAUGGGUAUGAUUAUACGAUAUGCAUCACACAAUCUCAGAUUCAUCUAUUCAACCAACACAAAGAACUUCUAAGAGUGCCCCAAAGUUUCUACCGGAGAGUCAAGACGAAAAGGUGUGCCAACCCCUAUGCAUAGAUUCCCAAGGUCACGGAACCCGCAAGUUGAUCACCAAAACAUACAUCAAGUGGAUCAAUAGAAUACCCCAUUGUCACCACGGGUAUCCCACGCAAAACAUACAUCAAGUGUUCUCAAAUCCUUAAAGACUCAAUCUGAUAAGAUAACUUCAAAGGGAAAACUCAAUCCAUUAGAAGAGAGUAGAGGGAGAUCAAACACAUAGCUACUGGUACAUACCCUCAGCCACGAGGGUGAACUACUCCCUCCUCGUCAUGGAGAGCGCCGGGAUGAUGAAGAUGGCCACAAGUGAGGGUUCCCCCCUCUGGCAGGGUGCCGGAACAGGGUCCCGAUUGGUUUUCGAUGGCUACAGAGGCUUGCGGUGGCGGAACUCCCGAUCUAUUCUGCUCCCCGAAGGUUUUAGGGUAUAUUGGUAUAUAUAGGAGGGACAAAUAUGUUAGGGGAGCCACGAGGGGCCCACGAGGGUGGAGGGCGCGCCCAGGGGGGUGGGCGCGCCCUCCUGCCUCGUGCCUUCCUCGUUGCUUCCCUUACGUGCACUCCAAGUCCCCUGGAUUGCUUCCGUUCCGAAAAUAACUUUCCCGAAGGUUUCAUUCCGUUUGGACUCUGUUUGAUAUUCCUUUUCUGCGAAACACUGAAACAAGGAGAAAAACGGAAACUGGCACUGGGCUCUGGGUUAAUAGGUUAGUCCCAAAAAUAAUAUAAAAGUGCAUAGUAAAGCCCAUUAAACAUCCAAGAUUGAUAAUAUAAUAGCAUGAAUGCUUCAUAAAUUAUAGAUACGUUGGAGACGUAUCACUCUACAUCAUGUCAUCUUGCUUAAUGCGUUACUUUGUUCUUAUGAACUUAAUACUCUAGAUGCAUGCUGGAUAGCGGUCGAUGUGUGGAGUAAUAGUAGUAGAUGCAGAAUCGUUUCGGUCUACUUGUCGCGGACGUGAUGCCUAUAUACAUGAGCAUGCCUAGAUAUUCUCAUAACUAUGCUCAAUUCUAUCAAUUGCUCGACAGUAAUUUGUUCACCCACCGUAAUACUUAUGCUAUCUUGAGAGAAGCCACUAGUGAAACCUAUUGCCCCAGGGUCUAUUUUCCAUCAUAUUAAUCUUCCGUCAACUAGCUAUUUCUAUCGCCGUUUAUUUUGCUUUCUUUACUUUUAGUCUUUAUCAUAAAAAUACCAAAAAUAUUAUCUUAUCAUCUCUAUCAAAUCUCACUUUUGCAAGUGGCCGUGAAGGGCUUGACAACCCCUUUAUCGCGUUGGUUGCAAGGUUCUUAUUUGUUUGUGUCGGUACGAUGGACUUGAGCGUGGCCUCCUACUGGAUUGAUACCUUGGUUCUCAAAAACUGAGGGAAAUACUUACGCUACUUUGCUGCAUCACCCUUUCCUCUUCAAGGGAAAACCAACGCUGUGCUCAAGAGAUAGCAGACACCUGGGCCAAGGAGGCGGUCGAGCCUACGGACCAGCGCGUUGGCAGCCAGCGGGCCGCGAACAAGGCGAACGGUGGCACCCACGCGAACAGCGAGGCGGGCGUCCGGUGAAAGUACGGCGUGGCCGGCCUCUGGUGCAAGUACGGCGCUGAGGGCCUCUGCCCACUCCUGGCGAGGAAUGGGGGUACUGACGGGACGUGUACCCAGCUGCGACGCUGUGUCAACAGCAGUCAAGUGCCGAUGGAUCCGCUGUUGCUGUGCGGCGCGCCGCGCUUCCCGCUUUGCGGCGCUCCAACGGUCUCGCCGUGCAGCGAGCCGCAGCCUAUCGGCGCGGAUGCGCCCAGCUUGCUCUGCGGCGCGCCAUCGAUCAUGUUGUGCGGCGAGCUGCAGCCUGUCGGUGCUGACAUGCCUAUCUUGAUCCGCGGCUCUCAAGCGCCAUGCGCCAAAGGUCUGCUCAACCCUGGCGAUGACGCGCAUCACGGCGUCGUCCAUCGCGUUGCCGUGGAGCGCCUCGGCCUCGACGGGCCGUGGCGCCUGCUCGUUUUCCUCGUCGACGAGGUUGAUGGCAGAGGCGGCGCUUUGGUGGGUUGGCAUGCUUGGAAAAGGUGGAUGUGCUAUAGGCUGCGCUUGUCGCCUCCGUGCGUCACGCGCCCCAUAUGCGCAAUAUAGCAGGGUGGCGGGAAACAGGUGAGGAAAUGGCGGGAAACGGUGGCGUGUUCAUAAAAUGCCAUCAAUUAAUGGAAACUUAGCAUCGAGCUAGCACAAGUCGUAGAUGAUGACCAGAUGAACACGGACCACACUAGGGAACCCGUCGGUGAUGAAUUCAUCAAUCCCAAACGGUUGAAUACUAGCAAGCGUUUGCCCACAACACACACGGCCUAUUCCAUCACAAAUAGGUCGGAUGGAUCAACUGUAUGCCACGUAUCGCACAUUGUCAAAAAGUAAUGCGAGAGACCUUCUUUAAUUAACACGUGUUAAAAAAUAAAAAACAAGGACCUCGAGGUUAAAUUAGCUGAGGGAAUGGGGCAUUUCGGUCAUUUGACCGAAAUGACCCAUCCCAUCAGCUAAUUUAACAUCGACACAACUUCAUCCGAUGGCUGCUCCAGCCUGAGCACAGUUAACUUGAUAGUUUUCUUACAUGAGCUACUGGUGGAAUAGCUAGUCCUUGCUGAUAGGAAUGCCUCUUCACAUCCUUAUGGCGUAUCCGGAUGACCGCCCGUCCCACAAUGGCCAAUAGAUGUUGUGUAGACAGAGCAUAUCACAUAUGUCUUAUUAGAAGCAAUCGUUUGCGUUAUUAUCGCUCUUCGCACACAUUUUUGAUUACAGACAUGUUUGUCACGUAUCACACACAUCUUGUUAUAUUGAACCGUUUCUGUUCUCUUGCCUAAUCACAAACAGUUCUCCGAAUGAACCGUAUGUUGUAUAUCGCACACACCUUCAUCUGGCUGCCCGUUUCUUUUGUGUUGCCUAAUCACAAACAGUUCAUCCGAGUGAAUCGUAUGCUGUGUAUCGCACACGCCUUCAUCUGGCUGCCCGUUUCUUUUGUUCCUCUUCAUCGCAAACAGUUAAUUGAACUGAACCGUAUGCCCUUCAUCGCACACGCAACUAAAACCUGAACCAUGUUUGAUACAUCCGUCAUCGCAAACGUUUUAUGCAUUUCUGAUGGUUUUCAUACAUCAUCGUUUGCGAUUAUUGCAUUGCACACAGUUUCUCGAAGGGUCUCUGAUCGUAGAGUCGCGUUAGCAGCAUCCUGCAGUAGUGUAAUAUACUUCCAAAUUAACGUGCAUUGCACAUACACAUUGACUAGUACUACUAGUACGUGAAACUUGUGCCGUAACUUGUGAACGCGUCCAGAUAUGGUCAACGGCAACAUCGCCCGCGAGUUCUUCGUGUUUGCCCAUGCAUCUAAACGCAUAAGGGGAGGAGAGAGAGAGCACACAUGGAACCCACCAGUAAGUGAAGGCGAAUAGUACGUGCUAACGAGCCGGUCCCAUUAAUGUACUAAAAAUAAUAUUACAUGUUAUCCAUUAAAUAGGCUGUGGUAAUAUAAAAACAUUAUAUGAACAAAGGGGGUACAACAAACAUUGUUGUUCUAGGUAUGUUGCCUAUUGACGUGCGGCUUGAAGGCCCUGGUCGCAUGUUCGAUCCUCGUCCUUUAUUUUUUAAUUUGUAUAUGGGUCCAAAUUUGUUUCAUGACAGGUGGGCCCCUUGGUGUGUAGUUUGUAGCACUUUAAUUUGUGGGUCGAAAUUUGUUCCAUUCCAGGUGGACUAUCGCUGUGUAGUUUUGUAGCUUAUUUGGAAUAAUUAAAGAGAACAACGGAGUUUUUUUGCAAUAAUACCAUGGUGCGACGUUGAAGGCGAGAAAGGACGUGCGAGAGAGCGAUGACCGAGCCAGAGGGAAAUCAAUUUGGGGAUGUGCGGGGGUUGCAACGGUGUUUGGAGUAGUUGUGGGCCGAAUGCUACGAAAAUAUAAUCUAAACCCACCGGAAUAAAUGCCUACACAAAUUAAUCCAAGGUUGGAGUCCCCCUCACAAUGUAAAUAGCUCCGGCUUUGCGAGGGAUGGAGAGGUAGCUUCAAUGUGUGGAAGAUACGGCGUGAGAAAGCGAGGUCAAUCGAGAGACAUAUAGAUAGAGAGACAAAGUGAGUGUGGUCCGACAUUCAUUGAAAAGAUAUAUAUGCUCUGGAGAGAUAUUGUCCGAUUGAGGUUUUGGGAAGGGUGAGGGCUGUAAGAUAGAGCUUGAGAGAUGAUCCAGUCACAGACAUGUAGAUAUAUUUUGUACGUGGGAGGAAGCAAGGUCAAUCGAUUACAUAUAUAAAGGGAGAGAGAUUGAGCGAGUGUGGGUCGUCGUGCGAUCAAAAGAGUGAGACGGGUUGGAGAGAGUAACCUAGAUAGACAAUGUGUGUGAGAGAGUAUACAAUAUGAAUAUGUCGAAUUGGGAUAAAACAUGGAGAUAUAUCAUUUGUGUCCGAGAAAGAGUGAGGUCAGUCGAGACAUACAGAGAGAGAGAGAGAGAGAGAGAUAUUGAGCGAGCGUGGCCCGCCAUGAGGUCGAAAGAGUGGGGGCGGCUUGGAUGGACUGACCUAGAUAGACAAUCUGCGUGAGAGAAUAUAGAGUGUGUCGAUCGAGGCUAGAAUAGGGAGAUAUAUCAUUUGUGCGUGAAACAAAAUGAGGUUAAUCGAGACUCGAAUAAAGAGAGCGAGAUUGAGCGAGUGUGGCCCGCCGUGCGGAAGAAAGAGUGAGAUAAUCUCGAGGGAGUGACCUAGAUAGACAACGUGUGUCGGGGAUAUACCCCGUGGUAUGGCCCGGCCGAAUAUAUGACCCGGCUGGGACUUGGCGUUUCAUUGGUAACCCGCCGGAGGAUUGGCGACUCACGAGUCUGGCGGCUCACUGAUCUGACGACUCACGAGCCUGGUGACUCACUAAAUGGCCCCGACGGCGGUCAGUUAGAGGACUAGGCCCAAGGCCCAGAAGGCCGGCUCAUGUUUUGGGGGCCUAAGAUGAUAAUGGUGUUUCGUGUUCCUACUACACAGUUACAGGGGCGUCGUCAAAAGUUUUCGCGUUUUCUAGCAAUUUUUUGGACUGUGGAAAGUGCUAUUUCACGUUUUCUGGCCAUUUUCAUAUUUUUCUUAUGUAUCAAAUCUGCAGAACAAUUACAAACUGAUGUUGUUCGUCGGUUGGGAGUUGGAGCUGAAUAGUAGAAUAUCAUGUUAGCUAAAAGAAAAUGACGAAGUGAUUAAUGUCCAUUCACAAAAGAAAAUGAUUAACUUCCAUAUACGACACUAAAGACGAGUAUACGACACAAAGCCAAAACUGGAUCGACCAGCUACUCAAUACUCCUAUAUGUUUUCCCCCCUUUUCAAAAAAAAGGAGUAUAUUAACAAGCCUGCUAAGUAGGAACAUUCGUAGCUGGGCCUAUAAUAGAGUAAUCCUAAUCCUACUAGGACUAGUCAUGUAACCCGCCCCUUCAACUUAUAUAAGGAGGGGCAGGGCACCCUAAGAAGGCAAGAAAUAAUCUCUAAGUAUAGACACAAUUAGGAGAGCCGGUUUAUAUGGCGACUCCCUCAUGAGCAUAAUGAGACCUAGCCACAAACAACAUGUAGGGCUAUUAUCGGAUGAUGUUUCCUGGGGCCCACUAGUGCAGAGCCGGGCUUUAGCGCCGGUUCGUAAGGGCCUUUAGUGCCGGUUGGAGACUAAAGGCCCCCCCUUACUACCGGUUCGGCACGAACCGGUGCUAAAGUGCCACCACGUGGCACGAGCCAGGCCCGGGUGCUAGUAGACCAUUAGUACCAGUUGGUAGCACCAACCGGUACUAAAUGUUUGGGGGGGGGGUUGGUUUUAAUUUUUAUUUUUCCAUUAAUUUUGUGUUUUCCAUUUAAUUCUUUUUUGUUUGCUGGUAUUUUAUGAUACUACAUAUUGUACACGUUAUGCAUAUAUAUAAAUAGUUUUUCUCGUAGAACCGAUCAUAUAUAUAUAAUCGAAUGUCUCACAACCAUCAUUAAUUAUUCACACAUACACAUGUAUAUAUAUACAAUUUCUCCUACAUGUUGCCUUGGUGCCUUCGGAGCACGAUGACAAGUGGUUCAUGGGGGCGGUAGCGGGUAAUAGUAUUCUCCUUUGGGAUCUAUGACCUGGUCGAGCAAAAAUCCCGCUAUUUCCUCUUGAAGUGCUCGUAUGCGCUCUGUUGGUAGGAGCUGGUCCCGCACCUCUUUGAAAUGUUAAGAAGGAGAUCAAUAUGCAUGUGUAUUAGUUGUGUGACUAGAUAUCGACAAUCAUGUAAGAUUUGUGAAUAGUGUUCUGGCAAACGUACCCAGUCCUGUCUAUCAGAUCUGCUCCUUUCGGACGCCAUCAUGCGAAUGUUCUCGCAAACGUAGUAUGCACACACUUCAGUCCCCGGCGCCUGCUUGAGGGCCUUUACGAGAAUAGAAUUUAAUCAGAUAAUUAUUAAUCAAACAUGUUAAUUAAUGGUAUUGAAACAAGAAUUAAAGAGACGGUAGCUAGCUAGCUAGUACUACAUAAUUACUUACCUUGGGUCGAUACCAACAUAGCUUUUGUCGCCAUUUUCCUGGAGUCACCUUGAUGUACUUUGCCCAAGCCCUGCCCGCCAGCAAAGAAAAUUAAUAAAGGGGUUAUUAAAAAUAGUUCAUAUCAGGAAAUGACGAACUAAAUAGGCCGAGAUAUAGUUAAUAAUGAUUGAAAUUACCUGUUGACUAUCCCCUUCACGAUGCUGUAGUCACUUUCUUUUUUAAGUAGUGAGUCCAGUACUUCAACUUUUCCUUCGUCAACUUUAAUGUCUAACAAGAUCCAGUGGAAGCUGCAUGCGCAUAAGUUUGCAUGUAUAAAUUAAGUGGGCAUGUGCAUAACACUAAUCAACUAUAACCCUAAACCCUAUACACUUAUUAACAUCUAGCUAGUAAGCAAAAAUAGAAUUUGUAGUACAAGACAGUGUGAAUCACUCGAAGUUGUAAGGAAGUAGUAUAUCUUCAUUGCUAUUGACGCGCUUCAAGAACUCUACCAUGUUUUUCUCUACAUCUUGUCUACACCAUUCCAAUUUCCAUGUGUAUUCAUUAACGGUAUUUGGGUCAAUGAACCCAAUGCCAUAGCGUCCAGCUUUUUUCAUUUCAUACAUCUUCAUCCUGCAUAAUACCACAGAAAAGAAUAUAUAGUGAGGAUAUAUAAUUACAGGUAAUUAAUGAUCAAUCAAUGAGCACUAGAGCUGGCUUGAGACUUAAAUUACAGAAAGAAAUCACUUACAGACAAUAGCAACUGACGAUAGAUUUGUCGAGUGCAUCUUGAUUGAAUAACUAAAAUAGUUCUGAAUACUCAACGGACAGAGCUUUCUUAUUGAAGUAAUGAUCUUCCUUGACUUGCACCAUGAGGGACUCUCGAUUGGAAAUCUUGGUAAUUUUCAUGUACCAAUCAUGCAAUUCAUACAUUCUCGUUGGGAGGUUCUUGACCUCCUCGGGCUCGACCAAAGGUUGGCCCAGGACAUAUUUCCGUUGUAUUUCCUCCUCUCUAAGCGGAGACAUGGGCUCGAUAUCGAGGAGUUGUUCAACAGUGAUCUUGAGCAUUUCAGCCUGCAUUAUAUGCUCCUCGGUUAUUACCACAUCGCCCAGCUCGGGAACGUAAACGGUUUGCCCACAAUAAUAUUGGGCGCGCGUACUCUCAUGUGUUGUUGGCACAACAAGCAGGGGGGUCGAUUGCGUCGCGUGUUCUCCCAGCUAGGGAACGGUUUUCCCGCAUUUUUUGAUAGCUGCUUGUUGGCUCGAGCUUGAGCUCGCUUGUUUCUGUAGUCGUGCUCGAUGUGCCUUCCUGAUUUGGUGCUCAUAGUCUGAGUCAACAGGCUUGGGAGCUGGUGGUCUAGCCAUACGAAUAAAGUGGUCAAUCUUUUCCUCGGGCACUUUCUCCCUCGGCGGCGUUGCCGGUUUCGGUCGAAAAUGAGCGUCCACUUCGGCCUGCACUAUUGCAUUGUUUUGCUCCUCGGUCAUGUCAUAAGGCCUCUGAGGAAGAGGAGCGAGGCUGCUUGGACCAUAUUUAUAUCGCUUGUCUCUGCCUGUACUUUCUGUACUACCUCGACUUGUACCGCUACGCACCAUAGCUGCGGCGUGUCUCUUCUACGAUUGCUUAGACAGCGGAGACGGCUGACGUGGCUUAGUUAGAGCAGGAGGAGUGGCCUGACGCUGUGCCGGACUUGAAGCAGGAGGUGUGGCCUGACACAGUGUCGGACUUGAAGCAGGAGGUGUGGCCUGACGCUGUGCCGGACUUGAAGCAGGAGGUGUGGCCUGACACGGUGUCAGACUUGAAACAGGAGGAGUGGCCUGACGCUGUGCCGGACUUGAAGCAAGAGUCUGCUCACGCGUUCGUGGACUUGGAGGAGCGGGAGUCUGCUGACACGGUGGCGGACUUCGAGGAGGAGUCGGCAGACGCGGUGUCGGUGGACUCUGAAAGAUGAUGCAAUCCUUUCUCCAUAGGAUGAUACGAUGUAUGGCCUCUCCCAGUGUGUGCUUGUCGUCACCUCCAGGAAUGUCAAGCUCUAGCCCCGAAUAUGGGUCCACCACCUCAUCAACCAAGACACGAGCAUAGCUCGCUGGAGUCGGGGCGCAAUGGAAGGUUGCUUCGGGGGUAAUUGUAAAAGCAACGGCGUCCGCCACCUUCAUGGAUAUGUUCUUCAUUUUGAAGUGUAGCUCACAGUUAGUGUUCUCUAUGAUGUCAUCCACAGGGUAUGUAUCCAGCAGUGCGUCGCCCGGGGCGGACCAACGCUGCUUCUCGGCAUGGAUGGGACGGUGCUAUCCAAUGCUGGAUGAUCAUCCGCUUGCUGCUGCCACUGCUGAGACCCCCUUCCCUGGCUAAGUGAGUCGAUCUACUGCUGCUGUUGCUGCUGGAAUUUGAGUGCCAAGUCCGCGUGCCUUGCUUCUAGGCCUUGAAGGUGUUCCGCGUCCUGCUUCCUCUGCUCCUCCUCCAGCUUCCUCUUCUUCUCCUCCUCCAUCUUCUUUCUUGCACGGGUCCUGUAGUCGUCGUUCCAUUCCAAAAAGCCCUCAUACCAGGGAAUAACGCCCUUGCCUCGUGUUCUUCCCGGGUGUUCAGGAUUUCCCAGGGCGCGCGUAAGCUCGUCGUUCUCUCUGUUGGGCGUGAACACCCCCUUUCGAGCAUCUUCUAUUGCGUCAAGUAACUUUUGUUCUGCUCCUUUUAGACUUACCUUCUUCGAAACCAGACCUGUCUUCGGGUCCAAUGCCCCCCCAUGCGCAUAGAACCAAGUUCUGCACCUGGGGGCCAGCUCCUAGUAAUCGGAGCGACCCCUGCAUCCUCCAUCUCUUGCUCAGACUUAUCCCACUUAGGCAUUGCCACCGCGUAGCCACCUGGACCCAGCAUAUGGAACUGCGUCUUUUUUGCGGCAUUGGCCUUGUUUUUUCUCGACCGUUCCUUAGAUAAUUCUGAUUACUUGAAUUUCACGAAAGCGGGCAAGUGUUCUCUUUGCUUCUCCAGUGUUCCCUUGAAUUCUGGAGUCUUCCUUUCUGCAGCGAGGUAGUUGGCCCAUACAAUUUUCUUGUGGGAUUGAAUGCAAUUGCCAUCUUAUUAAGAGCAGCGUCCUUGACUUUCUGCACAUCUGCAUUAGUGAAAUAAUCUGGUAGGGUGAAAUGUUCCAUCAGAGAUUCCCAAAGCUUUUGUUUUGCUCUGUCGACGACCCAAGUAACAUCUGGGCGUUUAGUUUUUGGCUCUUUCCAUUCCUGAAUGGAGAUCGGGAGUUGGUCCUUCACAAGAACUCCGCACUGAUGAACGAACUUGUUCGCAAUGUUCUUAGGCGUGAGGGAUUCGCCACUAGCUUUGAUGGAAUCGAUGUUGUACUUUACACCAUCCUUCAACUUUUUGCCCGGGCCGCGCUUUGUCCUGCUGUCUGUAGAAGUAGAUUUGCUCGAUCCGGAGGGCUGAAAGAAGAAAGCUCGAUUCGUUAAUAUAUCUUCAAAUAAAAAAACAUGUGAUGAUCACUAGAUGCCUGCUUAUAUAAAUAUACCUCGCCGGUAGUCUUUGUUAUUUCAAGAUCAACAUUGUAUUCGUCAUCAUAAUCAUUGUCUGCAUCAUCAUAAUCAUAAUCAUAGUUCAUGACUUCAUCAGCUCGGUCGUCGAGAUCGAAUAUCUUAUCAUCACCCUCCCCGGCAUUGUUCAGAUAUUGGGAGCCGUCAUUUGCUUCAUUCAGAUCAUUUGGCCUGCUAGGGCUGCGUAUGAUCUCGAACAGGGCCUCUUCUCCCUCUCUGCCGGUAUUGUCCGCCAUAGCUAUUAUUUAACUAAUACAGAAGAAAUAAAAAACAAUUUAGUAUUCAAAUUACAAUGCAUGGAUGCAAUCAAUAAGGAAAACUGAAUCAUAUAGUACAUAAUAUGCAUCAUCUCGAAUAAUAUAUAAUCUCGAAUACAUCACUGGCUAGGUAGCUAAUAAAUAUCGAAUACUAUAGAAGAAUCUAGGCCACUCGCGGUUCCUGGGGCGCGGGCGGUGGACACCCAAAGACAAGGAACCAUCACAUGAUCAUAUCUCCGGUCAUCUGCCCAAAGAACCUGCCAGAUAUUGGAGAACCUGACGUCCAUAGCAGCCAUGUAGCAUGGACGUGCUCGUCCUCCUCCCUGACACGACGACGCACCACCUCCGGCGGGGCCGGCUCCCUCUGCACCGAAUGUGGCCCACGCGAACGCCACCAAAGGAGAUCAGGGUCGACGACGGGACCUGAGGCCGGGUUCCUCACCAAGCGGCGCGCCCCUCCAGGUAGCACCUCCCAGUGCCAGCCCGACGGAGCCCAAUCCAGGACAUGGGUCAGCCGGACGUCGUCGCGAACGGGUCGACGGCGAGUAUGCGGGCCGGGCAUCGUCGAGAACAAAUACUAUAUACCCGCAAAAAGUAACAUUUUUUAAAUGAUUGGAUUGUGAUAACUAAAAUUCUAUAUGCAAAUUCUAACAAUUUGACAUUAAUCUAAUUCAUCUGACUAAAACUAAUUCUAAAAUUUUCUAACAUUUCUAUAUAUAUAACUAACAUUUCUAUAACAUUUCUAAUAUUUAUAUAACUAAAAAACAGAAAAAUUGCUAACAUUUCUAUAAAUAUUUCUAUAACUUAAAAACAGAAAAAUUUAUAACAUUUCUAUAUAACUAACAUUUCUAUAACAUUUUAUAACUAAAAAACAGAAAAAUUUCUAACAUUUCUAUAAAUAUUUCUAUAACUAAAAAACAGAAAAUUUUCUAUAACUAAAAAACUAAAAAACAAUGUGUGUGUGUGUGGACAUGGCGGCCGGGGCAGGAGCUCACCGGCGAGGCGAGGCGACGGGGGGCGGCGACGGGGACGGCGACGGGCGGCGACGACGGGGAUGGGGACGGGGCGGUGACGACGGGGACGGGGACGGGCCAGGCGGGGACGACGGGGCGGGGCGCGGCGACGACGGGGACGGGGACGGGGCGGCGACGUUGGCGUCGACGAGGGGUGGCGACGGGGGGCGGCGGGCGACGGGGCAGAGGAGAAGAAGCAGAUGAGAAACUGAAUUUUUUGAAGUGUUUUCUUAUAUAGGAUGGGCCUUUAGUACCGGUUGGAGCGACCAACCGGUACUAAAGGUCAAUUUGGCCAGGCCAAGCGGCGGGAAGCGCCCGCCUUUAGUACCGGGUGGUGGCUCCAACCGGUACUAAAGACCCUCCGUUUAAUACCGGUUUGAGCCACCACCCGGCAAUAAAGGUGGUGCGCUGGCGCAGGUGCGGUGCGUCAUGCUUAGUCCCACCUCGCUAGCCGAGGGGCAUCUGCACUGGUUUAUAAGCCCCAGUGCGGUAGCUCUCUCGAGCUCCUCUCCAAAGCAGGCGUACUGGGCCUAAAUGUUCUAUGCUGCCCUGUGGGCCUACUGGGCCUUUGCGGGCCUGCAUCCUGGCCCAACAACAGGUUCAGUUUCUAGUCGUAUGCAGGCCGCUGUGGCGCAGUAGGCGGGCUUUUUUAUUUUCUUAUUUUUUUUGCUUUAUUUAUUUUUGUUUUAUUUAUUUUUGAAUUGUUUGUUUUGCUGUAUUUAGAGUUUCUUUGUGAAUAUUUUUGCUUUAGGUACAAAAAAUUACAAACUUUCUAUUAGUGCCGGUAGUUUACAAAUUUGAAUAGUUUACAUUUUGAAUUAUUUGAAAUUUGUGUGAAUCACUAGUUUGUGAAUAACUUAACUUUGAAAAUAGAUUUUCAGUGAUUCUUUUUUUUAUGUUUAAUAUUAGUGUGUUUUAUCAUUAUAUUCAAUUUGGUAAUGCUUAGGUUAUUUAAAAAAUGAAAUGCCUUUGUAAUGGAUGAGUUUUCGUCCGAAACCCUGAUACUUCGAAAGAGAUUGUCCAUUUUAUACACGAAGUGCAUCCAGUUUUUGCGGUAACCCUCUCUACUUUUUUGCACAUGCUAUGUGGGUGAAAUUAUGAUACCAUGCCAACUUUCAACCUUUUCUGAGUUCAUUUGAAAUGCUUUUCAAUUUCAGGGUCAUUUAGCUGAAAAAAUCAGUAAAUGCAUGAAAGAAUUUGUUUGCACAUAAAAUUUCUUCGCGUUUCAAAUGCCAAAACACAUAACUACCCUAACUUUUACAGAGAUUCCCUCCUGGGUGUGAAACACAGAAGAAAGUGAUGAUAGUGAAGCCGAUCACAUCCCAGAUCUUUGGGUGUGAAACUUUUUCUUCGCGUAUGUCCCUUUGCGCCGUUGCCAUGGAAAAUCUUGAUCAUUUAACUGGAUGCUCGGGUCAAUAUUCACUGUGAAUGGAGCAAUUUCAUCAAACUUUUCAUAAUCUUCUGACAUGUCUGUCUUGUCAUCCACUCCCACGAUGUUUCUCUUCCCAAAAAGAACUAUGUGGCGCUUUGGCUCAUCGUAUGAUGCAUUCGCUUCCUUAUCUUUUUUUUCUCAGCUUGGUAGACAUAUCCUUCACAUAGAAAACCUGUGCCACAUCAUUAGCUAGGACGAAUGGUUCGUCUGUAUACGCAAGAUUGUUGAGAUCCACUGUUGUCAUUCCAUACUGCGGGUCUUCCGUUACCCCAUAUCGUGUCAUAUUGACCCAUUUGCACCGAAACAAAGGUACCUUCAAACCACGUCCAUAGUUAAGUUCCCAUAUCUCCUCUAUGUAACCAUAAUAUGUUUCCUUUCCCGUCUUGGUUGUUGCAUCAAAGCGGAUACCACUGUUUUGGUUGGUGCUCUUCUUAUCUUGGGCGAUCGUGUAAAAUGUAUUACCAUUUAUCUCGUACCCUUUGAAAGUCAUUAUAUUCAAAGAUGGUAACUGGGACAGCGAGUACAGGUCAUCUUCAAUAGAGGCGUCAUGCAUGGUACGUGUCUGCAACCAGCCGGCGAAACUCCUGGUUUGUUCACGUGUAAUCCAGUCAUCAGACCGCUCCGGGUGUUUGGAGCGUAGAAAAUUCUUGUGUUCGUCCAUAUACAGAGCCACCAAGGCAGAAUUCUGUAUAACUGUGUAGUGUGCUUCAGUGAGAGAAUGUCCGUCCAUACAUAUUUUUUGAUUCCCUCCUAACGUGCCUUUUCCAUCCAGUCUGCCCUUAUGCCGCGAUUCAGGAACACCAAUCGGCUUAAGGUCAGGAAUAAAGUCAAUACAAAACUCAAUGACCUCCUCAUUUUCAUGGCCCUUGGAGAUGCUUCCUUCUGGCCUAGCACGGUUAUGAACAUAUUUCUUUAAGACUCCCAUGAACCUCUCAAAGGGGAACAUAUUGUGUAGAAAUACAGGACCCAAAACGUUAAUCUCUUCGCUUAGGUGAACUAGGACGUGUGUCAUGAUGUUGAAGAAGGAUGGUGGGAACACCAACUCGAAACUGACAAGACAUUGCACCAAAUCAUUCUCUAACCUUGGUAUGAUUUCUGGAUCGAUUACCUUCUGAGAGAUUGCAUUGAGGAAUGCACAUAGCUUCACAAUGUCUAAUCGAACGUUAUCCGGUAGAAGCCCCCUCAAUGCAACCGGAAGCAGUUGCGUCAUAAUCACGUGGCAGUCAUGAGACUUUAGGUUCUGGAACUUUUUCUCUGCCAUGUUUAUUAUUCCCUUUAUAUUCGACGAGAAGCCAGACGGUACCUUAAUACUGAGCAGGCAUUCAAAGAAGAUUUCCUUCUCUUCUUUGGUAAGAGCGUAGCUGGCAUGACCCUGAUGUAUGCCGUCUUUUCCAUUCAUACGUUGCUGGUCCUCCCGUGCCUCAGGUGUAUCUUUUGUCUUCCCAUACACGCCCAAGAAGCCAAGCAGGAUCACGCAAAGAUUCUUCGUCACGUCCAUCACGUCGAUUGCAGAGCGGACCUCUAGAUCUUUCCAAUAGGGCAGGUCCCAAAAUAUAGAUUUCUUCUUCCACAUGGAUGCGCGUCCGUCAGCGUCAUUCGGAACAGGUUGUCCGCCAGGACCCUUUCGAAAGACUACCUUCAAAUCCUUGACCAUAUCAUGUACAUCAGCACCAGUACGGUGGCGAGGCUUCGUCCGAUGAUCCGCCUCACCUUUGAAAUGCUUGCCUUUCUUUCUUACGGGAUGCCUGCUCGGAAGAAAUCAACGAUGUCCGAGGUACACAUUCUUCCUACAAUUGUCCAAAUAUAUGCUGUCGGUAUCAUCCAAACAGUGCGUGCAUGCACGGUAUCCCUUGUUUGUCUGCACUGAAAGGUUACUGAGAGCAAGCCAAUCAUUGAUGGUCACAAACAGCAAGGCCUUUAGGUCAAAUUCUUCCCCCAUGUGCUCAUCCCACACACGUACACCUGUUCCAUUCCACAGCUAUAAGAGUUCUUCAACUAAUGGCCUUAGGUACACAUCAAUGUCGUUGCCGGGUUGCUUAGGGCCUUGGAUGAGCACUGGCAUCAUAAUGAACUUCCGCUUCAUGCACAACCAAGGAGGAAGGUUAUACAAACAUAGAGUCACAAGCCAGGUGCUAUGGUUGCUGCUCUGCUCCCCAAAAGGAUUCAUGCCAUCUGCGCUUAGACCAAACCAUACGUUCCUUGCGUCAUCUGCAAACUCCUUCCCGUACUUUCUCUCAAUUUUCUCCACUGCGACCCGUCAGCGGGUACUCUCAACUUUCCGUCUUUCUUACGGUCUUCUCUGUGCCAUCGCAUCGCCUUGGCAUGCUCUUUGUUUUGGAACAAACGUUUCAACCGUGGUAUUAUAGGAGCAUACCACAUCACCUUGGCAGGAAUCUUCUUCCUGGGGCGCUCGCCCUUGACAUCACCAGGGUCAUCGCGCCUGAUCUUAUAGCGCAAUGCACCGCAUACCGGGCAAGCGUUCAAAUCCUCGUACUCACCGCGGUAGAGGAUGCAGUCAUUAGGGCAUGCAUGUAUCUUCUGCACCUCUAACCCUAGAGGGCAGACAGCCUUCUUUGCUUCGUACGUACUCUCGGGCAAUUCAUUGUCCUUUGGAAGCAUAUUCUGUAUCAUUACCAGCAACUUUCCACAUCCCUUGUCAGAUACACCAUUCUCUGCCUUCCAUUGCAGCAAUUCCAGUGUGGUGCCCAACUUUUUCUUGUCAGCUUCGCAAUUCGGGUACAACAAUUUCUUGUGAUCCUCUAACAUGCGCUGCAACUUCUUCUUCUCCAAAUCACUUGUGCAGUUUCUCUUUGCAUCGGCAAUGGCCCGAUCUAGAUCAUCAGCGGGCUCAUCUGAUGCCUCUUCUUCAGCUUCUUCCCGCAUUGCCAGCUCAGCUUCUUCCCCCAUUGUUGUAUCAUCGUAUUCAGGGAACCCAUGGCCAGGAUAGCUGUCAUCGUCCUCUUCUUCUUCAUUGUCUUCCAUCAUAACCCCUCUUUUCUCCGUGCUUGGUCCAAACAUUAUAGUGGGGCAUGAAACCGGACUUAAACAGGUGGACGUGAAUGGUUCUUGACGUAGAGUAAUUGUGAUCAUUCUUACAGACUAAACAUGGACAAGGCAUAAAACCAUCCGCCCGCUUGUUUGCCUCAACCGCAAGCAGAAAAGUUUGCACGCCAUUAAUGAACUCGGGAGAGAAUCGGUCAUCGUACAUCCAUUGUCGGCUCAUCUUCAUUACACAACACCGAAUAGACCAAAUUAAUACAAGUUCAUACAUAAAGUUCAUACAAGACUUAAAUGCAACAAACAAAUAACUCUCUAACUAAAGAAUUUAAAUGCAACAACAAAUGCGAUCAAGAUCGCAACUAAGGUAACAAUUGAUCCAGCAGCAUAAUGAUACCAAGCCUCACUAUCAAUGGCAUAUUUUCUAAUCUUUCUAAUCUUCAAGCGCAUUUUCUCCAUCUUGAUCUUGUGAUCAUCGACAACAUCGGCAACAUGCAACUCCAAUUCCAUCUUCCCCCCCCCCCUCAAUUCUUUUCAAUUUUUCUUUCAAAUACUCAUUUUCUCUUUCAACUAAAUUUAACCUCUCGACAAUAGGGUCGGUUGGAAUUUCCGGUUCACAAACCUCCUAGACAAAAAUAUCUAUGUCAACUUGAUGGGCAUAAUUUGUCAUAAACACGAAAUGCAACAACUAGUUUUAAAAGAGAAUAUACCACAUCCGAAUCAUAACAAGGACGAGGGCCGACGGGGACGGAUAUCAAAACCAUGACAUUAUGUAUAACAAACAACGUACGGGUAAGAUAAUUAUACGAUUAACUAUAUAUCCAAAUCACACAAACAUCAAUUUGGUAAUGUAAAACAUUCAUGGACAAGAGGCUCACCACAAGGUGGUGCCGGCGACGGAACGGUGCGGGCGAUCGACUGUGGUUACGACGGAGAUUUAGAAGGCACCAAGUAAACCACACCUACAUAUGCAAACUAAGUGUUAGUUUUGACCACAAAUUGCAUAUAAAUCAAAUACUAGCACAUAUAUUUUCUACCAAAUUACUAAACUCAUAAAUUAAUCACUAUACAAAGCAUUGCAAGAGCUAAUCUAGCAAUGAGAGAUGAAAGGACAAAGUUGCUAACCUUUGUGAUCAUUUGAAUGGAUGGGGGCCUUCAAAUCUUGACAAAUUUUGGGCAAAAUGUGUGAUGAGCUCGAGAGGAAGAGGGGAAGAACAGAGAGGAAAGGAGAAAGGGGAAGAACAGAGCGAGCUCGGGUGGAUGGAGGGUUUAUGUAGGACGACAUUUAGCACCGGUUCGUGCCAUGAACCGGUACUAAAGGUGCUGGAGGGGCCCCGGACUGACAACAUCCUGCCACCACUCACUUUAGUACCGGUCCGUGGCACGAACCGGUGCUAAAGGUCAGCCACGAACCGGUACUAAUGAAAGCGGCUGGCUAGCCGUUGGAACCGGCACUAAUGCACACAUUAGUGCCGGCUCAAAAGCAAACCGGCACUAAUGUGCUUGACAUUUGACCAUUUUUCUACUAGUGGCCCGAAGCUGUCUAAAUUCUUCUCUUGUGUGUUGAUCCGCCUCGCGUCUCUCGUCCUGCUCAACCCCUCUCAAACUAUCACAUAGAUGCGUUGGCCUAACGACUAAGCUCUUUUCAUGAAGACAUUUGCCGUGAAAAAUUCACAACAGUUGACGCCCAUCGUGGGGCUCGCGCACGGUGCUGUUGAGUUUUUGGAGGGAUUUCUUUAGGGAUCGAGGAGCUCGUGAUUAAAUAGAGAAAAUUACGAUUGCGUCGGGUGUGCUGUCGCCGCUACAAUUUGAAGAUGUGUUCGAGACCAAUCAAUGCAAAGAUUACGUCACAGGGACCAACAGAAAUUUUUGCAGCAUGUUAUACGAUUGGGGAGCGGUCGAAUCGCAAGUCGCCCAGACCGUAUUUUUCUGUUGCGGCACGUUUUUUCGACGCGCCAAGUUCCGAGGUGCUUGUCGGUACCGCGACUUCCGAGUCGUAGCGCUUACAUCAAUCGUACCAACUACUAGUACACGUUAUUAUCAUACAAAGGACCAACAGGAUCUAGGCUGCUCACGUGGGUUGAGUACUGUUCAAAUUUCUAAAUUGCUAGUAUCUCGAAUAGCUAUACAUACGUGGAGGCAGGCUGUACAAUGAAAGAUGAGCCGAGAUGUCCAGUCAGCAGCGCUGCACACAAGAAAGAAAGAAAAAAGGGGCGUGGGGUGGCCAAGUCAACCACGACCCGGAAUUUGAUACAGCCAUGGUUCAGGAACGGAUUCAGCUACUACCGCGGUUUCGGCUCCGGCCGCCUGUCGCCGCCGUACUAUGAGCCGGCCAUCCCGCCUCCGCUCACAAGUGGCUCCGGCCGGGCCGGCCACCCCGCUCUCGCACCUCCGGCUACGCCUGGCGCGUCGCCCGUCCUGCGCGCCUACCAAAUCCGCCACUUCUGUAGCGACCGCCGCAGCAAAUCACCGCUGUCGCUGGCGCUGCCUUGCGCCUCCUCUGCUUCACGUUGGUUCUGAGCCGCCGUACUGAGUGACGCACCAAAUCCCCCCAGCCCCAGCUCUGAGCCACUUUGGCCGUGCUUUUUUCCACCGGCCAAGCCACCGUCGACGGCUCCUUCGGCAAAAGAUGACCACGGGCCCGGGUCCGGGUCGUGGGCAGGCUCGCCUCGCUUCCAAGUCGGACUUGCUUCGCCUCGCCGAGUUGCCUUCGGCGCUCCACUGUAUUGAGCCACCAAGUCGCUGCCGCCGUUGCGGCACCGCUUCAACUUCCCGAGGCCCUGCUGCUUCAGCUCCAAGCCAGCCGCUCGACUCGCCUCCGCCGGUUUUCGCCGACCCGCCGCCUCGCGCCACUAGUCGCCGGCCGGCCCUGCUAUUUCUGCCACGAGCCGUCCCCGGAUUCAUCGCUGCAGCGCCCGUCUGCUCCAGGCCACCUCGCUGCCGCGGCCUUGCGCCAAGUCGCCACCGUCUCACCUCAUCUCCGGCGCGUCGUCUCCGCCUCUGCCGGAUCGCUGAGCCGCCGUGACCACGCAAGCCGUCCCAGCGUGAGCAGCUUCGCCGGCCGAGCCGCGCCCCUGUUUCAAAUCGUUGUGUUGAGCUGCCACCGUGACCCGCCCGCAUGCCACCUGCAAACCGCUCCAGCUAGAGUCGCCGCCUUGGCCUCCCGUAAGCUGGUUCCCCGGCGCCGCCCCGCGUCUGGUUGUGCUCAGUUCCUCUGCCUCCGGGCGUUCGCCCAAGCCGGUUCCAGGUCGACGCCCAGGCCCUGUUUCCCCGCUGUGGCUGGCGGCCCGUGCAAAAGAAGAGCCAGAAUCACUUUUUAAGAAAAUCUGGUCAGGCGCAUGCAUGGAGAAGGCAAAAGGGCUCCAUUACAUUAUUUAUUGGCACAGAUUUCGAAAUUUGACAAGCACUAGGCCUACUACCAGCUGCUGACAGUCGCUACGCAUGGCGAAAGUAAACCUGCCCGAAGCCAUUUGAUUAAAAGAAAUACAGAGAAGAAGAAGCGGCCAAGCUAGCCACGUGAUGUCAAAUAAACAUGCUUCUCACGUCUCAUCAAAUUGGCAAGUACAUAUGCUGUUUUAUCGUCCUGGCUGUGUCCGGCAUUAUUAAACUAAACGCCAGUGUCCACGAUUCGCCCGACGAAACAUCAGGUCAUAUCCAUCCAAAUUUGUUUUAUUAGCACAUAUUGUUUUUGUCAAAUAACAGUUUAUCUUUGCCUUCGUCUGCUAUGUUGUUUAUACAGGACAAUGGUUCCCUGCAAGAGCGAUGGUCGUGUCAUGGAUGUAUAGCUCGCGCCAUCAUUAUCAUGCGCUAGCAUCUGAUCGUGCCAUGAUGAUCGACGAAUAUAUGUGCAAACCGCCGUUUUUACGCCCCGAUUUACAUCAACAUGACGUGGUUGACUUGCCCGUCCCCGCGGCUUACUGCGCCUGCGAUUGACUCGCCCGUCCGCAUCAGCUUACAACGCUGCGGCCGGUUCAUCUGCCUGCUCUCGCGGGCGACUCGGCCGUGAUUGAUUUCAGCUUUACCGUGGUGAUCAUCGACUCCGCGGUGGAUAACUACUGGCCUGACAUAUCAGGUGAAAUCCAUCCAGUAUAUUUUUAUAUUACAUAUUGCUUUCUUUAAAAGAGCAAUUACUCUGUCUUGCAAGUUCUCCAAUGCAGGACAAGUUGUCUACUGCAAAAGGGACUAUUAUAUCACUGAGCUGUUGAAUGACUCAUACCGGUUUAUAUCACGGUUAAAUAUGAAGAAUCUCAAGCCAACUCCUUGAGUCGUCUUGCUACGAUGACAUGACUCAGUAAAUGUUGCCAGUUUGAGCAGAUUCAAGAACUCCGGGUCAUUGGAGGGAAGAUAACCCAGCCCCGGAGGCUAUUGCUAUAUUGAUGAAAAUUAAAGGGCCGUCAGAAAAUUUCUGGCUUAAAAUGAAGGAUCCCGGUUUAAAAUCUGGCUCAAGAGAAAUAUGUCUCUCACAAAGCUUUGAAGCUCUCAAUAUCCGGUUUAAAACUCCGGUUCAAAAAGAAUCCAUCUCUCGCAAGUUCGAGUUCUCGGGAAAAAUUAAAGGUUGGCAAAGAGAACCUGUGGCCAUGAUGCGCGGUUCAAACAUGGGUAUCCUGCCUUAUGAGCUUAUCUUAUUAUGAUCACUUGGGGGCUUCCUACUCAAUGAGCAUAGCUAUGACUACCCUUUGAUCCGGCUUGUACGCCAUGAUUACAAAAUACUUGGGAGCUUCCUGCUCAUCGAGCAUAGCUAUGACUACCCUUUGAUCCGGCUUACAGGCUGGGCUGUAAACAUCACUUGGGGGCUUCCUGUUCAAACAUAGGUGUAUUCACCAAAGAGAACAUAGCGUCACUACCCUCUUGUCUGGCUUGAAACACCAGGUGUAUUCACCAAAGUUUCCAGGUUAUCUUGUUCAAACAUAGGUGUAUUCACCGAAGUGGACAUGACCUUUUUGGCGUGGAAUGCUAGGUGUAUUCAGCAAAAAUUUCCGGGUUUAUCCUGUUCAAACAUAGGUGUAUUCACCAAAGAGAACAUAACCCUUCAGGCUUGGAAGCCAGGUGUAUUCACCUAAAAACCCGGGUUAUCCUGCCUUUUUAAGUCUGCCACUCCGCCCAGGUAAUCCUGGAAUGACCCGCCAUACUUUUGACAGUCAAUCUUAUACAAGACCCUGAACUUGUCAAAGUUAAAACGACGAUUGGUCAUGUGAGGACCGGCUUCUAAGGUUUGUAUGAAGGUUUAACUCAGUGGCUGUGCGGCCCUUGAAAGCACUUGAUUUUUAGGCCUGGCCGCCUAUGAAAGCCUUGAUCUUUUGAUUUAUAUUUGAACAUUUUUUGAGGUUCAUCUUUUGUGACAUGUUAAUACAUUGUUGAAAACCAAUGAGGGCUAUGAUGCCUUAUGGUUCAUAUAUGAAAUUUCCUGGUGUUUAUUAACCCGGCCUGGCUUUUGACGUUAAGUCGCCAGUGUAUGAUGAUUAUGUGCUUGAAGUUCUGGCUCUAACCUUUGGGAUGUUACCCCUUACUAUCUUUGGCUUUGCAAGCCGGCGGUAUAAACAAAUUGAAUAGGGCGUUGUGCUCUCAAUAUUUGGGUUGAAACCCUUACUGCACGACAGAUGAUGAGUUGGUAGUGUUAACAAAUAUCAUAGGUAUGAUAUUUAUUUUGUUAUAAUUAUAUGAGGUUUGAUAACUCGCUCUGGCUUUGGAGGUUAAGUCGCCAGUAUAUUUUGGAUUGCGUCAUUGGAAUCAUGCGCUUAUAAAUCAUUGGAUUGUUACCCUCACUGGACAUGGUGAUAUAAGACGGCAAUAUGGGCCGAUUUUGUAGGUAUGUUUUCCUGGUUAUAUGAGUAUGCGAGGUUUGAUAACCCGCCCUGACUUUUAACUUUAAGUUGCCAGUAUGUUUAGGCUUGAAUGGCCUCAAUGCUGGUAUUUUUCCAUAAUUGCAUAAGACUAUAUUAUGUUUGGGUUGUUACCCGCCCUGGCUUUUGACGUUAAGUCGCCAGGGCAUAUUUGUUUAAACUCUGUGCAGGAUUUGCAGAGCUAUGACUUACAUAAAUGAUUAAGUUCAAGCCCAUCAUCAAAAAUUGAAAUUGGUGUUUCAAAAGGGUUAUCAAUUAUUGAUUUUCACAAAGGCUAUAAACCAGCGGGUUACAAAAAUUCUGGUUCACAAUGAAAGCGCAUUAAGUCGCCAUUGGCCAAUAGCCGCCGGGUAUUUAAACUCUGGAUUUACUUGUCAACCGAUAAGGUAUUCAAAUCUUUAAUAGCCAAAAUUGGCUGGAUUUUCAUGAUGAUAUUGAAUGACUAAGGUUUUCAUACCGGAUUAUAUUAUUCAAAUCUUGAAUAGCCAACAUGGCUGGAUUUUUAUUAUGGUUAUCAAUAACUAGUAUUAUGAUUGAGGUUUUCAAAGUCGCUUCAGCGCAAUGGCUAUUAUUUCUUUAUCAAUGGAUAUGAUUUAUUCUGCAAUGGAAGGAAUAGUCCCGAGUCGCUGCAGGCUUACGACCUGACACUUGGGGGCUACAUUAUUCAAAUCAUGAUUAUAUCAAAUAUGGAAGUCCCAUGUCGCUGCAAGCAUGCACCAUGACACUUGGGGGGCUAAUGCAAGGUCAUUCUUAACUUGCCUUAUUGAAGACCCGACCCAUCACAUAGUGAUGAGCCGGCCCUUGGGGGCUACCAAUUGCUCCUGUCAAAAAUUCAAGGUACACAAGCUUUAAUCCACUAUAUGGAAGGGUCCACUACUCAGUUGGUAGAGUACACAACUCUUAACCUUAUGGACGUGCGUUCGAGCCCCAAUGGUGGGGGUUACAUCAUAUGAUGUUAUUUUCAAUGAAGUAUAUAUAAAGUCCCAGCUCAGUAUUGUCUUGCUGAGCUGGCCCUUGGGGGCUACAUGUUGCUGUUCAAGUCUACAUGAUCAUAUCUACAAAGUCCCUGCUCAUUAUUGCAUAAUGACCCGGCCCUUGAGGGCUACACUGGUUGAAGUUUUUAUGAGCAUAAGGCAAUUACAAAUCCCAGGUUGCUGCAAGCAUGACAACCCGGCACUUGGGGGCUACAUAUGUGGAAUAUCCAGUUUGACUAGUGACUGAGAUGAACAAACCCUGAUUUCUUCAAGGUUGCGACAUUUUUAUUGAAGCAAGUCUUAAGCGGUUACUACGCUCCCUUCUUAAAACUUGGGGGCUACAAGUGAUAUGCAUAUAAGGGAGGUAUAUUUUCAAGAUUGAUGAUUAGCAACAAUUAUGACCCGGUGCCAUCAAUAUUUACAAGCCGGAAAUUUUGGAUAAACAGGCAAGUUUUACAUCUUCAAGCAGGCUGAAUAUCAGAUGAGUAUUUCAGAGACCAAUAUUUUUGUUAAGCAUUGGAAGCUGAGUCAAAUGAAUUAUUCUUCACAAUAUUUCUGUGAGAAACCAACGUCAGCAAAUUGAGUAUGAAGUUGGCCUAUUGACCCAGAUUUUCUAGAAGAAGGAAAUUACAAGGAAUUAAGGAUGAUCAGGUGCCGGCUUACAAGAAUUCUUUACCCGGAGCACAAUCUGUCAAAUUUGAUCUUGAGUUAUUUUUGCAGGAUCAGUUUAACAUGGAUAAAUCCAAAUUAAACUGGGGGCUAAUGUCGGGGAUAUACCCCGCGUUAUGACCCGACCGGAUAUAUGACCCGGUUGGGACUUGGCAUUUCAUUGAUAACCCGCCGGAGGAUUGGCGACUCACGAGUCUGGCGGCUCACUGAUAUGACGACUCACUAAAUGGCCCCGACGGCGGGUCAGUUAGAGGACUAGGCCCAAGGCCCAGAAGGCCGACUCAUGUUAUGGUGGGCCGGCUUAAGAGGAAAGCAUAAGGAAUAUUCCCUUACAAAGGAAGCAAGACUAGGACUCCACUUGUAAUAGAGUAAUCCUAAUCCUACUAGGACUAGUCAUGUAACCCGCCCUUCAACUUAUGUAAGGAGGGUGUCAUGGAUUUGUCACGUUAGAUGUCCUAGUGUGAGGACUUAGUCGUGAGGCCAACGCAUCUAUAUGGUAGCUUGAGAGGGGUUGAUUGGAAUCGAGAGACGCAACACAAGACAAGGGUUUAUACAACUUCGGGCCCCGGGAAACAUCAUCCGGUAACAACCCUACAUGUUGUUUGUGGCUAUGUCUCAUUAUCUUCACGAGGGAGUCGCCGUAUAUCCGGCUCUCCUAGUUGUGUCUAGCCUUAACAAUUAUUCAACCUCUCCCCUCUUGGGGUGCCCCACCCCUCCUUAUAUAAGUUGAAGGGGCGGGUUACAUGUAGAGUCCAACUCGGAUUAAAACUUAAACUAUUCUGACUUUGCAUCACGGGCUUCUCUCCAUGGGCUUCUUACCGUCUUGGGCUUCUUACGUCUCGGGCUUAUUUACCCCAGGCGACUCUGUCUUUCGGGUUAUAACUGUCUGCCGGCUUACCAUAUGGCUUACAAUCUGACUUAUAAUCUGGCUUGGAAUCUGACUUAACAUCUGCCGGCUUAUAAUCUGACUUAACAUCUGCUGGCUUAUAAUCUGACUUAACAUCUGCGGGCUUAUAAUCUGACUUAACAUCUGCCGGCUUAUAAUCUGCCGGAUCACCAAUGAAACACCAAGUCCCAGCCGGGUCAUAUCUCCGGCUGGGUCACACCGCGGGGUAUAUCCCCGACAUUAGCCCCCAGUUUAAUUUGGAUUUAUCCAUGUUAAACUGAUCCUGUAAAACAAACACAAGAAAAAAUUUGACAGACUAUACUCCAGGUUAAGAACUCUUGUAAUCCGGCACCUGAUCAUCCUUAACUCCUUGGCAUUUCCUUCUUCUAGAAAAUUCGGUUAAUAGGCCAGCUUCAUAAUCAAUUUGCUGACGUUGGCUUCUCACAGAAAUAUUGUGAAAAAUAAUUCAUUUGAUUCAGCUCCCAAUCUUUAACAAGAAUAUUGGUCUUGAAAUACUCAUCUGAUUUUCAGUCGGCUUGAAGAUGUAGAACUUGUCGGUUUAACAUUACCAAAACUUCCGGUUUGUAAAUAUUGAUGGCACCGGGUCAUAAUUAUUGCUAACAUCAAGCUUGAAAAUGUACCUCCUAUAUGCAUAUCACUUGUAGCCCCCAAGUCUUAAGAAGGGAGCGUAGUAAGGGCUUAAGACUUGCUUCAAUAUAAAUGUUGCAACCUUGAAAAAAUCCGUGUUUGUUCAUCUCAGUCACUAGUCAAAACUAAAUAUUCCACAUAUGUAGCCCCCAAGUGCCGGGUUGUCAUGCUUGCAGCAACCUGGGACUUGUAAUUGCCUUAUACUCAUGAAAACUUCAACCAGUGUAGUCCCCAAGGGCCGGGUCAUUAUGCAAUAAUGAGCAGGGUCUUUAUUGAUAUGAUCAUGUAGACUUGAACAGUAGUGUGUAGCCCCCAAGGGCCGGCUCAAGAAGACAAUACUGAGCUGGGACUUUAUAUGUACUUCAUUGAAAAUAACAUCAUAUGAUGUAACCCCACCAUGGGGCUUGAACCCACGUCCACAAGGUUAAGAGUCUUGUCCUCUACCAACUGAGCAAUGAACCCUUCAAUAUAAUGGAUUAAGGCUUGUGUACCUUGAAUUUUUGACAGGAGCAAUUGGUAGCCCCCAAGGGCUGGCUCAUUAUAAUGUGAUGAGUCGGGUCUUCAAUAAAGCAAGUAAAAAAUGACCUUGCAUUAGCCCCCAAGUGCUAUGGUACAUGCUGGCAGUGACAUGGGACUUGCAUAUUGAUGUAAUUUCAACUCCCCAAGUGUCGGGUCGUAAGCCUGCAGCGACUCGGGACUAUUCCUUCCAUUGUAGAAUAAAUCAUAUCCAUCGACAAAAUAAUAUCCAUUGUGCUAAAGCGACUUUGAAAACCUCAAUCAUAAUACUGGUUAUUGAUAACCAUAAUAAAAAUCCAGCCAUGUUGGCUAUUAAAGAUUUGAAUAAUAUAACCCAAUGAUUUAUAAGCGCUUGAUUCCAAUGGCGAAACCAAAUAUAUACUAGCGACUUAACAUCCAAAGCCAGACCUGGUUAAUAAACACCGGAUACUUUCUCAUCAUAUACUGGCGACUUAUAGUCGAAAGCCAGGCCGGGUUAAUAAACACAGGUUAUUGUCAUAUAUGAAUCAUAAAGCAUUAUAAGCCUCAUUGGUUUUCAACCAUGUAUUAACAUGUCACAAAGGAUGAACCUAAAAAAACUUUCAAAUAUAAAUCAAAAGAGAAACAAGGCUUUUCAUAGGCUGCCAGGCCUAAAAAUCAAGUGCUUUCAAGGGCCGCACAACCACUGAGUUAAAUCUUCAUACAAACCUUAUAAGGCGGACCUCACACGACCAAUCAUCAUUUUAUCUUUGACAAGUUCUGGGUCUGUAUAAGAUUGACUUGUCAAAAGUACGGCGGGUCAUUCCAGGAUUACCUGGGCGGAGUGGCAGACUUAAAAAGGCAGGAUAACCUGGGUUUUUAGGUGAAUACACCUGGCUUCCAAGCCUGGCUUUUAAGCCUAUUACAAGGGUCAUAAAAACUCUUGUCCUUUGAACAAAGAGCCCCCAAGUAAUAUUUUUGAGCUGUGCUCGGCGGGUACCUAUGUUUGAGUUGUGCUUUGCAACAGACUCUCUUUGGUCCCUUUAACCUGGGUAGCAAGCCCCCAAGUGUUUUUUUGUAAUCAUGGCGUAUAAGCCGGAUCAAAGGGUAAUCAUAGCUUCGCUCAAUAAGCCGAAAGCCCCCAUGUGACCAUAAUAAGAUAAGCCCAUAAGGCAGGAUACCCAUGUUUGAACCACACAUUAUGGCAGCAAGUUCUCUUUGGCAACCUUUAACUUUCCCUGAGAACUCGAACUUGCGAGAGAUGGAUUCUUUUUGAAUCGGAAUUUUAAGCCGGAUAUUGAGAGCUUCAAAGCUUUGUGAGAGACAGAUUUCUCUUGAACCGGAUUUUAAACCGGAAUCCUUGAUUUUAAACCAGAAAUUUUCGGAUGGCCCUUUAAGUUUCAUCAAUAUAGCAGUAGCCUUCGGGACCGGGUUAUCUUUCCCUCCAACGUCCUGGGAUUCUUGAAUUUGGUGAAACUAGCAAGAUUUGCUGAGUCAUAUCAUUGUAGCCCCCGAUCUUAAGACGAUUCAAGGAGUUGGCUUAAGAUUCUUCAUAGUUUGACCGUGAUAUAAACUGGCAUAUAGUUGAACAGUGGAAUGCUGGAAUUUGUUGAUGCUGAAAGCAAGGUGGCGAGUUGAUGAUUUUUGCAACACUCAGUGUUUAUCCCGGCAUGAGUCAUUCAGCAAACUCCGUGACAUGACGGUCAUCUUUUGCAGUGAACAAUUGUCCUGCAUCAGAAAAUAUCACAAGCCCAAGUACUUGUUUUUUAAAGAGUAAAAAACAUAUCAAUAAAAAUUGACUGGACAAGAUUCAUCUGAUUUGUCCCGGUGAUAGAUAAUCCUCAGAAUGUGCCGAUCGAGGUGGCUCAAGGCGGACCCUCCGGGUCAUCAUUUUUUUAAACUGGCCAAUUGGCACUUUUUCUGAAUAAUGAUUGAUCAGGAGUAUCAUGCGGGGUCAACCCCCCUUUCUUUCUUUUACUUUCUUUUCUCUUCUGGCCUUCAACAUAUCUGAAAAUCCAUGAACUCAAAUCAUCGGCAGGAACCCAUAGCAAGUACGUUUUCUGUAUCCGCCGAAACUGAAGCUGGCAUUUCUUCAGUGGUCAAUUGAGUUGAAGCAGAGUAUUUGCAAACGUAAAUAUUAGGAUUCCCCACAUCGACAAACAACAUCCGGCUCAUGGGGCGCAGGUCGCGCGAGAGGACCCGGGUCAGGGCAUCAUGGAGCCGAGCUGUCGUUGUAACUUUUUCCAAAGGUCCACUGAAGUUUGACUUGCAUCGUAAAUUCCUUUUUGGUCUUGGUAUGUUGCAACUCCGAAAUUCAGGUUCCAUGGACGAAAUCCUUUGCACUCCCCCGGCUAUGCUAAAGUAGAUUUUGAUGUUAAUAAUAACUCCAUCGCCGGUUCGAGCUGCAAUGACAGUGAAACUGGCAGGACCCUGCGACGUACGGCACCGCUGCAGGUGCGAGCUCCAUUGUUACGAGAGCCUUGACCAUUUACUAAACCAAGUAGUAGCACAUGCUACUCCCAGCUACCAUACCAAGUACUACUAAUCGCAUCCAAGAUGUGCGUACACGCACCACCUCCCUUUUUUCUUUUUUUCUUUUUUGCUCUGGUAAACAGCUGCAACGGGAGCGCUCAAAGAUGGUUUAUGCGGACAAUUUAAACGCGGGCACGGCGGCUCAGCAGAGGCAAGCGGGGAUGGAGUCUGGUGCAGCAGGCAGCGAUGCGCCGGGCUUCGCGAGGCAGCGGAGGCGGGCGCCUCGAAAAUCUGGCUCAAGGUGGGAGCAGUCACAGGUUACUGCUACGGUGAGGGUAGCGGACGCGGCUCGGUCUCCGCGGGGUCGAUGCCAACAAGGAAAAAAUCCACAGCAGAAGGAUCCGCGCGGCUCAACAGAGCCAGAACCACAGUCGGCAGGGGUGGCGGCUCGGACGGCCAUGGGGUCGGCGGUUCGUCGACGGCGACCCAACCAUGGCAGAGACGGCGGAGACCCGGAGUGGUGAGCUUGCAGGCGAAAACGGCGGGGCCGGUGCAGGGCGGCCAGUCUGCAGAGCACGCGAGAGCCGGUGCUAAGCGGGCGUCAUGGCAAUGGGGGCAGCGACGGCGGCUCACCGAUGGCCAGCGGGGGUGGCCCGGGGUCAUGGAGGCAUCACGGUGUCUCAUCGCGUGGCGGCUCAUGGCAGAGCAACAGCAUGAAGCCGAACGAAAGCAGCCACGGAGGAGCGACGACGCGACGGUCGCGGUGGCAAAGGAGUCCGGGGCGGCUCGACGGCGGCAGCAGAGACCGGCCGCAGAGACAGUGGCGGAGUGCCGGUGAGGGGAGGUUGAUCCCAGGCAGGCUGAGGCGGAUGGAGACUCGAGGCCGUGCCCGAGGCCGCGGGCUGUCGGCGGCGGCGGCUCAACGAGUCGUGUCGGGGAUAUACCCCGUGGUAUGACCCGGCCAGAUGUAUAACCCGGCCGGACUUGGCGACUCACUAAUGACCCUCCCAGACUGGAUGACUCACUAAGUGACCCGCCCGAGCCUGGCGACUUAUGGACGACCUGGCAAGCGGAUCAGAGGAGCGACAAGACCCUGGGGGCCAGGAGGCUCAAGGCCCAGAAGGCCGGCUUACAUUAUGGUAGGCCGGCUUAAGAGGAAAGGCAUAAGGAAUAUUCUCCUACAAAGGAAGCAAGACUAGGACUCCACUUGUAAUAGAGUAAUCCUAAUCCUACUAGGACUAGUCAUGUAACCCGCCCCUUCAACAUAUAUAAGGAGGGGCAGGGCUCCCCAAAGAGGGACAAGCAAGAAGCAAUAAUCUCUAAGGCUAGACACAAUUAGAUGAGAGCCGGCUUACCGGCGACUCCCUCAUGAGCAUAAUGAGACCUAGCCACAAAUAGCAUGUAGGGCUAUUACCGGAUGAUGUUUCCCGGGGCCCGAAGCUGUCUAAAUCCUUGUCUUGUGGGUUGAUCCGCCUCGCAUCUCUCGAUUCCGACCAACCCCUUCAAGCUACCGCAUAGAUGCGUUGGCCUCACGACUAAGUCCUCACACUAGGACAUCUGCCGUGACAAUUCUACGACAAGUCGACUGAACGCGUGUCCGUGACAGCGGAUUGGAAGCAGAAGGAGGCCGUGGCGACUCAUGAUACUCGCUUGCCGCAAUGUGACCGGCUCGUGGUGCAGUAACACUGGUGGCCGGCUUAAUGCGUGUUUGGCAACUUGAAGAGGCUCAGAACGGAGACUGAAGCGGCCGACAAUUUAGAAUAGCACCGUGGUAAUUCGAGCGACGUCAGCGAAGCAGGUCCACGGCGGAGGCUGCAACCGCGGCUCGGUGGGUCAACACGAUGCCGCUUGAGCAGUGCUGCAGUAGAGGAACGGAUGGCCGGUCCGGCGACUCAGCGCGGGACGGCAGCGGAGAGGCGGAGGGCUGGCCCAGCGGCUCUGCAGCUCAAAGUCGGUUUGGAGUGAGGUCACUCCGGUGAGGGCGGCGGCAGCAAGGCGGGUCUAACAGCCACGACGGCUGAGGCCAAGGGCGAGCGGAACAGUGACGAGGUCGGCUCGCAGUCGGAGACGUACAGCACAGACGACUCAGAACCAUCUUGGCGGCUCGUGGCUAGGCGACGGAGCCCUCGUGUGUAUCUAGCAAGGCGGAUCGCAGCAGAGAGGCACCGGCGAAGCGGCGGCAUUGGCCGGCUUGACAGGGGAGACGAUGGGCGGAGCCGUGCGGGAAGGCGCGGGAGGCCAGCGUAGAUGGCGGUCGCGACAAAGAGGCGGCUCAGAGGCGGCCGACUUGCGAGCGAGGCCGUAGCCGUCGGGGCAGAGGAGACCGGGUUGUGGUCGUCCCUGUUUCUGGGUCGUGACCAAUCCGCUUCUGCGUCAAUUUUUUCAGAUGGCUUGAUGAUAGCUUAGAGUGGCCCGACAGCAUGGCAGGCCAGUGAGCGAAGGCAACUCAGCGCGGUAUCGUGGCAGUCGAUGGUGGGUCAGCGGUCCAUGGCGGCUCAAAAACGACUUGAAGUAGGAGAUUGUGGAUUGAAGGUGAUCUGCCCUGGACUUGAAAACCAGCCACUCCUUUGGAAUUUUCUGUUUUGUGCAUCGAUAGUGACUCAGAGUUAUAAAUUUUGUCUCUGUUCUUUGAUGUGAUUUGUGCACCGAUCUCUUGCCGGAUUCGGCGGCUUGGAGACCUAGCGGUGUACAGAUAAAAUCAUCUCUUUCCCGAUCUCGGCAACUUAUGGUGGCCCAUAGGUGUAACCUUUAAUUUUCUCUUGAACCUUAAAUCUCCCAAAUCUUAAACUUGAACUGAUGAACUUGAAGUUGACAUAGAUCCUUCUGACUGGCUCUUCUUCACCGGAAAAUUACGAACUUCUCGAUCCCUGAAAAGAAUCCCUCCAAGAACUCAACACCGCCAUGCGCAGGCCCCACGAUGGGCGCCAACUGUCGUGGAUUUUUCACGGCAGAUGUCCUAGUGUAAGGACUUAGUCGUGAGGCCAACGCAUCUAUGUGGUAGCUUGAGAGGGGUUGAUCGGAAUCGAGAGACGCAACACAAGACAACGGUUUAGAUAGCUUUGGGCCCCGGGAAACAUCAUCCGGUAACAACCCUACAUGCUGUUUGUGGCUAGGUCUCAUUAUCAUCACGAGGGAGUCGCCGUAUAUCCGGCUCUCCUAGUUGUGUCUAGCCUUAACAAUUAUUCAACCUCUCCCCUCUUGGGGUGCCCCGCCCCUCCUUAUAUAAGUUGAAGGAGCGGGUCACAUGUAGAGUCCAACUCGGAUUAAAACUUAAACUAUUCUGACUUCACAUCACGGGCUUCUCUCCAUGGGCUUCUUAACAUCUUGGGCUUCUUAACGUCUCGGGCUUAUUAACCCCAGGCGACUCUGUCUGCCAGGUUAUAAUUGUCUGCCGGCUUACCAUCUGGCUUACAAUCUGACUUAUAAUCUGGCUUAUAAUCUGACUUAACAUCUGCCGGCUUAUAAUCUGACUUAACAUCUGCCGGCUUAUAAUCUGACUUAACAUCUGCCGGCUUAUAAUCAGACUUAACAUCUGCCGGCUUAUAAUCUGACUUAACAUCCGCCAGCUUAUAAUCUGACUUAACAUCUGUCGGCUUAUAAUCUGUCGGGUCACCAAUGAAACACCAAGUCCCAGCCGGGUCAUAUCUCCGGUCGGGUCACACCGCGGGGUAUAUCCCCGACAGAGGGGCAUGGCACCCUAAGAAGGCAAGAAAUAAUCUCUAAGGGUGGGAGGCUAGAUAGGUUGAGGGCUAGAUAGGCAAUGCAUGUAUCUAGAGAGAGAGGAUGGGAGGGAGAGAGAGAGAGAGCUCGGCAUGGGGUGCAAUGGCGGGUGUGUGAGGUAAAUACAUUUGGUAACAGAGUGGAAAAAGGGGGUUGUGUAGUUGGGAUAGUUAGAGAUCGAAACAUGGAGAGAAAGAAUGAACGUGUGUCGGAAACAAAUAGCUUCCUAAGGUGGUUAGGAGAGGAAGAUUGACCGAUACAGGAAGUAUGUAGCGUGUGUGCCGAGGGGGGGUGGGGCUAAAAACAACAUUUGAAUGUAGACAGUACGAGAUUUAAUAUAGAUGUUUGAAUUCGGUGUACAUUGUAAGAUUUGAACUGAGGACCAUGCAUAUGGGUAAUUAUUUUGAAUCCGUGCCAUACUAGGUUUGGAAAAGUUGACAUUGACUCGAUUGUUGUGCUAUUUUGUAGGUCAUAUGUUUGAAUCCAUCCAAAGUUUUCUCACUACCAUGGUGUUCAUCAUAUACAUAUGAAUUUGUAAAAAAGUAACAUGGAUACCGUGAAAUGCGAAAUCCACGUUAGAAUUGGAGAUCGCUAUGUGACACACACUCUAAUUCAAAUAACUAAUUAUGUGACACACACUCUAAUCCACGUUGGCAUGGAUACCGUUUCGAUUUUUUUCAAAUAACUCCUCAUUAAUUAAUUUAUAGUAUCUCGUUUUGAACGACUAAUUAUUUGCAAGGAAAACACGGGCAUGGUAAUACAUACAGAUUCGUUUGCAAAUGAAAGAAGAUUCGUUUGCAUUCUCAAAUGUAGGCGCACCAGGCAGACCAGGGUCGUGUCGUGGUGGUCGCGUGUGUCGUACGGACGCUUAGCACCCAGCCACCCACCCCUCCCUCCCUCCCCCCCCGAAAAAAGAACAACGACAAAAUAAGUUCGCGCUUCCACGUUCGGAUUGAAAUAUCUGCCGGCCCCAAUUCCAGCCCUGCAAAAUCUCCCUUCUCCACCGUCCCCUUCCGCGCCUAGAUUGCUCAAAUCCCUAAUUCGCCGCCAACCCAAGCAAAGUUCAAAUCGCCCCUCGUCUCGUCUCUUUCCCCACCUCUGUGCCAGACGACGACGACGAAGACGACGGUCGCGCUUCACCAUCGCGCCGAAGCUACCUCAUCUACGCCCUCGUCCACUGCACCGGGUGGUCCACCGACAACGUCGGCCGCCACAGCCGACGUGCCUCACAGACACCGACUUCCACCGCAUCAGGUGCUUCACCGACGCCGUCUCCCACCUCACCGGGGCUACUUCACCAAGCACAUCGUCGCACCUCCGCCCCCCGAGGCCGUUGGGGCUUCACCAACGGUCUUGUCCACCGCAUCGUAGCGCUCCGCUGCCACUCAAGAUCUGCAUCCGUGUGCGGCCAGCCAACGCCAGCGCAUCACCCUCAACGGCUCUCAAGUGACCCGCACUCUAGCUAGGCCAGCAUGCCCAAACGCCGGCCCGAACUAGGUAUCCACACAUCACUCCCUUGUGCACUAUUCUGAUGAUGUUUGGAUAUCCUGUCACUGCUCUCUUAGCUUACACGCCUAUGCAACUCUGACUUUAACUCUUAUUUCUUCUAGAGAUAUCAUCUGAAACAAGCAAAACCAUUUUUUAGCGAAGCAUGAUGGCGGUACGGGAUCUGGUACACAUCCUGCACACCCGUAUAACCUUGUAAGUAUCUGUCCUCCGGUACAACAGCAAGGUCGAUUCCUCUUAUUUGAUCAACCAUUCACUGUGUCAAAAAUGCAGAGGGGGAUGCAAGGAGCACAAGGCCUGCACAUCAAAGCAAGUGGUAAGAUGGACUUGUACAUGGAACAUCCCAAGCGCAAGCACAGCUGUAGUGAGCCUGUACAACGAGCUAGCGUAAGUCCCUGCAUUUCAUUUAAUUCGUACUGGCCUGCAUGUACGAUUUGUGUGCAAUAGCGGAUCCACGAAUUCAAGUUACCAGGGGCGAACAUUUAACUUAAAAAAUACGAAGGCAUUUGCACUUCGGAAAUCAACAUAACUUGAGAAAUGUGAAGCUACAUGCACUUUGAAAACCAGCUAAUGAUCCAAAGUAGUUCAGAUUAUAAAACACUAAAUGAUGUAAGCGCCAAAACACAAAAUGCAACGUGGUGUACAAGGACUACUAACAUGGUCUGUACCUGCUUCAUUUAUUCGUUCUCUGGCUGAAAAUAUCAAAGUGUAAUUGCACCUAUAACCAGUGCGCAAACUGCAUAUCAAUAUAUCUAUCCUGCACAAGUAUGCCAAUAGUUUCAAACAACAGAUUAGAGAAGUAUUUAUGCUACGUUGUCAUGAUACAGGGACUUUCUAGUAGAUGGCCUCGACGUUUCCUCAAGCCAUGAAAAUGUACUAUAAUUUGCUUGUCAUCAAUGCCUGUAAAUCUCUAUGUCUCUCUCAACAUAGCAGAUCAUCAUUAGACACUAAAUCCUUCAAUGGGAGCUUGCAAAAUGCUUACAUUAGAUCCCUCAUUAGACACUAUAUGUUCAUCACCAGGAGCAUGUAAAUUGUUUGCAUCAAAUCCUUCAUUAGCAGUCUGUUCAUUAGACACUUCAGGCUCAAGAACAACAUGAGCUUGUAUGUUUGCACCGGAAACUUGAUUAGAUACAUCAGAUUCAGUCAGUUCAGUAUUGAUUGGGCGAGUUAUAAAAUAAGCAGAAAUUGGUUUCAUUUUCUCAUAGAUUCCCUACAUACAAGCAGUUUUACAACACCGUCAGGUUGAACUAUUGGCCAGAAAUUGAAUAGUUGAAUUAGAUAUAAUCAGGGAUGUGAUGUACCUGCUCAUUCCGCAUGUUGCUCUUGCAAGCUGCGACUGUCCGUUUGUGCCAGUUCGAUGCCAUGCCCGUGCUGCCGCCGCUGCCUCCCACGCAGGUUACACCCAGGGUUGGAUCUUCAUCUUCUUGUCCUUCCAUUCUCUUGAAGCCCGGCGACCACCCUCCAACGAGGGCGCUAGGAAGUGCUAUGUCGGUCUGUCCAGCGGCGGCUAGGUUAGGAGCGAACCAGACUGGAGGCUGGAGCGAACGAAUUGGGAUUUUUCCUGCUGUCGAUCGAUAUGGGAGGCGCUCGUUUGGGCCGCGAGCCUGCUAUAGGGCCUGCCUUGCACUUACGUUAUUGGCCCAUCCAAAUUGAAACGUUUUUCUUCAUUUUUGACAUUGCCUGCUCCUGCGUUGGGACGAACAAAACUAGCCUGGGCUAACCUGGACGACUCAAACUAGGUGCACACUUUCCAGCCACCCGAUGCGACCGCCCAUACCAGCCUGUACGGUGGCGUCGCCCCUUUUUGCGUGUAUGAUUGGGGUAGUUAAAAAUAUUCCAGUGGCGCUUUUGAUUUACCCACAUAAUGGUUGAAUUGCUUGUUUCUAUAAACUGAGUUCGCCAAUAAUGUGAAGGAUGCCAUUUUCAUCCUAUUGGAGAUUGCGUAGAUCUCGAUAUGACAAAUGUAAUCGCAUGAAAUAUACAGUAAAAGCCAGUGUGAUGUGUGUGGCUACAACUAGUCUGACUACACGUCCUCAUAUAACAUAUCAAGAAUGCACCAUCUUACCAGAUUAACCAUUCAACUUACCAAUGAAGUGUGGGAAGAAAGAAGUAUUGGGACUGUGUAUCCAAGCAAUUGAUGCCAUGGACUCCUUCGUAGAACCUUGUAAGCGAAAAAGAAGUUGCAGUGUGCCUGUACAAAGAGCUAGUGUAAGUCCAGUUACCUGCAUCUUGGAAUUUUAGUUAGCCACUUAUUGCAAAAUUGUUCAAUUGCGUUGCUUGGCUUAAUUUAGUUUGCUACUGAUUACAUAAUGCCAUAGCCUGCUAAUCCUAUUAUAGACUGCGCCUAUCUAUGUGUUUGAUACUUACUGUUAAGAAUUACCUGUUUGCCUGAACUUAAAUAGCUACUUAAGCACGUAGAUAGCUGGUCAUAUGUACUUCUAGGGUGCAGCAGAAUUCACAUGUAAUUUACGUUCUGAUACCCUGUUUGUUUAAAUGGUUUGCUGUUAUCACUUGUAGCACUAGUAAUGUUUGCAUGUUCAUAGAUACACAACUGUCAGGUUGAUAUGAGGGACACCGUCUUUUUAACUUAUAUAUGUGUUGGAAUCAUUUUGCUUGCAUCAAAGAAAUUUACAGAUGUCUGUGUUGCUGGUAAACGGUACCGACUUGUUACUUUAAUACGUUGCCAAGAACCUGUUAGUUUUACUAGUUCAUGUGUAAUUAAAUACGUUGCCAAAACUGGUUAGUUUUACUAGUUUGAUGUUAGUUUCUUAUGGCUCUUGCAAAACUUUAUUUAUUGAUUGCUAACAUUCAAGUUUGCAGGAUCCAACUGAAACUCCGUUGGCACAACAGGUAUGUUUUUAGAAACUUCCUUGUUUACCUGGUUUGCUGCUGUAACUUGUUGUUGUAAUCAUCUUACCAACUUCAAGUUUUCAGGAUCCAAUUGGAAGUCCAAUUGCACAGCAGGUACAUUUUCAAAAAUAUAUUUGUGUAACAGGUUUGCUGCUGUAACUUGUUGCUCUAAUCAAGUUACCAACUACUCAACUUUUCAGGAUCCAAGAGAAACUCCAAUGCCACAACAGGUUCCUUUUGCAAAACUUGUUUGUUUAACUGCUUUGCUGCUGCAACCGGUUGCUCUAAUCACGUUACUGGCUACUCAACUUUUCAGGAUCCAAGAGAAACUCCAAUGGCACAACAGGUACCUUUUGCAAAACUUGUUUGUUUAACUGCUUUGCUACUGCAACAACCGGUUACAAUGGUGUUAAUAACUACUUUUUAGCAUCCAAUUGAAACUCUUUAAUUCCUUGUUUGUUUAAUUGGUUUGCUGUUAUAACUCCCAGUUGAGAUGUUUUGCUAACUUCAACUUUUUGAAAUCCAAUCGGAACUUUAAUGGCAAAACAAGUUAGCCCAAGAUCAAAGAGCGAGGUCCCCAUGGACGUUGUAUCAUCCCAUGGCAGUGGCACUGGCCCAAUCGUGCAUCAUGAAUUGCCAACUGCUGAUGCUCUAGAGGCUAAACUAGUGGUAGAAAGAGAUUUUGCUUCUGCACUUAGAGAUGAAGUUGACACGUUGAGGAAGCAAACAGCACAAUCACAAGCAGUACUCAAGACAACCAUUAAAUAUUUGGUGGAUUUCAAAACGAAGCAAGUUGAGGCUGACCGCAUUGUUAAGGUCCUGAAGGAAAAAAGGAAAUUAAAUUCCCACUUUGUAAAUCAUAGGUGAAAUGUUCUUUCCAUCGUUGAAUAACCUUUGUGUUGUUUGUUCAUGUAAUCGAUCAAACCAUUUGUUUUAGAGAUCAUGUAAUAAUUGUUUUUUGUUUUUUGGUUUGUAAUUUUAUUUGAGCACAAGUCUGUAUUAAUUGAUAAGACUCGGAGACAUUUCAUUUUGAUUGUUGUGCCAGACCUACAAAUAUGCCAUUCGGGCUGAAUGUGCAUUCAGCAAUAAUAGUAGUAUAGAUGGACCAUAAGUGGCACGCAUCGGAAAGGGCCAAGAUGUUGUACUAGCUUUGCUAAAAAAAGGAUGCUCUUCUAGCAAAAAAAAGUACAGCGGCCUGGCUUAUGUAUGUUAGUUGAUAUCAUUGAUCCAUAUACUCUAUAAGUGUUUAUAUGUCUGUUAGUUUUGUACAUUCUUGGUUGAUUGACUCAGUAUUUGAAUCUUGAUACAUCGCUUGUGUACAUAUAUAAAUGGGAGUACACAUUAUGUUGCGUGUGACAUUUGAGUUGGACAUAAAGUGUUCUAAAUAUUCGAAUUCACCUUAAACUUGAUUCUAGCUUCUGAAUUCGAGUAUCGGCAUUUGUAAAUCAUAUUCAUAUAUGACAGUGGAAUACAUCUUUGUCGUGCUUUUGAAGAUAUAUAAAAACACAUAGAAUGAUUUAUAAAAUUCGUAUAGGAAUACAAAAUGGAUUUGAAUUUAUUUGCCAAGGUAAACGUGGAUGCUUAUUGUCCCAAAAUUCGAAAUAAGCGGCAAAAUGUCCACUCCCAUGUCGGUUGCCCGAAGCCAAGUGUUUGGGAGAUGGAAAUUACUGUCUACCCCUUACACGGACAAUCCAUCGACCCGAUAUCCACUGCUCUCAAUAGGGGUAGGUUAGUAACUUCAAUUAGACGCGACACGACCGCCUCUGAGCCCAUUCCGACAUGGUGGGCGCCAAACAUGGGCGACAAAACACAUUUAAUUCAAGCUCGUCCGAAAGACCUCUGUUUCUCCCUCCAUUUCCCCAUUCAUACACGGUGGGCGGCAAAAGAAACUCGACUCGGCCGAAAUCGAUGUAGGAAAAUAUUUUCAAUAGGGGCAGGUUUGUAACUUCACUCAGACAUGACACAACCGCCCUACCUGUCAGCCCUGUUCAUACACCGUGGGCGCCAACCAUGGGUGCCAAAACACCCUCUCCUCGCCCAAAAUCGCUCUGGGCAAAUAUUGGCGAGAUGCGAGAUCACGUCCUAUCCCCAACCGACGAGACGUCCAAAUUUUAAACAGGGUCUAAGUUCGUAACUUUCCCAAAUUUUAGACAGGCGCGUCCCAAAAACAUGGUUCCCCGUACCUCUCCCUCCAUUUUCCCAUUCAUACACCGUCCGCGCUAGAACACCAUCCCCACACCAGCCUCCUCCGUCCGCCACCCCAUCCAUCGUCGCCGUCCUCCGCCCCAUCCAUCGCCACCGUCCUCCACCAUGCCGGAGCGCCUACCAAGACCGCGCCAUCCACUGCUAGAGAUGGACGUUUCUCAUCCAUGGCGACGGACCAAGAGCCUUGCAUUGCGUCCUCUCGCUUCAUCGGCGCCGUCGUCCUCUUUGCCAGGGCCGCUCACAUGACCUUCUCUUCCACCGCAACGAGACUUAUCCCCCGAUGCACCCGUCUACCAUCGCAGCUCUGCUUCAACGCCACCGACAGCCAUCGCACCCCCGAUGCCUACACGACGCCGCAAGAGAGGUGUUACUUCAUAUCUCCUCAACUUUUUGAUCUCAACCAGAAAAUAGAUCGUAACUUGGUUACUGUACUUUCUUUUCAACUCUUAGAAUUUAGUUCUUAGUUCGAAGCAAACAAUGGAUGCUAAAUAGCAUUUCUCUGGUUUGCAGCUUUAAAUCUGCCAUGAUGCAGUCAUAAUAGGGUUUAAUUGAUCAUGCUUAGGGUUUAAUUGAUCAUGUUGGUGACGUGGUGGUUUCUUUAAUAGAAAUCGGAGGGGAAACCCUCUUUUGCUAAAAAAAUGCUUAGGGCUUCCCCCUUUUAUGAUCACUAUACGAUUAGCAUACGUGCUUCGUGUCAUAAUAGCACUGCUCCACCCAUCAAGCUAAACAAGCUUAGUUGUUCAAAUACGAAUCUGAUAUUAUUAAAACAGAGUCGUUUAAUUGGUCAGCUAAAUGUUCCUAAUUUACUUUCAAAAUGCAUGUUCGCCGCUCAGGUGUGUAUCUCUACAGGGUGCCCACGGUGGGCCGCGGCCCACCCUGGGAUUUUGGGUCGGCCCAGGCCCUGAUUCCCCUCUGUUCUGCUGAGCGCUUCUGAUCUCUACUCGCCCCUAGCUGCCUGCCUCACCGGCGACUUGCCAUCCCCGGACGGCAUUACUCUAGGAGGAGACGCCGGACUAACAGGAGGUCAGUGUUGGAAAUACGCCCUAGAGGCAAUAAUAAACUGGUUAUUAUUAUAUUUCCUUGUGUUGGGAAUCGUAGCAGAAUUUUAAAAUUUUCUACGCAUCACCAAGAUCCAUCUAUGGAUUAUACUAGCAACGAGGGGAAAGGAGUGCAUCUACAUACCCUUGUAGAUCGCGAGCGGAAGCGUUCUAAUGAACGGGGUUGAUGGAGUCGUACUCGCCGUGAUCCAAAUCACCGAUGACCGAGUGCCGAACGGAUGGCACCUCCGCGUUCAACACACAUAUGGAGCAGCGACGUCUCCUCCUUCUUGAUCCAGCAAGGGGGAAGGAGAGGUUGAUGGAGAUCCAGCAGCACGACGGCGUGGUGGUGGAAGUAGCGGGGUCUCGGCAGGGCUUCGCCAAGCUUCUACGAGAGGGAGAGGUGUUGCAGGGGGAGAGGGAGGCGCCAGGGGCUGUGGUGCUGCUGCCCUCCCUCCCCCCACUAUUUAUAGGACCCCUGGGGGGGCACCGGCCCUGGGAGAUCAGAUCUCCAAGGGGGGCGGCAGCCAAGGGGGAAGGGGGGGUGGCUUCCCCCCCCAAGCCAAGUGGGGCGCCCCCACCCCCAGGGUUUCCAACCCUAGGCGCAGGGGGAGGCCCAAGGGGGGCGCCCCAGUCCACUAAGGGCUGGUUCCCUUCCCACUUCAGCCCAUGGGGCCCUCCGGGGUAGGUGGCCCCACCCGGUGGACCCCCAGGACCCUUCCGGUGGUCCAGGUACAAUACCGAUAACCCCCGAAACUUUCCCGGUGGCCGAAACUGGACUUCCUAUAUAUAAUUCUUCACCUCCGGACCAUUCCGGAACUCCUCGUGACAUCCGGGAUCUCAUCCGGGACACCGAAAAACUUUCGGGUUUCCGCAUACUAAUAUCUCUACAACCCUAGCGCCACCGAACCUUAAGUGUGUAGACCCUACGGGUUCGGGAGACAUGCAGACAUUACCGAGACGCCUCUCCGGUCAAUAACCAACAGCGGGAUCUGGAUACCCAUGUUGGCUCCCACAUGUUCCACGAUGAUCUCAUCGGAUGAACCACGAUGUCGAGGAUUCAAUCAAUCCCGUAUACAAUUCCCUUUGUCAAUCGGUAUGUUACUCGCCCGAGAUUCGAUCGUCGGUAUCCCAAUACCUUGUUCAAUCUCGUUACCGGCAAGUCACUUUACUCGUACCGUAAUGCAUGAUCCCCUGGCUAACAUUGAGCUCAUUAUGAUGAUGCAUUACUGAGUGGGCCCAGAGAUACCUCUCCGUCAUACGGAGUGACAAAUCCCAGUCUCGAUCCGUGCCAACCCAACAGACACUUUCGGAGAUACCCGUAGUGCACCUUUAUAGUCACCCAGUUACGUUGUGACGUUUGGCACACCCAAAGCACUCCUAUGGCAUCCGGGAGUUGCACGAUCUCAUGGUCUAAGGAAAUGAUACUUGACAUGGAAAAGCUCUAGCAAACGAACUACACGAUCUUUUGUGCUAUGCUUAGGAUUGGGUCUUGUCCAUCACAUCAUUCUCCUAAUGAUGUGAUCCCGUUAUCAAUGACAUCCAAUGUCCAUAGUAAGGAAACCAUGACUAUCUGUUGAUCAACGAGCUAGUCAACUAGAGGCUUACUAGGGACACGUUGUGGUCUAUGUAUUCACACAUGUAUUACGAUUUCCGGAUAACACAAUUAUAGCAUGAACAAUAGACAAUUAUCAUGAACAAGGAAAUAUAAUAAUAACCAUUUAUUAUUGCCUCUAGGGAAUAUUUCCAACAGUCUCCCACUUGCACUUGAGUCAAUAAUCUAGUUACAUUGUGAUAAAUCGAACACCCAUAGAGUUCUGGUGUUGAUCAUGUUUUGCUCUAGGGAGAGGUUUAGUCAACGGAUCUGCUACAUUCAGGUCCGUAUGUACUUUACAAAUAUCUAUGUCUCCAUUUUGAACACUUUCACGAAUGGAGUUGAAGCGACGCUUGAUAUGCCUGGUCUUCCUGUGAAACCUGGGCUCCUUGGCAAGAGCAAUAGCUCCAGUGUUGUCACAGAAGAGAGUCAUCGGGCCCGACGCAUUGGGAAUCACCCCUAGGUCGGUGAUGAACUCGUUUAUCCAGACUGCUUCCUGUGCUGCCUCUGAGGCCGCCAUGUACUCCGCUUCACAUGUAGAUCCCGCCACGACGCUUUGCUUGCAACUGCACCAGCUUACUGCCCCUCCAUUCAAAAUAUACAUGUAUCCGGUUUGUGACUUCGAGUCAUCCAGAUCUGUGUCGAAGCUAGCGUCGACGUAACCCUUUACGACGAGCUCUUCGUCACCUCCAUAAACGAGAAACAUAUCCUUAGUCCUUUUCAGGUACUUCAGGAUAUUCUUGACCACUGUCCAGUGUUCCAUGCCGGGAUUACUUUGGUACCUUCCUACCAAACUUACGGCAAGGUUUACAUCAGGUCUGGUACACAGCAUGGCAUACAUAAUAGACCCUAUGGCCGAGGCAUAGGGGAUGACACUCAUCUUUUCUCUAUCUUCUGCCGUGGUCGGGCAUUGAGCCGUGCUCAAUUGCACACCUUGCAAUACAGGCAAGAACCCCUUCUUGGACUGAUCCAUAUUGAACUUCUUCAAUAUCUUGUCAAGGUACGUACUCUGUGAAAGACCAAUGAGGCGUCUUGAUCUAUCUCUAUAGAUCUUGAUGCCUCAUAUAUAAGCAGCUUCUCCAAGGUCCUUCAUUGAAAAACACUUAUUCAAAUAGGCCUUUAUACUUUGCAAGAAUUCUAUAUCAUUUCCCAUCAAUAGUAUGUCAUCCACAUAUAAUAUGAGAAAUGCUACAGAGCUCCCACUCACUUUCUUGUAAACACAGGCUUCUCCAUAAGUCUGUGUAAACCCAAACGCUUUGAUCAUCUCAUCAAAACGAAUGUUCCAACUCCGAGAUGCUUGCACCAGCCCAUAGAUGGAGCGCUGGAGCUUGCAUACCUUGUUAGCAUUCUUAGGAUCGACAAAACCUUCCGGCUGCAUCAUAUACAAUUCUUCCUUAAGAAAGCCGUUAAGGAAUGCCGUUUUGACGUCCAUUUUCCAUAUCUCAUAAUCAUAGAAUGCGGCAAUUGCUAACAUGAUUCGGACGGACUUCAGCUUCGCUACGGGUGAGAAAGUCUCAUCGUAGUCAACCCCUUGAACUUGUCGAUAACCCUUAGCGACAAGUCGAGCCUUAUAGAUGGUCACAUUACCAUCCGCGUAUGUCUUCUUCUUAAAGAUCCAUUUAUUUUCUAUGGCUCGCCGAUCAUCGGGCAAGUCAGUCAAAGUCCAUACUUCGUUUUCAUACAUGGAUCCUAUCUCGGAUUUCAUGGCUUCUAGCCAUUUGUCAGAAUCCGAGCCCGCCAUCGCUUCUUCAUAGUUCGAAGGUUCACCGUUGUCUAACAACAUGAUUUGCAGGACAGGGUUGCCGUACCACUCUGGUGCGGAACGUGUCCUUGUGGACCUACGAAGUUCAGUAGUAACUUGAUCCGAAGCUUCAUGAUCAUCAUCAUUAACUUCCUCCCUAGUCGGUGCAGGCACCACAGGAACAUCUUCCCGCGCUGCGCUACUUUCCGGUUCGGAAGGGGUGACUAUCACCUCAUCAAGUUCCACUUUCCUCCCACUCAAUUCUUUCGAGAGAAACUCUUUCUCCAGAAAGGAUCCGUUCUUGGCAACAAAGAUCUUGCCUUCGGAUCUGAGGUAGAAGGUAUACCCAAUGGUUUCCUUAGGGUAUCCUAUGAAUACGCAUUUUUCCGACUUGGGUUCGAGCUUUUCAGGUCGAAGUUUCUUGACAUAAGCAUCGCAUCCCCAAACUUUUGGAAACGACAGCUUAGGUUUCUUCCCAAACCAUAAUUCAUACAGUGUCGUCUCAACGGAUUUCGACGGAGCCCUAUUUAAAGUGAAUGCGGCAGUCUCUAAAGCAUAGCCCCAAAAUGAGAGUGGUAGAUCGGUAAGAGACAUCAUAGAUUGCACCAUAUCCAAUAGAGUGCGAUUACGACGUUCGGAUACACCAUUUCGCCGAGGUGUUCCAGGCGGCGUGAGUUGUGAAAUGAUUCCACAUUUCCUUAAGUGUGUGCCAAAUUCGUGACUCAAAUAUUCCCCUCCACGAUCUGAUCGUAGGAACUUUAUUUUCCUGUCACGUUGAUUCUCCACCUCACUCUGAAAUUCCUUGAACUUUUCAAAGGUUUCAGACUUGUGUUUCAUUAGGUAGACAUGCCCAUAUCUACUCAAGUCAUCAGUGAGAGUGAGAACAUAACGAUAUCGUCCGCGAGCCUCAACACUCAUUGGACCGCACACAUCGGUAUGUAUGAUUUCCAAUAAGUUGGUUGCUCGCUCCAUUGUUUCGGAGAACGGAGUCUUGGUCAUCUUACCCAUGAGGCAUGGUUCGCACGUGUCAAAUGAUUCGUAAUCAAGAGACUCCAAAAGUCCAUCUGCAUGGAGCUUCUUCAUGCGUUUGACACCAAUGUGACCAAGGCGGCAGUGCCACAAGUAUGUGGGACUAUCGUUAUCAACUUUACAACUUUUGGUAUUCACACUAUGAAUAUGUGUAACAUCACGUUCGAGAUUCAUCAAGAAUAAACCAUUGACCAGCGGAGCAUGACCAUAAAACAUAUCUCUCAUAUAAAUAGAACAACCAUUAUUCUCGGAUUUAAAUGAGUAGCCAUAUCGAAUUAAAUGAGAUCCAGAUACAAUGUUCAUGCUCAAAGCUGGCACUAAAUAACAAUUAUUGAGGUUUAAAACUAAUCCCGUAGGUAAAUGCAGAGGUAGCGUGCCGACAGCGAUCACAUCGACCUUGGAACCAUUCCCGACGCGCAUCGUCACCUCGUCCUUCGCCAGUCUUCGCUUAUUCCGCAGCUCCUGUUUUGAGUUACAAAUAUGAGCAACCGCACCGGUAUCAAAUACCCAGGAGCUACUACGAGUACUGGUAAGGUACACAUCAAUUACAUGUAUAUCACAUAUACCUUUGGUUUUGCCGGCCUUCUUGUCCGCUAAGUAUUUGGGGCAGUUCCGCUUCCAGUGACCACUUCCCUUGCAAUAAAAGCACUCAGUCUCAGGCUUGGGUCCAUUCCUUGGCUUCUUCCUGGCAACUGGCUUACCGGGCGCGGCAACUCCCUUGCCGUCCUUCUUGAAGUUCUUCUUACCCUUGCCUUUCUUGAACUUAGUGGUUUUAUUCACCAUCAACACUUGAUGUUCUUUUCUGAUCUCUACCUCCGCUGAUUUCAGCAUUGAAUAUACCUCGGGAAUGGUCUUUUCCAUCCCCUGCAUAUUGAAGUUCAUCACAAAGCUCUUGUAGCUUGGUGGAAGCGACUGAAGGAUUCUGUCAAUGACCGCAUCAUCCGGGAGAUUAACUCCCAGCUGAGACAAGCGGUUGUGUAACCUAGACAUUCUGAGUAUGUGCUCACUAACAGAACUAUUUUCCUCCAUUUUACAGCUGAAGAACUUGUCGGAGACUUCAUAUCUCUCGACCCGGGCAUGAGCUUGGAAAACCAUUUUCAGCUCUUCGAACAUUUCGUAUGCUCCAUGUUUCUCAAAACGCUUUUGGAGCCCCGGUUCUAAGAUGUAAAGCAUGCCGCACUGAACGAGGGAGUAAUCAUCAGCACGUGAUUGCCAAGCGUUCAUAACAUCUUGGUUCUCUGGGACGGGUGCAUCACCUAGCGGUGCUUCUAGGACAUAAUCUUUCUUGGCAGCUAUGAGGGUAAUCCUCAGGUUCCGGACCCAGUCCGUAUAGUUGCUGCCAUCAUCUUUCAGCUUGGUUUUCUCUAGGAACGCGUUGAAGUUGAGGGCAACGUGGGCCAUUUGAUCUACAAGACAUAUUGUAAAGAUUUUAGACUAAGUUCAUGAUAAUUAAGUUCAUCUAAUCAAAUUAUACAAUGAACUCCCACUCAGAUAGACAUCCCUCUAGUCAUCUAAGUGAAACAUGAUCCGAGUUAACUAGGCCGUGUCCGAUCAUCACGUGAGACGGACUAGUCAAGAUCGGUGAACAUCUCCAUGUUGAUCGUAUCUACUAUACGACUCAUGCUCGACCUUUCGGUCCUCCGUGUUCCGAGGCCAUGUCUGUACAUGCUAGGAUCGUCAAGUCAACCUAAGUGUAUUGCGUGUGUUCCGAGGCCAUGUCUGUACAUGCUAGGCUCGUCAACACCCGUUCUAUGCGAACGUUAGAAUCUAUCACACCCGAUCAUCACGUGGUGCUUCGAAACAACGAACCUUCGCAGCGGUGCACAGUUAGGGGGAACACUUUCUUGAAAUUAUUAUAAGGGAUCAUCUUACUUACUACCAUCGUUCUAAGCAAAUAAGAUGCAAAACAUGAUAAACAUCACAUGCAAUCAAAUAGUGACAUGAUAUGGCCAAUAUCAUUUUGCUCCUUUGAUCUCCAUCUUCGGGGCACCAUGAUCAUCUUCGUCACCGGCAUGACACCAUGAUCUCCAUCAUUGUGUCUUCAUGAAGUUGUCACGCCAACGAUUACUUCUACUUCUAUGGCUAACGCGUUUAGCAAUAAAGUCAAGUAAUUUACAUAGCGUUCUUCAAUGACACGCAGGUCAUACAAAAAAUAAAGACAACUCCUAUGGCUCCUGCCGGUUGUCAUACUCAUCGACAUGCAAGUCGUGAUUCCUAUUACAAGAAUAUGAUCAAUCUCAUACAUCACAUAUAUCAUUCAUCACAUCUUCUGGCCAUAUCACAUCACAAGGCACAUGCUGCAAAAACAAGUUAGACGUCCUCUAAUUGUUGUUGCAAGUUUUACGUGGCUUGUAUAGGUUUCUAGCAAGAACGUUUCUUACCUACGUAAAACCACAACGUGAUAUGCCAAUUUAUAUUUACCCUUCAUAAGGACCCUUUUCAUCGAAUCCGUUCCGACUAAAGUGGGAGAGACAGACACCCGCUAGCCACCUUAUGCAACUAGUGCAUGUCAGUCGGUGGAACCUGUCUCACGUAAGCGUACGUGUAAGGUCGGUCCGGGCUGCUUCAUCCCACAAUGCCGCCGAAACAAGAUAAGACUAGUAGCGGCAAGAAGAAUUGGCAACAUCUACGCCCACAACUGCUUUGUGUUCUACUCGUGCAUAGUAACUACGCAUAAACCUGGCUCUGAUACCACUGUUGGGAAUCGUAGCAGAAUUUUAAAAUUUUCUACGCAUCACCAAGAUCCAUAUAUAGAGUAUACUAGCAACGAGGGGAAAGGAGUGCAUCUACAUACCCUUGUAGAUCGUGAGCGGAAGCGUUCUAAUGAAUAGGGUUGAUGGAGUCGUACUCGCCGUGAUCCAAAUCACCGAUGACCGAGUGCCGAACGGACGGCACCUCCGCGUUCAACACACGUACGGAGCAGCGACGUCUCCUCCUUCUUGAUCCAGCAAGGGGGAAGGAGAGGUUGAUGGAGAUCCAGCAGCACGACGGCGUGGUGGUGGAAGUAGCGGGGUCUCGGCAGGGCUUCGCCAAGCUUCUGCGAGAGGGAGAGGUGUUGCAGGGGGAGAGGGAGGCGCCAGGGGCUGUGGUGCUGCUGCCCUCCCUCCCCCCACUAUUUAUAGGACCCCUGGGGGGCGCCGGCCCUGGGAGAUCAGAUCUCCAAGGGGGGCGGCGGCCAAGGGGGAAGGGGGGGGGUGGCUUCCCCCCAAGCCAAGGGGGGCGCCCCCAACCCCAGGGUUUCCAACCCUAGGCGCAGGGGAAGGCCCAAGGGGGGCGCCCCAGCCCACUAAAGGCUGGUUCCCUUCCCACUUCAUCCCAUGGGGCCCUCCGGGGUAGGUGGCCCCACCCGGUGGACCCCCGGGACCCUUCCGGUGGUCCCGGUACAAUACCGAUAACCCCCAAAACUUUCCCGGUGGCCGAAACUGGACUUCCUAUAUAUAAUUCUUCACCUCCGGACCAUUUCAGAACUCCUCGUGACAUCCGGGAUCUCAUCCAGGACUCCGAACAACUUUCGGGUUUCCGCAUACUAAUAUCUCUACAACCCUAGCGCCACUGAACCUUAAGUGUGUAGACCCUACGGGUUCGGGAGACAUGCAGACAUGACCGAGACGCCUCUCCGGUCAAUAACCAACAACGGGAUCUGGAUACCCAUGUUGGCUCCCACAUGUUCCACGAUGAUCUCAUCGGAUGAACCACGAUGUCGAGGAUUCAAUCAAUCCCGUAUACAAUUCCCUUUGUCAAUCGGUAUGUUACUCGCCCGAGAUUCGAUCGUCGGUAUCCCAAUACCUUGUUCAAUCGCGUUACCGGCAAGUCACUUUACUCGUAUCAUAAUGCAUGAUCCCGUGGCUAACUCCUUAAUCACAUUGAGCUCAUUAUGAUGAUGCAUUACUGAGUGGGCCCAGAGAUACCUCUCCGUCAUACGGAGUGACAAAUCCCAGGCUCGAUCCGUGCCAACCCAACAGACACUUUCGGAGAUACCCGUAGUGCACCUUUAUAGUCACCCAGUUACGUUGUGAUGUUUGGCACACCCAAAGCACUCCUACGGCAUCCGGGAGUUGCACGAUCUCAUGGUCUAAGGAAAUGAUACUUGACAUGGAAAAGCUCUAGCAAACGAACUACACGAGCUUUUGUGCUAUGCUUAGGAUUGGGUCUUGUCCAUCACAUCAUUCUCCUAAUGAUGUGAUCCCGUUAUCAAUGACAUCCAAUGUCCAUAGUCAGGAAACCAUGACUAUCUAUUGAUCAACGAGCUAGUCAACUAGAGGCUUACUAGGGACACGUUGUGGUCUAUGUAUUCACACAUGUAUUAAGAUUUCCGGAUAACACAAUUAUAGCAUGAACAAUAGACAAUUAUCAUGCCCUAGAGGCAAUAAUAAAUGGUUAUUAUUAUAUUUCCUUGUUCAUGAUAAUUGUCUAUUGUUCAUGCUAUAAUUGUGUUAUCCGGAAAUCGUAAUACAUGUGUGAAUACAUAGACCACAACAUGUCCCUAGUGAGCCUCUAGUUGACUAGCUCGUUGAUCAAUAGAUGGUUACGGUUUCCUGACCAUGGACAUUGGAUGCCGUUGAUAAAGGGAUCACAUCAUUAGGAGAAUGAUGUGAUGGACAAGACCCAAUCCAAAGCAUAGCACAAGAUCGUAUAGUUCGUCUACUAAAGCUUUUCUAAUGUCAAGUAUCAUUUCCUUAGACCAUGAUAUUGUGCAACUCCCUGAUACCGUAGGAAUGCUUUGGGUGUGCCAAACGUGACAACGUAACUAGGUGUCUAUAAAGGUGCACUACGGGUAUCUCCAAAAGUGUCUGUUUGGUUGGCACGAAUCGAGACUGGGAUUUGUCACUCCGUAUGACGGAGAGGUAUCUCUGGGCUCACUCGGUAGGACAUCAUCAUAAUGAGCUCAAUGUGAUCAAGGAGUUGAUCACGACAUGAUGUGUUACGGACGAGUAAAGAGACUUGCCGGUAACGAGAUCGAACAAGGUAUAGGAAUACCGUCGAUUGAAUCUCGGGUAAGUGUCAUACCGGUAGACAAAGGGAAUUGUGUACGGGAUUGAUUGAAUCCCCGACAUCGUGGUUCAUCCAAUGAGAUCAUCGUGGAACAUGUGUGAGCCAACAUGGGUAUCCAGAUCCCGCUGUUGGUUAUUGGCCGGAGAGAUGUCUCGGUCAUGUCUACAUGCCUCCCGAACCCGUAGGGUCUACACACUUAAGGUUCGAUGACGCUAGGGUUAUAGGGAAAGUUUGUACGUGGUUACCGAAUGUUGUUCGGAAUCCCGGAUGAGAUCCCGGACGUCACGAGGAGUUCCGGAAUGGUCCAGAGGUGAAGAUUUAUAUAUGGGAAGUCAUCAUACGGUCACCGGAAGUAUUCGGGGGUUUGCCGGUAUUGUACCGGGACCACCGAAGGGGUUCUGGGGGUCCACCGGGAGGGUCCACCUGCCCCGUAGGGUCCUAUGGGCUGUAUGUGGAAGGGAACCAGCCCCUAAGUGGGCUGGGCACCAUCCCCCCUAGGGCCCAUGCGCCUAGGGUUGGGGGGGAUCCUAAAGGGGGCGCCCCCUUGGCUUGGGGGGCAAGCCCCCUCCCCUUGGCCGCCGCCCCCCUCUGGAUCUCAUCUAGAGGGGCCGGCCCCCUUCCCCCUAUAAAUAGAGGGGUGGAGGGAGGGCAACAAGGACCACAUCCAAGGCGCAGCCCUCCCCCUCUCCAACACCUCCUCCUCCUUCCGUGGUGCUUGGCGAAGCCCUGCCGGAGUGCCACGCUGCUCCAACACCACCAUGCCGUCGUGCUGCUGCUGGAGUUGUCUUUCCCAACCUCUCCCUCUCUCCUUGCUGGAUCAAGGCGUGGAAGAUGUCACCGGGCUGCACGUGUGUUGAACACGGAGGCGCCAUUGUUCGGCGCUUAGAUCGGAAUCAACCGCGAUCUGAAUCGCUACGAGUACGACUCCUUCCUCCGUGUUCUUGUAACGCUUCCGCAUCGCGAUCUUCAAGGGUAUGAAGAUGCACUCCCCUCUCUCUCUCGUUGCUAGUCUCUCCAUAGAUUGAUCUUGGUGAUGCGUAGAAUUUUUUUAAUUUCUGCAAUGAUCCACAACAGUGGCAUCAUGAGCUAGGUCUAUGCGUAGUUUCUAUGCACGAGUAGAACACAAGUUGUUGUGGGCGUCGAUUUUGUCAAUUUACUUGCCGUUACUAGUCUUAUCUUGAUUCGGAGGCAUCGUGGGAUGAAGCGGCCCGGACCGACCUUACACGUGCACUUACGUGAGACAGGUUCCACCGACUGACAUGCACUAGUUGCAUAAGGUGGCUAGCGGGUGUCUGUCUCUCCCACUUUAGUCGGACCGGAUUCGAUGAAAAGGGUCCUUAUGAAGGGUAAAUAGAAAUUGGCAUAUCAUGUUGUGGUUUUUGCGUAGGUAAGAAACGUUCUUGCUAGAAACCCAUAGCAGCCACGUAAAAACAUGCAACAACAAUUAGAGGACGUCUAACUUGUUUUUGCAGGGUAUGCUAUGUGAUGUGAUAUGGCCAAAAGAAUGUGAUGAAUGAUAUAUGUGAUGUAUGAGAUUGAUCAUGUUCUUGUAAUAGGAAUCACGACUUGCAUGUCGAUGAGUAUGACAACUGGCAGGAGCCAUAGGAGUUGUCUUAAUUUAUUUAUGACAUGCGUGUCAAUAUAAACGUCAUGUAAUUACUUUACUUUAUUGCUAACCGUUAGCCAUAGUAGUAGAAGUAAUAGUUGGCGAGACAACUUCAUGAAGACACGAUGAUGGAGAUCAUGGUGUCAUGCCGGUGACGAUGAUGAUCAUGGCGCCUCGAAAAUGGAGAUCAAAAGGAGAAAAAUGAUAUUGGCCAUAUCAUGUCACUAUUUGAUUGCAUGUGAUGUUUAUCAUGUUUUUACAUCUUAUUUGCUUAGAACGACGGUAGCUUAAAUAAGAUGAUCUCUCACUAAAAUUUCAAGAAUUGUGUUCCCCCUAACUGUGCACCGUUGCUAAGGUCCGUUGUUCCGAAGCACCACGUGAUGAUCGUGUGUGAUAGGUUCUAACGUUCGCAUACAACGGGUGUAAGCCAGAUUUACACACGCAAUACACUUAGGUUGACUUGACGAGCCUAACAUGUACAUAUAUGGCCUCGGAACACGGAAGACCGAAAGGUCGAACAUGAUUCGUAUAGAAGAUAUGAUCAACAUGGAGAUGUUCACCGUUGAUGACUAGUCCGUCUCAUGUGAUGAUCGGAGACGGCCUAGUCGAAUCGGAUCAUGUAUCACUUAGAUGACUAGAGGGAUGCCUUUGUGAGUGGGAGUUCAUUAAAUAAUUUGAUUAGAUGAACUUAAUUAUCAUGAACAUAGUCUAAAUAUAUUUACAAUAUGUCUUGUAGAUCAAAUGGCCCACGCUAAUGUUGCCCUCAAAUUCAACGCGUUCCUAGAGAAAACCAAGCUGAAAGACGAUGGUAGCAACUAUACGGACUAGGUCCGUAACUUGAGGAUCAUCCUCAUAGCUGCCAAGAAAGGAUAUCUCCUUGAAGCACUGCUAGGUGACACACCCAUUUUCCCAGCAACUCAAGACGUUAUGAACGCCUGGCAGUCGCGUAGUGAUGAUUACUCCCUGGUUAGUGCGGCAUGCUUUACAGCUUAGAACCGGGGCUCCAAAAGCGUUUUGAGCAACACGGAGCAUAUGCGAUGUUCCAAGAGCUGAAAAUGGUUUUCCAAGCUCAUGCCCGGGUCGAGAGAUAUGAAGUCUCCGACAAGUUCUACAGUUGUAAGAUGGAGGAGAAUAGUUCCGUCAGCGAGCACAUACUCAAAAUGUCUGGGUUGCACUACCGCUUGUCUCAGCUGGGAGUUAAUCUCUCGCAUGACGCGGUCGUUGACAAAAUCCUUCGGUCACUCCCACCUAGCUACAAGAGCUUCGUGAUGAAUUUCAAUAUGCAGGGGAUGGAGAAAACCAUUCCUGGCGUAUAUUCAAUGCUGAAAUCAGCGGAGGUGGAGAUCAAAAAGGAACAUCAAGUGUUGAUGGUCAAUAAAACCACUAGUUUCAAGAAAGGCAAGGGUAAGAAGAACUUCAAGAAGGACGGCAAGGGAGUUGCCGCGCCCGGUAAGCAAGCUGCCGGGAAGAAGCCAAAGAAUGGACCCAAGCCUGAUACUGAGCGCUUUUAUUGCAAGGGAAACGGUCACUGGAAGCGGAACUGCCCCAAACUUAGCGGAUAAGAAGGCCGGCAAUACCAAAGGUAUAUAUGAUAUACAUGUUAUUGAUGUGUACCUUACCAGCACUCGUAGUAGCUCCUGGGUAUUUGAUACCGGUGCGGUUGCUCAUAUUUGUAACUCAAAACAGGAGCUGCGGAAUAAGCGGAGACUAGCGAAGGAUGAGGUGACGAUGUGCGCCGGGAAUGGUUCCAAGGUCGAUGUGAUCGCCGUCGGCACGCUACCUCUACAUUUACCUACGGGAUUAGUUUUAAACCUCAAUAAUUGUGAUUUAGUGCCAGCUUUGAGCAUGAACAUUGUAUCUGGAUCUCGUUUAAUGCGAGAUGGCUACUCAUUCAAAUAUGAGAAUAAUGGUUGUUCUAUUUAUAUGAGAGAUAUGUUUUAUAGUCAUGCCCCACUGGUCAAUGGUCUAUUCUUUUUGAAUCUCGAACGUGAUGUUACACAUAUUCAUAGUGUGAAUGCCAAAAGAUGUAAGGUUGAUAAUGAUAGUCCCACAUACUUGUGGCACUCCCGCCUUAGUCACAUUGGUGUCAUACGCAUGAAGAAAAUCCAUGCAGAUGGACUUUUGGAGUCUCUUGAUUAUGAAUCAUUUGACACGUGCGAACCAUGCCUCAUGAGCAACCAACUUAUUGGAAAUCAUAGCAACCAACUUAUUGGAAAUCAUACAUACUGAUGUGUGCGGUCCAAUGAGCGUUGAGGCUCGCGGUGGUUAUCGUUAUGUUCUCACCCUCACUGAUGACUUAAGUAGAUAUGGGUAUGUCUACUUAAUGAAACACAAGUCUGAGACCUUUGAAAAGUUCAAGGAAUUUCAGAGUGAGGUUGAGAAUCAACAUGACAGGAAAAUAAAGUUCUUACGAUCAGAUCGUGGAGGGGAAUAUUUGAGUCACGAAGUUGGCACGCACUUAAGGAAAUGUGGAAUUGUUUCACAACUCACGCCGCCUAGAACACCUCAGCGUAAUGGUGUGUCCGAACGUCGUAAUCGUACUCUGUUGGACAUGGUGCGAUCAAUGAUGUCUCUUACCGACCUACCACUAUCAUUUUGGGGAUAUGCUUUAGAGACUACCACAUUCACUUUAAAUAGGGCUCCGUCGAAAUCUGUUGAGACGACACCAUAUGAAUUAUGGUUUGGGAAGAAACCUAAGCUGUCGUUUUUGAAAGUUUGGGGAUGCAAUGCUUAUGUCAAGAAACUUCAACCUGAAAAGCUCGAACCCAAAUCGAAAAAAUGUGUCUUCAUAGGAUACCCUAAGGAAACUAUUGGGUAUACCUUCUACCUCAGAUCCGAAGGCAAUAUCUUUGUUGCCAAGAAUGGAUCCUUUCUGGAGAAAGAGUUUCUCUCGAAAGAAGUAAGUGGGAGGAAAGUAGAACUUGCUGAAGUACUGCCUCUUGAACCGGAAAGUAGCGCAGCUCAAGAAAAUGUUUCUGUGGUGCCUGCACCGACUAGAGAGGAAGUUAAUCAUGAUGAUCAAGGAACUUCGGAUCAAGUUAGUACUGAACUUCGUAGGUCCACAAGGACACGUUCCGCACCAGAGUGGUAUGGCAACCCUAUCCUGGAAAUCAUGUUGUUAGACAAUGGUGAACCUUCGAACUAUGAAGAAGCGAUGGCGAACCCGGAUUCCGACAAAUCUCUUGAAGCCAUGAAAUCCGAGAUAGGAUCCAUGUAUGAAAACAAAGUAUGGACUUUCACUGGCCCGAUGAUCGGCGAGCCAUAGAAAAUAAAUGGAUCUUUAAGAAGAAGACAGACGCGGAUGGUAAUGUGACCAUCUAUAAGGCUCGGCUUGUCGCUAAGGGUUAUCGACAAGUUCAAGGGGUUGACUACGAUGAGACCUUCUCACCCGUAGCGAAGCUGAAGUUCAUCCAAAUCAUGUUAGCAAUUGCCGCAUUCUAUGAUUAUGAGAUAUGGCAAAUGGACGUCAAAACAGCAUUCCUUAAUGGUUUCCUUAAGGAAGAAUUGUAUAUGAUGCAGCCAGAAGGUUUUGUCGAUCCUCAGAAUGCUGACAAGGUAUGCAAGCUCCAGCGCUCAAUCUAUGGGCUGGUGCAAGCAUCUCGGAGUUGGAGCAUUCGCUUUGAUGAGAUGAUCAAAGCGUUUGGGUUUACACAGACUUAUGGAGAAGCUUGUGUUUACAAGAAAGUGAGUGGGAGCUCUGUAGCAUUUCUCAUAUUAUGUGGAUGACAUACUAUUACUGGGAAAUGAUAUAGAAUUCUUGGAAAGCAUAAAGGCCUACUUGAAUAAGUGUUUUUCAAUAAAGGACCUUGGAGAAGCUGCUUACAUAUUAGGCAUCAAGAUCUAUAGAGACAGAUCGAGACGCCUCAUUGGUCUUUCACAAAGCACAUACCUUGACAAGAUAUUGAAGAAGUUCAAUAUGGAUCAGUCCAAGAAGGGGUUCUUCCCUGUAUUGCAAGGUGUGAGAUUGAGCACGGCUCAAUGCCCAACCACGGCAGAAGACAGAGAAAAGAUGAGUGUCAUCCCCUAUGCCUCGGCCAUAGGGUCUAUUAUGUAUGCCAUGCUGUGUACCAGACCUGAUGUGAACCUUGCCGUAAGUUUGGUAGGAAGGUACCAAAGUAAUCCCGGCAUGGAACACUGGACAGCGGUCAAGAACAUCCUGAAGUACCUGAAAAGGACUAAGGAUAUGUUUCUCGUUUAUGGAGGUGACGGAGAGCUCGUCAUAAAGGGUUACGUCGAUGCUAGCUUCGACACAGAUCUGGAUGACUCCAAGUCACAAACCGGAUACGUGUAUAUUUUGAAUGGUGGGGCAGUCAGCUGGUGCAGUUGCAAGCAAAGCAUCGUGGCGAGAUCUACAUGUGAAGCGGAGUACAUGGCAGCCUCGGAGGUAGCACAUGAAGCAAUCUGGAUGAAGGAGUUCAUUACCGACCUAGGAGUUAUUCCCAAUGCAUCGGGCCCGAUGACUCUCUUCUGUGACAACACUGGAGCUAUUGCCCUUGCCAAGGAGCCCAGGUUUCACAAGAAGACCAGGCAUAUCAAGCGUCGCUUCAACUCCAUUCGUGAAAAUGUCCAAGAUGGAGACAUAGAUAUUUGUAAAGUGCAUACAGACCUGAAUGUCGCAGAUCCAUUGACUAAACCUCUUCCACGAGCAAAACAUGAUCAACACAAGAACUCUAUGGGUGUUUGAUUCAUCACAAUGUAACUAGAUUAUUGACUCUAGUGCAAGUGGGAGACUGUUGGAAAUAUGCCCUAGAGGCAAUAAUAAAGUGGUUAUUAUUGUAUUUCCUUGUUCAUGAUAAUUGUCUAUUGUUCAUGCUAUAAUUGUGUUAUCCGGAAAUCGUAAUACAUGUGUGAAUACAUAGACCACAACAUGUCCCUAGUGAGCCUCUAGUUGACUAGCUCGUUGAUCAAUAGAUGGUUAUGGUUUCCUGACCAUGGACAUUGGAUGUCAUUGAUAACGGGAUCACAUCAUUAGGAGAAUGAUGUGAUGGACAAGACCCAAUCCUAAGCAUAGCACAAGAUCGUAUAGUUCGUCUGCUAAAGCUUUUCUAAUGUCAAAUAUCAUUUCCUUAGACAAUGAGAUUGUGCAACUCCCAGAUACCGUAGGAAUGCUUUCGGUGUGCCAAACGUCACAACGUAACUGGGUGGCUAUAAAGGUGCACUACGGGUAUCUCCGAAAGUGUCUGUUGGGUUGGCACGAAUCGAGACUGGGAUUUGUCACUCCGUAUGACGGAGAGGUAUCUCUGGGCCCACUCGGUAUGACAUCAUUAUAAUGAGCUCAAUGUGAUCAAGGAGUUGAUCACAGGAUGAUGUGUUACGGAUGAGUAAAGAGACUUGCCGAUAACGAGAUUGAACAAGGUAUAGGAAUACCGACGAUCGAAUCUCGGGCAAGUGUCAUACCGGUAGACAAAGGGAAUUGUGUACGGGAUGGAUUGAAUCCCCGACAUCGUGGUUCAUCUGAUGAGAUCAUCGUGGAACAUGUGGGAGCCAACAUGGGUAUCCAGAUCCCGCUGUUGGUUAUUGGCCGGAGAGAUGUCUCGGUCAUGUCUACAUGCCCCCCGAACCCGUAGGGUCUACACACUUAAGGUUCGAUGACGCUAGGGUUAUAGGGAAAGUUUGUACGUGGUUACCGAAUGUUGUUUGGAGUCUCGGAUGAGAUCCUGGACGUCACGAGGAGUUCCGGAAUGGUCCGGAGGUGAAGAUUUAUAUAUGGGAAGUCAUCAUACGGUCACCGAAAGUAUUCAGGGGUUUGCCGGUAUUGUACCGGGACCACCGAAGGGGUUCCGGGGGUCCACCGGGAGGGUCCACCUGCCCCGUAGGGCCCUAUGGGCUGUAUGUGGAAGGGAACCAGCCCCUAAGUGGGCUGGGCGCCAUCCCCCCUAGGGCCCAUGCGCCUAUGGUUGGGGGGGAACCCUAAAUGGGGCGCCCCCCUUGGCUUGGGGGGCAAGCCCCCCCCUUGGCCGCCGCCCCCCUCUAGAUCUCAUCUAGAGGGGCCGACCCCCUUCCCCCUUCACCCUAUAAAUAGAGGGGUGGAGGGAGGGCAGCAAGGAACACAUCCAAGGCGCAGCCCUCCCCCUCUCCAACACCUCCUCCUCCUUCCGCGGUGCUUGGCGAAGCCCUGCCGGAGUGCCACGCUACUCCAACACCACCACGCCGUCGUGUUGCUGCUGGAGUUGUCUUCCCCAACCUCUCCCUCUCUACUUGCUGGAUCAAGGCGUGGGAGACGUCACCGGGUUGCACGUGUGUUGAACGCGGAGGCGUCGUUGUUCGGUGCUUAGAUUUGAAUCAACCGCGAUCUGAAUCACUACGAGUACGACUCCUUCAUCCGCGUUCUUGUAACGCUUCCGCAUCGCGAUCUUCAAGGGUAUGAAGAUGCACUCCCCUCUCUCUCUCGUUGCUAGUCUCUCCAUAGAUUAAUCUUGGUGAUGCGUAGAAUUUUUUUAAUUUCCGCAAUGAUCCCCAACAGUCAGGAGCCGCUCGCCCAACAGCGUCACCGUGCCUACCUUCCCAGUCCGUUCAGGGCUCAGGCGUGUAGCACCCACUAAGCCAACCCGAUUUAUCCUGAGAUACGUCCUCAACACUCAGCAGCCACUCCUCAUCACCCAUUUUCUAAUUGAUUCAUUACUCAUUAGGCAGGACUGUCACUAGGGUUGUUGUGUGCUGAGUGCUACCUACACUUAAUGGUUCAGAUGUAUUUUAGUAAUCUUUAGUACCUGCAAAGUUCACAGGGUUUCAAAAUUCCGGCCCUAGGAACAGACACUAGUCAUUUUGGAUUGUUGGUCAUAGUGACAUUGACCCAGAUUACUACUGCAGGCCAGGUUUGUUGACAAUUUUACUUGUCUUUCUUACUCAUUUGAUAUGCUAUCCAAUUAUUCAUGUCGAUUAGUUGCAAACAAUAAGUGCUAGACAAACUUCUUGAUUCAGAUUUUGGACGGUCUCUUACUGCAGUUACAAUUCUGCAUACUUGUCCUAGUAAGCUCACAAGUAAAUGAUUGAUUCACUACAUCUAUGUUUGCCUUGUCAUAUUUGUUGUCAAUAUUCUUUUAGGGUGGACCACCCUGUUUCAAAAUACUGGAAACAUAGACAUGAGUGAAUAGUAUUUCUCUGUGUGAUCUCUUCCAUCAUGUGUGGGCAACGAACACUGCAUUGUAUAGAAAGAAAGUGUCAUUUCCAGCUUUUACAUAGACUACGAUCUUUUACAUGGAAUACAAUCUGCCUACUUGCUUUGUGUCGCACUACCAGCACUCCACCCUUGAAGCUAAACAUUAUGCCACUCAUAAUUCCUUAGUGUAUUUGUUCAAAUGCGAAUUUGAUAUGAUUCUAAUGUUCCUACUUCAGUUUUGAAAUGUGUGUCUGCCUGUUAUAGAGACAUAAGAGGUUUGUAUUUCUGUGUGUGGUCUGGUCAGCACGGUGGGGGUGAACUUUGCAUAUGCAGGGGUUUAUAGGGAGACACUCUUCGAGUUGAAUCCGCAAUGCAUUCCAUAGAUAAUCUGACUACUUUUUAUGUUUUCAUGAAUCUCAGAUUCUGAACGGCAUCAUAAUGAUUAUGAGCUUGCGCGCAUGAAAAGAAUAAAGUAACAAUGCCAGGGAUGUCAAACUUGGCUUAAAGGGACUGAAAUCAAGUCCGGAUGUAAUGCAAUGCAAACGCUCUCCACCUACAGAUUCAUGCUCAGAAUAUGAUCCUCAUAGUGAUUCUGAGCUAGAGGGAGACCUAAGUCAAUGUAGCUCCCUAGUGGAGGAGUCAGAGGCAGAUGCCCUAUCUUAUUCACCCAUCAAGGUGCUUGCUCUAACUUUCCAACGUUAUAUUGGUCGCACAUAUCUUGCAACUGAUACUUUGCAUUGCUUCUACUUUAUUGCACUGUCAUUAGCUUAGUUUACACAUCGUGUAUGUGAAUACGCCCUGCCUAUCCAUUUUGAGUACAUAUUCCAUCUGUCAUCAUACCAUAUUUAUCCAUUCAAAUGUUGUUCUUGUGUAUCAGACGUUCAAAAGGAAGAGGGUGAUUGCUGAUCGCGGAGGAGCAGGAGCAAAGUAUUUGGAAAAGGUAGUGACACCUGAUAAAUCAAAUAGCCAAUUAGGUGUAGUUGCAAUAUAACCUGACCCACAAAACACCCCAACUCUAGCAGACUCUAGCCCUACUACACUGGUCAUUUCUGAUGCCCCAACUGAGCAGACCCCAACUGCAGCAAACAGUAUGAUGAUGCCAGUUGACAUAGCACCAGCUCUCGACGCAAAACCCCCAUUCCAGCAAAGAGUACACCAAAUCCAGUUGCCAAAUGCCUUUUCGAACCAGAGAGAGCCCCAAUUGCUGCAAAUAGGACCCCUAUUCCAUUUCUUCCCAGUUUAGAAGACGGAGCUUAUAUUGUUGUCAGGAACUUUGUGCGCAUCUUUCCUUCAUGGAAAGAUUAUACCGCAGACACAGAACAAUUUCCAGUCUUCCUCCACAACUUACGCGUAAGUAAUGUACUAAUGUUAUUCAUGGUAAUUACUGCAUAUGUUUCUGCUGACAGAAGACACAAGAUUUCAUUCUUUUAAAUAGGCGAGGACCAAACUGGAUUGCCAAGACGAGCAAGGGUUGGUUGCACUUUUCAAGCACUCAUUGAUGAAGUAUUGUUCCUACCUGAGGCAAGCGCACUUCGAUGGCAAGCCUCUAAAUGAAAUUUUUGUAAAGUCUCCGGUGCUACAUUUAUCAGACACUGACUGGAAUAAUCUUGUUACACAUUGGUCUUGUCUGCAGCGUAAGGUACUGUAUAUGAUAUCACAUCACAAUUUGAACUACAUUUCUGCAUUUGCCUUAAUGUCUCACUUGUAUCAAAACUGUUAGCAGAAGAACAUUCAUUCUCAAGGGACCAUAGAAUCUCGCAACUAUACUACACACUGCAUUGCUCUUGUGAGUACCUCUUGCCCUGUAUGACCAUACUUACUUUCAUAGCUGUUUGAUUAUGUAGCAUCACUGCACAUGUUAGCCUCGUUAUCGUCCAUUUGGUGGACAUUAUAAGAUCCGUAUGGACUCUUACAUAAAUUUAGAAUCAACCCAAUGCUUUUGAAGAGGUUUAGCUCUGCAGUCCUCUUUUAAGGACCGAACAUCGUCUAUCACUGUACUUACAUUAACAGCUACCCCCUCCGUCCCAUAAUAUAAGAAUGUUUUGUACAAUACACCAGUGUUCAACACACUCUUGUAUUAUGGGAAGAGGGAUUGGUUCAUUGUGUAGCAUUCUGCAUCUUAUCUCCCUCGCCCACCAUUUACUAAAAAAUAUCAGAUCUAUAUUUAAUCUUACCAAAAUGUUGAAUACACAGACAAUGCCAGUGCAGAAGUGUGGCCCAUUUCUCUUGUCAGGACAUUUUGUCCUGUAACGCUUGUACUUCCAGGGAUUGGUAGUUGAUUAUGUAGCAUCAAUCUGCAUCUUAUCUUCAUUAUCCUCUAUCCCUUCCAGUAUUAUCAUAUCUAUAAUUACUCUCUACAAAAUGUAGAUUACAGGCAAUGCUUAUGAAGAAGAUUCUGUGCUGCAAUUCCUGAGUUAUCGUUCCCUUGACAUGGAGAAGGGCAUUAUAAAGCCGGUGUUAACUGUUAAUGUAAGUGAGUCCUUCUAAAGCCUUUAUCCUCAACUGCUGUUUAGUUUGCUCAUACUCCCUAUCGUUUACUGCUGUUCAGUUUGCUGUUUCUAUCAAAAUGCAUGUUCGCAAGAACCGUAAGUUCCAAGUUUUACUUGUAAAACCAAAUUCUUUAUUCAUACCAUGCACAUUACUCAAUACUCCCUAUAUGUAUGCUUGUUUUUGUGGAUCUAUGAUCCAGUGUGUGGUGAAGCAGCCCACGUUUGCACCUUGUCAUCUCUUGUUUUAUCUUACUGAUGUGGCUGAUGAUAUGAACAACAUGCCAUGCACAUUAACGAAAAUAGAUACAAUGAUUGUCUUUGCCCUUCAUCUAUGCUUGUUAUGUUGACAUGUUAAUCCAGUAGUGUGGUGAAGCUCCCCGCAUUAUGAACAAUGUCAAAUUAUGCUAUUGAUAUUUUGAACUUACUCUUUAUUUUCUAAUUUGAAAUUGGAUGGAAUUGACAGCACAGUUAUCAUCUCUGUUUAUACACGUGCAAAACUUGUCAUCUCUCUGCUUGUUUCAGGGUGAUAUGCCUAAUGGCAUGCACAAGUCUGCUGAAGGCUGUGAGACAAACCCAACAUAUAUUGCAGCACAGAAGGCAAAACAUCUUGAAGAUAGCGAGACAACCCCAAAGUCUUGUCUUGAUGCACUGUUCAAGUUACUUGAGACUAGCAGUCAGACAAGCUCACAUGAUUCGCUGUCUGAAUCAGUUCAACUUCUUAAGUCCCAAGUUCUAGUGGAAAGGCAUUCUCCAACUCAACUUCGACUUGAAGUCCUAUCUCUAAGAAAGAUUGCGGAGAACACCAAUGAGAACCUCAUUACUAAAUAGCUACACCUGGAAGUUAUGACCGACAUGCUAGGCCGGUCUGACAGCCUUGCUCAGCAGCUUGCGCAGUAGUUCCCUCGCAAGGUUAACCUUUCUUGAACUGUCUUGGAAGUGGUCUCGGUUCAGUAUUAUUUUUGUUACGCUGCAAUGGUGCCCUGUUUUUGUAAUCUGCUUCUUCGUUGCGCUUUAUGAUCACUGGUGGCGAACUUCGAUGCCCAGGAGAUGUAAUAUACCAUAAAUCCUUUAUUGUAUAGUGUAGGUUUAUUCUAAGUUACUAUGCUGUAAUUUUUUUAUUGUAUAGAGUAGGUUUGUUCUUAAUUCCUACUAGUUACUACCAUUUCGCUAUCUGAAAAAAAUCUGAUGUAGUCGACCGGGCCGAAACAUUCGCCUCUAACGGGCCUGGUUUUUAGCGGGCUACAAUUGGGCCGGCCUGCAUCUUUCUUGGACCCGAAUGGCCAUUGGGGCCUUCACACUUUGCGCCAGGCCCACAACUUACUCUGGCCUAUAUUGGGCCCAAAUUUUAGUUGGGCCUUUUGUGGACCCAGCGCUUAGUUUGGCCCAUGUAGCGUUGGGCCAUUAACAGGCUGAAUAUUCUGCUGGAUUGUUAUGGCCCAGAAGAAACCAUGGGCCUUUAGCAGGCCGAAAUGCAUGUUGGGCCUCAAUUUUCACUAGUCGUCGACGGGCCUUCAGCAGGCUGAAAUGUAGACCGGGCCUUUUUUGGCCUAGUUAUAUAACGGGCCGUUACCAGGCCAAAACAUAUCUCGGGCCUUAGUUGGCCCCCUGAUAUCAUGGGCCUUUAAGAGGCCGAAAGCUUAGUACAGGCAUCAACGGGCCGAAUUAUAUGACAUGCCUUUAAUCGGCCCAAAGUCACGCUGGGAUGAACUGUUGCCACCUUUAUCACGGGCCGUUAGUGGGCCGGAUGUCGCGUCGGACCAUAUAUGGCCCAUGGGCAGCACGAGCCAUUCCCAGGCCGAAAGACACACCGGGCUGAAAUGGGCCCAUGUCUACAUCGGGCCUCUAACACGCCGAAAGUCACUGGGCCGUAAUUGGGCCCAAAUAUUCGGCAAACAAAUAACGGGCCAGAUCUGGCUUCGGGCCAAAAAUGGGCCUUUAUUAAACACGCUAUUAUUGGGCUGUCCACUAGUACCUGAGUAAGUACUAUGGGCCUUUGACUGGGCCGGCCUUUUUAACCUAUAUGGGCCUCUGUUGGGCCCUGCCACGUGUUGACAUAUCAUAGGCAUGUCUCCUCCAAUGGACGGAUUACAUCUGGGCCACCGAGGAGCAGACACGUGUUUCCUCCAGCCAAUGAUGAUUUUACACAUGGAAAAUGCCCAUUGGUCCGGGCUGUUAACGGGUUAUCGGAUCCAAACCGGAACCCGCUGGCUUAACGGCGACCCGUUACAGUGGAUGCCACGUGUCGGUCAUCCUUGACGAAAACACUUCUAUGACGCACGAUGUAUCGUCAUGAAAGUAGACACUUCCAUGAUGAUUAUUUUGGUAAUUUCAUGGAACACUUCUACGACAGCACAGGUAUGACUAUCUUGAUUCUGUCAUAAAAUUGUCAUGGAUGUACAUGCAUGACGGAAAACGUGACCUACUGUGACAAACACGUAUCAUGACGGAAGUGCAUUUUUUUGUAGUGUUAAGUCAUCGUCGUUGAUGCUCAUGCAUUCCCGUAGGAUGCAUCCUACUUGGUUCCCAUAACACUUGCGCGGUUCUUCCGGCUCUAAUGGCUCAAACUUGCCAGGGGCCAUCUUUGUGAUCACCAGUCGUUCGAUGCCGAGUUUGUUAGGUUUUCGUAUCCUCUGCUUCUUCUGCUUCUUCUUUUUGGUAGCGGCUUCAGCGUCGGUACCUUCCCUGCCGGUAUCUUCCCCGCCGGUACCUUCCCCACCAGUCUCGGCGUCGUUGGUGUCGAUGUUGGCGUCAGUACCAUCAUCGAAGCCGCCCUACAAACCUUGACUGUGCUUAGCAGAUAAAAAGUUGAGGUACUAUUGUUCACCCUCAUAAUCCAUCUCGUCUGCAUCUUGGUCAGAAGGCCCGGUUUCUUCGUGGUUCAACAUGUUUCCUAUGAUUAUGUCUCCUCGUUUAAUUCGAAAACUAUAAUAAAAUGAGAAAUGACAUUAAAAAGGUCUAUGGUUUGCCAGAAUGCUGUUUCAUUCCAGUCGCAGCAAAUCCCGGCACUCGAUAUGCCUACUUUCUAGCACAAGUCAUGCCAGAAUUCAUGUGAAGUUUCGCAUGACCUUUGCUAAAAAGUGGACAUAUCGAGCGCCUGAAAUUCACCGGAACGAAGAUGAAUCAACGUUCCGGCGAAACAUAGGCCACUCGGGUCAUUUACCCUGCACAUAACCAUCAUUUUCCAAAUAUCACAUGUCCACUUCAAAUAUGUCCAAGUCACAUGUCCACAUAUCAUAUAGGGUUCAUAUAGCAACAAUAGCUUUAACUAAAAAAAUCAAAUAGCGACAAUUCUGUUUUUCUUUAAAUGCCAAUAAAAAUUCCUUGAAUAAAAUUUGAUACCUAGCUAAAUACCAAAUUAAUCUACUAGUUUGAUACCUAGCUAAAUUCAUAACUAAAUUUGAUACCUAGGGUUCAUAACUAAAUUUGAUAAAUUCAUCACCGCAAAAUUCAUAACUAGGGUUCAUACCUAGCUAAAUUCAAAACUAAAUUUGAUACCUAGCUAGGGUUCAUAACUAAAUUCAUCACCGCAAAAAAUAACUACCUAAUGCCCUAACUAAAUAGGUAACCUAAUUACCUACUGCCCUAACUAAAUAGAUAACCUAAGUAAAUUAACCGAAGAACCCUAGCUAGAACUCUAAUGGAAGAGAGAGGAGCGGUGGUGGCCUUACAAAGGGUGCAGGGCGAGGAGGUAGGCCCUACGACAACUGAGGUUGGGAGGGGAGGAAGCAGAGGAGAGAGGCGUGGCGCGUCGGGGCCGGGGCUGGGCGACGGCGACGGAAGCGUGCGGCGUCGUGUUACGGGCCGGGGCCGUGGGAGGAGGCGCGCGGCUUUGGGUUCGGGGCCGGGCGAUGGCGAGGGAGGCGUGCGACGUCUAGGUCGGCGCUCGGUCGCCGGCGAGGGCGAGGGCAGGGGCAUCGAGGGGGAGAAGAGAGUGGGGGAAUUGGGGGAGGAAGGAGAGGAGGGAAGCCCGCACGGGGGGUUAUGUGAAAACAGCAGUAGCGCUUUUCUUGAAAACGCGCUAUAGCUAACUUAGCUAUAGCGUGUUUUCAGGAAAAGCGAUACUGCUAUAUGAAGUAGCUGUAGUGCUUUUCUAGAACAACGCUACUGCUACAUAACGUAGCUAUAGCGGUUUUACUCAACCAGCGCUCCUGCUAUUGUUUUCAUUUUUUAUUUUCCUUUUCUUUUCCAUUUUGUUUCUUCUGUUUUCCAUUCAUUUUCCUUUUUUUCCGAGAGCCAGAAUGAAGGGAAGGUGGUACAAUGUAUAUAACUAAGGCAAUAUAUAUUGCAUAAUUUGACCCAUAACGGUUAAGUGUGCAUACAAAAUAGGAACAUAUAUAUUACAUCACUUGACCGAUAAUGGUUUCUCAGCGUCGACGUUUUCGUUUUUGAGU